rnacentral:lncRNA from 1 species
UUAAGCACAAGGUAGUGUGGGCCUGUGCAAGUUUCAAGUCCAAAGGGCUUUCACUUGAGAGGGUGUGUUAAAAAAUAAUAUAAAUCAUAUCCUAAGACCUUACCUAACAACUUAAGCUAUUGGGUUAAGAUGGUUCUUUGACAUGGUAUGGGCCUUGAUGAUGAAGUGGUCACGAGUUCAAAUCUCACCACCCUCAUUUCUUUGAUAAAAAUCAAGCACAAGGUAAUGUGAGUCUGUGCAUCUGUGCAAGUUUCAAGCUCAAAGGGCUUUCACUUGAGGGAUCAUACCCGUAUAAUAUAAUUCAUAAAAUGGUGGAGGUAGGAUGCGUUGAGAUGGGUAUAACAAUAUAUAUAUUAUUUUUAGGAGGGGGCAGUUCCUAUAUUUGUUUUUUCUACGGAUAUUUCAUAAUGAGUGCUCUAUUAUGAGUCAGUUUACAUAUAUAUGUAGUGAAUCUUAAAAACAUGGAAUUUGUAUUCGAUUAAGUCAAACCAAUUAACAAUGUGCAUAUUGUAGGAAUCUUGGUUUAAAGUUUAUUACAAAAUAUUUUUCUCAUAUUUUAAUUUAGUCAAUGUAUAAAUGGUUAAAUCUUCUGUGUCAUUAACUUCAAGAUCUUUUAGUGAAAGGUUUCCUUUUUACGAUAUAGAAAAAAGAAGGCAGAUAAUUAAUAUAAAUUUGAGUGAGUAACAUAUCAAAGACAAAACUUGACUAAUCCUGUACAUGGCCAUGACAUCUUUUCUCUAAGACAAGACCACUGAAAAGUAAUGGUACGAUAGAAGAAGUGGCCAUGGACAGCGAGGUCAAGGAGAAAUGGCCAUGGACCACUAAAAUUAAGAUGUGAAAGGAAGGAAAGCUAGAAGAGAGCCCUCUUUCUUUUAGUGGUGAUAUUGGUAUUAGUAAGUUAGCCGGCUACUACCGGUAAAUAUCUUUGCAUUCAAAGUGCGGGAACACUUGUCUAAAACGAAUACUUUUAGAAAGAUUACAGGCAUAUUGCUUCCAUACCAUUGGCUUAACACUACCAGCAUAGGGAAUGAAAUUGUGAAAAAAUAAAGGGUUUUCCAUGGCUGGUUUAUGGUGUGGUUGGGCUUGGCAGGUUCAUGAGCUUUUUUGCAAAAUAAGAUUCUUGUUUAAAUAGGAAAUUCUUUGAUACUAAAAUUAGUAAGUAUAGGAGGAGUACAGAGUGUGUGAAAAUAAAUAUAUAAACAAAGAGUUUCUGUGUGAGAAUGAAAAAGACUAUUUUAGUAUCUCUUGUAUAAGUUGGCUCUAGUUUGUGUGGCUUAGAACUGAUAUCUGGCUAAAGCUUUCAAUGGCUAAGAGUAGCUUUGGCUUUUUUUGUAUGGAGACUGGGUGUAGUCUCUGAACUUAUCUCAUGGAGAAGAAAAAUAUUUUCAUAAAAAAAUUAAGUCAUUAGAUGAUAUGCCUUGUUUGUUAUUAGUGGAGAUGUUGGGGUCAAUAUUUUCUUACAAAUUCGAGUCAUCUUGCUUGUUGUUCCAUGAGCUCCUAUGAUAGAAAUGUUGGCUACAUUAUCCAAGAAAAGUUGUGUCUGCACCUCAUAAAAAAAAAGUAUUGCAUGCAUAGAAAAUAGUGCGUGAAUGGAUAAAUCAAAGGGAUCUUAGUGUAGAGAUUUUUAAUGGAGUAAUAAAGAUUUUAAUAAAAACAUGAAAAUUUGUUCAUGGAGUUAUGUUUGGAGACAUGGUAUCUUAUAAUAGAGAUUUUUUGUUAGAGAUAGUGAAGAUAAAGAGAAAGUUACUCCUUUUAUUCAAAAGUUUAAAAGAUAGUGAAAGAUACCAUUUUUUAGACUUUCCUAAUCUCAAGUAAUGUGUUAAUGGAGAUUUUUUUUUCCUAUUUGUUUAAAUUGCAUCACAUUCUUCAUAAAUUAUUGAAGAUAUCCCUUAAAGAUCAACUUUUUUAUCUUUCUUUUCAAGGCAUGAUAUUCUUCAAUGUCAUGACUGUAAUCAUGGUGAAAGUGAGAGAACUUGUUAGGAUUCUUUAUGUUAAUACCACUAUUCAUGAAAUAUAUGGAUAUCGUAUAAAAUUUCUUCCCUACAUGGAUCCAACACCUUUAUAUGCAUAGUGGUGAAUGGUGCGGAUAGGAGCUCAGAAAAUAAUAAGAAAUCAUAAAUGGAUCCCAUGGUGUUUUUCUUGAAUGUCUUUGUAGGAGAUUGGUGACAUUGUGGAGAUUCUGCCCUCUAGAAAUACAAGUAUUCUUAUCUGAUCAUACUUGCUUCUUCCACUUAAAUAUGGUUUUUUAUUACAUGUUUUUAAUUGACAAAAAUUUUGUCAUGAAAAGUAUAAAAGCAUUCCCAUAAUGAAUAUUUAUAGAAUCCACUUAUUAGAGCCUCAAUGGCGAUAAGUUCACGUAGAUUCUUCAUGUUUAGCAUUUAUUUGUUGAAUCUCUAGAUAUAUGUUUUGUGCUUUUAUUCUCCUGUUGUGUAAUGGUGAAAAGCUUAAUCAUGUUAUUUUUACUUGGUAUACUAGUGCUAAAAUAAGAGGUUAGCUUAACAUACAAAUUAUAAAGAUCAAAUAUGAAGCCAAGAUCAAUACUGUGAUAUCAUAUCAAAGUAGACCAAUAAAAUAUCUUAUAAGUUGUAGGAGAGCAUAUAGAUAUUAUUUUCUCAAAGAGCAUGUGAGCAAAAAUCAAGGGAGGAUUGAUGGAAAUAGUCAUGCAUAUAGUUAAGAUCUUUUAUGAAGUGCUCUUUAUAACAAGAGUAGUUUUAUUAAAAAGUUGAAGUAUUGUGCAUAUUUUACAUGUUAUUUUUCAUGUUUUUUUUUCAUGAAACUAGAGUUAUCAUUAUCUUUUGGUGCAUAUAAUGGAUUAGUAUGUUGUAUUCCUUAUUGAUGAAAUGAAAGAGUGUGAAGCUAUUAUUGUAUAACUAGAACAAUAUUGUUGAGCACCUAUACUUGAUGGGUGAGUUUCUGAAGACCCAAAGUUCUUAUGCUAAGGAGAUCGAUUACUCUCUCUCUUGUCCUAAAGUUUUGUCAACCAUGAAAAUUGCUUUUGGUGAGGAUUGAAAGAGAAUGAACUAGCUUUUUUUCUUUUCCCAUAAACGACGCCAUUAGUAAGGUUAUGGAUUUAUCAUGGUUGUGUCCUGAUUGAUAAAGUGGCUAGGGAAGGUAAUUAUGAUUGCCAAUUAUAUACUUAACAAAGUACCCUAUAAAAAGCUAGAAAAUGCACCAUAUAAAUUAUGAAAAGGUAGAAAGCCUUAUAUAAAUACUUCAAAGUGUAUUAGUAUCAUGCAAAAGUGGCAGUACUUGAUCUUAAAAAAGUCAAGAUAGGACCUAAAAACAUGGAUUAUAUUUUUAUUAGAUAUACUUAUAAUGGCAAUGCAUAUAAAUUUCUUAUACACAAGUCAAGUAUUAAGAGUAUUAAUCCUGAUACUAUUAUGGAAUCAAGAAAUGCUACAUUCUUUGAGGUUGUGUUUCUAUUUAAAGAAGUAUAAGAAACCACUCAAUUGAGAGAAUGAUUAAGACUAGCUCAUGUAGUUAUCAUCAAUUAGAAGUUGAUGAAGUUGGGCCUAGAUAAGUAAAAAGGAAAAAAACCAAAAUGUUUUGGUUCUGAUUUUCUAACAUAUUUGCUAAAAAAAUGAACCUCUAAGCUAUUCCAAAGCAAUGUCAUGUCCUGAAGCUUCUUAUUAGAAGGAGAUAAUUAAUUGUGAGAUUGAAUUUGUUAUGAAUAUUCAUAUAUGAAAACUAGUGGAUCUUCCACUAGGAAGUAAACCAUUAGGCCAUCAAUGGAUCUUCAAACAAAAAAAAAAACUGAUGAAAUUAUUCAAAAAUAUAAAGCAAGAGUUGUUGUUAAAUGAUUUAAAUAACAAGAAUGUGUGAACUAUAUAGACAUAUAUUCUAUAGUAUCAAAAAUAACUUUCAUACAGACGUCAAUAGUCAUUGCAACUAUUAAUAAGCUUGAAAUACAUUAAAUGAAUGUAAAUAUAGCUUUUUCAAAUGGUGGCCUUGAUGAAGAUGUUCACAUAAAAUAACCUGAGGGUUUAUUUUAAAUGGACAAAGAAAAAAAUUGUGUAAGCUUGUCAAAUCAUUGUAUGGUUUGAAAAAGCACCUAAAUAAUGACAUAAAAAAACAAAAUUAGUUAUCAAAUGAGUUCAAAAUCAACAAAGUUGAUAAAUGCAUUUAUGUGAAAAAUAUAGAUAAAGUUUAUAUCAUUGUACAUCUUUUUUAAGGACAAAAUACUGAUUUUGUGUAGCAAUGAUCACAUAAUCAAGUCUAUUAAGAAAUAUUAAAUAAUAAAUUUAACAUAAAAUACUUGGGUGUUGUAGAUGUUAUAAUAAUAAUAAAAAUUACAAGGACAUCUAAUGGAUUGAUAUUGUUUCAAUCUUAUUAUGUAGAGAAAAUUCUCAAUAAAUUUUCUAAAGAUGACCAUAGCCUAAUCAAAGCACCAAUUAAAUAUUUUUGCAUAAUUAGGAGCUUGAUAUAUUUUAUAAAUUGCACAAGAAUUGAUAUUGCAUACUCAAUUAACAAUUUUAGUAGGUUCACCAACAAUUCGAAUAUGUAUAAUUGGAAAGCAAUAAAAAAGGUCCUCAAAUAUUGGAGAUACACCUUAGAUUAUGAGUUACUAUAUUAGUUACCCAACAAUAUUAGAAGGGUAUAAUGAUGCAAAUUGAAUAUUUGAUAAUAAGGAUUUAAAAUUUACUAGUGGAUUUAUCUUUAUACUGAGUAAAAUAUUUGUGUCAUGGAAAUCCUCUAAAUAAAUGUGUAUCACAAUAUCCAUAAUAAAAUUAAAGUUUAUUGUUUUUAAUAAAAUUAAAGAAAAAGCCAAGUGACUUUGGAAUUUCAUAAAGAAUAUCUUAUAUUAGCAAAAAACAGUGCUAGUUAUUCGUGUCCAUUGCGAAGUCAGUCUGCAAUUAGAAGGACACAAAGUAUAAUGGUAAUUCUAAACAUUUAUAUUAUAGAUAUAAUAUCAUUAACUACUUGCUGUUAAAUAGAAUAAUUUCCAUCGACUACGUAAAGUUUGUCGCACCUGACAUCAUGGAUACAUUUAAAAAUUAAAUAUUCUUGAAAGAAUAUGUUUUUGACAUCUUAUUCUUAGAUAGGGAAUGGUCUUGCUUAAGGAGUCGCCACCUAGUAUUAUGGUUGCUAGGAACUCUAAUUGAUCAACAAAGAUUCUAUGGUACGGGGAUGGUUACACAAAAAGAAAGAUAUUAUCACCUCUUAAGCGUCCUACUUGAGGUAAAAUGUAUUGCUGGUUUUGUCUUAAAUUGCUAAGAGUUUGUUAGUUUAUGCUAUGAUGGUCUGCUUGUAAUAUUCUUGACUCUAGCGUCAGUGAAUAUUCAACUACGGAUAUUUCCAACUCUGGCGUUGGUAAAUAUUAUAUAGUAAAAAAAAUGGAUGGUAUUCCUAACUCUAGGAUUAGUGAAUAAACCAGUAAAAUGAAUUUAAAUCAAUGUAUACAUAUUCUUUUUAUUUUUUAAAAAGAAAAAAAAUAUAUCGCAUAUCAAAUUUACAUUUCACAGUAAAAAUCCCCAGAUCAAUUAUACAGUGAAAUACCAAAAAAAUUUGAGGGACCCACAAAUAAAUUAAAAAAGGUCCACGAAUUUUCUGAUAUGCGGAAUGACCUGUUUGACUAGAUAUCAAAAUAUAAGAGGAUGAAAACAAAGGGGCAAGGCAUAAGGGUGUGUUUUGCCAAAAACACCCUUGGCCCAAAAUAGAUUGGGCUGGCUGGGCCGAGGCCCAAGCCCAUCUUGGCCUCAUGUUAUUUUUGAUUUUUUGGGGGGGGGUCUGACCCAGCCUUUAUGGGUUGGGCUGGACCUAGUGACCCAGCCCAGUCACGGGUCCAAACCAGUGGCCUGACCGGUUACUAUUGCAGGCAUGCGUGAAGUUGUAGGACAAGCUAGAGGUUUAACGCCUAUCAUUUUAGUGAUGUCAAGAAGAUUUAAGAUAUUUUUAUAUUAUUUGAGAUGAAGUACUUCAUUGUUUCUUUGUGCUUCAAUUUCAAAGAAGAGAAAUGAAGCCAAAAUAUUAGUUUUUCUGGUUUUAUAGUAGAUAAUUAAAGCUAAUAAUGAAGAGAAAUUAUUAUGGUAAUUGUCAUAACCCAUUUCUUUCCAAAAUAAAUACCAAAAAAUAAAUAAAGGCUAGCAACGUAGAAAAAACAGGCCGAGGAGGAUCUAAAAAAUACACGAAAAUCAAGUUGUAAUUUUGGAGGAAAUUCAAGGUCUAAUUGUACUUCAUUACACCUAAAAUUAAAGAAACAAUGCAAAUUAAAGGUCAACUUAAUUGAUUAUUGGGCUAUUAAGUCUAAGGACAAAAAUUAAGUCUAAGGAAAUAAUUAAAUUUUCAAUAUGCCAAUUUGAUUUAAUCAUGAGCUAAAUUGAAGGUUUAAUCAUGUUUAGGAAUUAAUUUGGGUCCAAUUAAAGGAUUUAAUUAGGUAUAAGGACUUAAUUAUAUUUUAAAAGGGUCAGAUUAAUUUUAUUAGGCGUUUAAUUGGUGAAGAAUUAAGUCUAAGAGUCCAAUUUGGGCUCAAUUGAGAAAACUAAAAUUUUAGAACACCAAAUUUAAUUUUUACCAUGUCAAAUAAUUGAAAUUAGGGGUAAAAUCUCAAAAAAGUAAAGUUUUUGGGUCAAAUUGAAAAAGUUCAUAGUUAAUGAUCAUUUUGUAAAAGGCGUCGAACUAUAGGGGCUUAAUUGAUUGAAACCAGGGUGAAAAUGAAAAAAUUAAAAGUUUAAUGGUCAAUUAGGGGCUAAAUUAAAGAAAUCUGAAACCAAGGACCAAAAUUGAAAGGCUCCGAACUUCAAGGUUAAAAUUGAAGUUUUAUAGGGACUAAAUUGCAUUAAAUCAAAAGUUUAGGGUCAAUUAGAGGUGCAAUUAAAAUAAAUCAAAAGUGAAAGGACUAAAUUGAACUUUGGCAAAAAUCCCUAAACGAUGUCGUUUUCAAAAAAAUAAACCAGACGAAUCGUCGUCUGGUUACUGUUCAUUAUCUUCCUUCUUUUUAGCCUGAAAAGACUACUCAUUGGCUACUUUGUAGGUGCUUUUAAUGCCUUUAACCUUCACCAAAUUUAACAAAACAUUAACCAAAAUGAUCACCUGACAUUUCCCUACAACCUCGUAUGAUCCAUUCAAUCUGAUUGAAAGUACCAUAGUGGCCGAGAUGCCAACCUAAAUUUGUCAAUUCAGGUAGCCUUGAAUUGUCAAAUUUGACAGUGUAUGGUGCCUACUUUGAAUCAACAGUUAGAAUCUUUUCCAGCUGAAUCAAGGGCCAAAAGUUUUUUUCCAAUGAAGAUAAGAUUACCCUCUUCCAUCCCCUAUAAAUAAAUUUCAAUUUCAUGGUAUGAGCAUUAAAAAAUCAGUGUACAAAGUUGGCAAAAAACUAUUUUUUUCUAGAUUUUUUUCUUCUCCUUUGUCGGCCAUACUUUUCCCCUCUUUUUCUCCACCUCCGGCGAUGCCAUCACCUUCAGCCACCAUCCACAAUCUCCCCUAUAACACCAGCAACGCCUUUAGCCUCUCUCCUCCUCUAGUCAGACGAGUUUUCCCCUUUUUGUCCUAAAAAACUCCUCUCCUGGCUACUGCAUUUUACAGCUGGGUCCAGCCCGAAAAAAAGAAGAAAAAAGAAAACCCAAGUCUUCUGGGCCGAGAGCGGCCCAGUUAGUUUGGUCGGCCAACCUUAUAAUAACAAAACAAAAUUUAGAAAAUUCAAAAAUCCUUUCAAAAUGACUCCCAAAUAUCAAUGCAGAUCACUGUAUAACUAGGAAUUAUUAAUUAAAGAAUUCUUAACUUGUUUGAAAUGAACCCAAAUCAAACUCUAUGCUAAAUAUGAGAAUUAAAAAAUGAAUCUAGACUCAUAGUCCACGCCAGCUAAUGAAGAGACGUUUAUUAUAAUUUAAUUCAAUAAAAAUGACUCCAUAUCGACUCUAAAAAUCAAUGCAGAUCCUUCAUGGACAAGACUUAUUAAAGAUUUCUUAAAUUGCUUGAAAAUGACUUCAAACUCUAUGCUAUCCUAAUAGGAGAUUGGUAGCCCUAAUCAUUAUAUUUUUAGUUUCUAAUAUAUCUAUUAAUGAAGUUAUUGUAUCAUAAAACAAUACUAAAAUGUUAAAAGUGAUUUAAUUUGUACCCAAACAAUUUUAUAGACAUGAUUUAUUGAGUGACUUAAUCAUAAAAUUUGGAUAUCCAUCAACUCAAUUUUAAGUCUGUAAAUAUAUAUAUAUAUUUUUUUCAUGACUUCUACUUUUGAAAAAUAAAGUCAUAAAUACUUAGACAUAAUUGUAUAUUCUCUUCUUUUUUAAAAAAGAAAAAGAAUAUAAAGCAUAACCAUUUUACAAUUUGUUACUUUGAAAAUUUUAAUAAAAUAGAAGAAAUACAUUAAAUAAAGUCAUUUUAAUACCUAUGAUAAAUAAUAGAAUGAGAAUAAAAAAAUAAAUUGAGAAUAAUAAAAAAAAGUGGAGUUAGAAUUAAUUUUAAAAGCUCACCUACUAGCUUAGAAUCUUGGUAGAAUGGUUCCUUGAGGCAUGGAAACCUCUUCGAUUGAGUUAGUAUUUGAUUAUCAACACACUUAAUUAUUUAUAUAUUAGUGAAUUAAUAUAAAAAAAAUUCAGAACUUAAGCUUUUAAAUUAGAAUCACUUUUCAAUAUUUAGCAAUAGGUUCCUUCUCUAGUUUUGAAUCUUGCCAACUUCAUUUUUUUUUAAUUAGAAACUAGAUAAAUAGCCUACGAUAUACUAUCGAUCAAGUUAAUUUUUUGCUAACAUGAAAAAAGAUGUUCAUGCGAUAUCAAUAUUUUUAAAGGAGUAAAAAAAAUUAGGAAUUCGAUUACUGAAAAAGAUUACACGUGUUGUUAGAGCAAUGACUCGAAAAGCAAAAAUAAAACACCAUGAAUUAAGCAUCUCAUGCUAAUUCUCACGUAAAUGAAUAAAUUAUGAAUGAAUAAAAAAUUAAUCUCAAAUAACUUUUGGUUAACAUGCUUAGAGAAAUUUAAGACACUCUAAAAACUCUAUCCUACAUUAAAAAAAAAAAAAACAAGUUUUUCUAGUUGUUUAUAUAGUGAGAAUAUAAAAGGUUAAAAUUAAACCCAAAUAAAACCCAGGCUUUUACAGGAGAGAGGACCUAAUCUAAGUGAUCUUUGAGCUUAAGCCAAGUGCGUGCACACAAGACUCAGCUCGUGCACAAGCCUCGAGCUUUGAACCUUGUUUAGGCCUAAGUUGAGGCAUAUGUUUGAGUUUAUUAUAAAAUAAUAUUUGGGCUAUAAAAUAUUUUUUUUCCAACCUAUUAUAGGCUUGGAUUUAAAUUUAUAAUUCUUUGACCUAUAAAGGAUUUUUUUUACCAUCCUAUUCUUUUGUCAAGUCCAUGAAUUAAAGAAUUUGAUUAGUUUAUUUCGUAAUAGUUUCUUAAAACUUAAUAAUUUUUUCAACUUAAAAACUUCAACUUAAGCCAAAAUAUUAGGUUUUUUAUUUAUAAUUAAAGCUAAUAAUGAUGAGAAAUUAUUAUGGUAAUUAUUAAAAUUAACUUGAUAUAAGUUUUGGUUUAAAAAUGGACGGAAGAAUAAUGUUUUUUGUUGGUUUUUGUGGACAGUGUGUAGAAAGAAUUUGUAAAAUUUUUGACACUUUUCCUCACCUCAAUGUUUAGCAUAAUUAAGCCACAAUAUCCGGGCUUCUUCUUCUCUUUUUUCUAAUCUUGCUUUUUUUUUUUAAUUAAUAUCUUCUUUGAAUGUCUUUUUUCUUAAAUAAUUUUUAAAUUUAUGAUUCAAUUAAUAUCCCUCCUUUAUGAUUUUUUUCUUAUUUAACAUUUUUUGGAUAGAGAUUUUUUUAAUGGUGUUGUGUGUAUUUAGUUUUUGGAAAUCUUAUUCUAAUGCUUCUAUUUUUUUAAUCUUUUAUAUAGAUGAAUUUUAUUUUUUAAAAUAAAAAAUAUUUAUUUUCAAAAAAUAUUUUUAACAUGUGAAGCAUUACAUGAUAUUUUUUUUAUUUUGUUUUAUUCAAUAAAUUUAAUGUGCGUGUUUAUUUUUAUUAUCAUUUGAUUAAAUAAAAAAUUAAAUUUUAAUAAAUAAAUUUAGUAAGCACAAUCAGGUAAAUAUCCUGUUUUGCAAGAUUAAAUGUAUUAAUCUAUAUUUAUUUCUUGUUUUUUGUGAUUUUAUUUUUAAUUAUUGGUAAUGAUUUUUGUUUUUCUGUUUAUUAACAUAUGUAGUUCUUAAUUUAUUUAAUGAUAUAUAUGCAUGAACAUUUUAAUUUAUAUAUAUUUUUAAUGUAUACAAACAUAUUAAAAAAGACAAUAUAAAUAUUUUUUUUUAAUUAGAAAAAAUAUCUAAUCCGCAAUGAAUUGCUGAGUAAAAUAGCUAGUUUAUAAUCUAGAGGAUGGACAGCGCCAAAAAGUAUAAAAAAUUCAAAGCCAAUUUGCAACUUGGUUGAAAAAGACUAAAUUGCAUGCUAUUUUAUUAUAAUAAAUAAAUAACGAAUCGAGACAGAUUCCUCGCCAGCUAAUAAUGAAAGCUUUACUACAAUUUAAGAGAUUAAAAAUGACUCCAAAAAAUCAAUGCAGAUCCCUGUAUAAAUAGGAAUUAUUAAUUAAAGAAUUCUUAACUUGCUUGAAAUGAACCCAAAUAAAAAAUUAUCUCAAUUCAAUAGCUUAACCUAUUAAAUAAAAUUUUAAAAUAUAAUUUAUAUUAUUUUCUAACACAUCUCCUAAAAUAAAAGUCUUUUGGACUUGAAACUUGCAUAGACUCACACUACCUUGUGUUUAAUUUUUAUCACAUAAAUGAGGAUGAUGAAAUUCGAACUCGUGACCGUUUAGUCAUCAAGGCUCUGAUACCAUGUCAAAGAAUCAUCUCCACCCAAAAGUUUAAGCUGUUAGGUGAGGUUCCAAGAUAUUAUUUAUAUUAUUCUCUAACACUAAGUAUGAGAAUUAAAAAAUGACUGUAGACUUAGAGUCCACGCUAGCUAAUUAAGAAAUGUUUAUUAUAAUUCAAGUCAAUAAAAAUGACUCCACAUUGACUCUAAAAAUCAAUUUUGAGAAAUUAUUAUGAGUCCUAAGAGGUAAUUUAACUGGUCAGGUCUUGGGCUUGCUCCCUAAUGGUCACGAGUUCGAGUCCCCUCAGGACCACUGGUGGCUUACAUGAUUGUUAACUUCAGGACCCGUAGAAUUAGUCGAGGUGUGCACAAACUGAUCCAGACACCCACGUUAAUAAAAAAAAUUGAGAAAUUAUUAUGGUAAUUAUUAAAAUUAACUCUAUAUAAAUUUUCGUUUAAAAAUCCUUAGUAAAAAUAGACUGAAGAAUAAUGUUUUUUACUGAUUUUUUCUGGACAGUGUUCAGAAAAAUAAUUGCAAAUCUUUCUCACCUUAAUUUUCAGCAUAAUUUACUCGGUUUUAAGCUUUGUGUUAUUUUUUAGUUUUUUUUUUCUACACAAAAGCUUAGAUUCAAUGAGAGAUAUUUGAAUACAAUUCCUGAGUUCGUUUGAUUUUACAAAAGCUUAGAUUCAAUGAGAGAUAUUUGAAUACAAUUCCUGAGUUCGUUUGAUUUUAUUUAGGAGUGUAUUUAAACAAUAUAAUUUUUAUUGAAAUUCUAAGAAACUUAUUAAAAUCAACUUUUUUGUAUUUAGUAGAAAGUAAUAAAAUCUUAAAUACAAAAUCAUUCACAACAAUAUAUUUUUAGAUAAAUAUUUUUUUAAGUAUUUCUACAAGUAAAUAUCCUAUACAUGUUUUUAUUUAAAUACAUGCUUAAUAUGAAAGUUGUAUAUUGUCUUUUAUUGCAAUCUUACAAUGGUAUUAUAUUGCAUGUAUAUAAAUUAUACUUCUAUAUUCUCACUAUUUAGUCUACUAACUUUGAACAACAUUUUUUUUCACGGGUACAUUUCUAUAAAUUUUUGUUUGGUAAUUUUCACGAGUCAUUAAUAACUUUGCUCAGUUUGCGAUUAUUUCCAUCAAUAACAUGGAUCCAAGAUUGUUGGAGGCAGUACAGAGAGGAAAUGUCAUUGAACUACAGGAGCUGCUCGGAGCAAACGAUUACCUUCUAGAAAGAAGUUGUCUCAAUGACUCCUCCGAGACAAUCCUACAUAUUUCCUGCUUAGCCGGACGAACAGAAUUCGUGAAGGAGCUACUGAAGAAGAAAGCAGAUUUAGCUAAAAGGCUCAACCCAGAUGGGUUUAGCGCAAUACACAUAGCUUCUGCAAAUGGGUUUGUGGAGAUAGUGAGAGAGCUAUUGAUGGUUAACAGCGAGCUUGGCAGGCUUAAAAGCAGUGAUGGUAGAACUUCUCUUCAUUGUGCUGCUAUAAAUGGGAUGGUACAUGUGAUCAAGGAAUUGCUCAAGUUUUGUCCUGCGAGCAAGGACAUUGUGACAUUCAAAGGGGAAACCGCAUUUCACCUUGCUUUGAGAAAUAAUCAGUUUGAGGCUUUCAAAGUCAUGGUUGAUGUGCUCCAGCCGCAUAACAUUAAGGAGCUUCUGAAUGUGACGGACGAAGAUGGCAAUACUGUUUUACACCUUGCGACAGCUAAGAGACAGACUCAGGCAAGUCCGCUUUCCCUUCUUUCUUUGCUCCUUAUCUUUUGGGGUGCCUUGGGAUGGGCAUGAUCGGGUAUAACUUUCUAAAUUUCGAAUUAUAUUUCUACAACUAUGGUUUUCUGCAUAAUGGUAGACAUAAAACUCAACUACGAAACUAGAUGGUCAUUUUCCCUUCGUACUUGAAUUUCCUAUUUUCUAUUCAUUUUGAUCUGGUUUAGUUAAACCUUCAAAACAAGGGGAAUUUAUGUUGCUCGUAAUCAGAGCCAUCAAAUUUUAAAUUUAGGAAACUGAAACACUGUUUUAAACUUACUAAAAUAUGUGUUUUACGUGUUGAAAUUAAUUUUGAUUUUUUCAUUCAAAUUAUCUUUUAGUUCUCCUAAGUAUCUUCUAAAUAAAUGCAUAUAACAGUGAAAAAUACAGAGUUUGUGAAGAGAAUAAUUUGUUCCUCUUUCUAGCACGACAUAAAAUAGCCACUUUACAAAGCCCUCUUUAUAUCCUAUAGUUUAGGACUGAUUGACUAAUUAUAUGGAAACCUAUAGCUAUCAAGAUACAAUCACAUGUUCACAGGGAUUCUAGUAAUUCUAUUAUAUCUCUGUAGCUAGCAGUAGAGAUAAAAUAGGGGCUUGAAUAUUGGAGAUCCAACUUGAAGAUAAUUACUCAUAAUUAUCAACACUCCCCCUUAUAAAUGUCAUCCAUGCCUAGUUUGUUGAGACAGUCAUUAAAUGCUUGGUUUGACACUGUCUUGAUCAGCACAACAGCAAGUUCGUCUUGAGAUCGAACAUGAAGAACUUCAAUCAAUUUUUCUUUUAGUUUCUCCUUAAUAAAAUAUGUAUCAACCUCAAGAUGUUUAGUUUGAUCAUGUUGGACAAGAUUAUGAGCAAUAUAACACGUUGUCUUGUUAAUCACAAUAUAACUUCAUAGGGCUGACUUGCUUACUAUGUGAAUCUUGCAUCAAAUUUCUAAUCCACAACAAUUUGCAUAUUACCUUAGUCAUUCCUUUGUAUUUUGUUUGGAUCUAGCAACUGCCUCAUGUUUUUUUACUUCGCCAUAUAACUAAAUUCCCUCCUACAAAUGUGAAAUAGCUAGAUGUAGAAUGUCGAUCUUGAAUCGACCAAAACAAUUAGCAUUUGUAUAGUCGUUAAUAUCUAAAUUGUCUUCUUUUGUGAAUAAAAUUCCCUUUCCUGAAGAUGACUAAGUAGCGUAAGAUACGAAUGACAACAUUCAUAUGUUCGUCGCUUAGGGAGUGUAUAAAUUGACUAACCACAAUCAGCACAUAAGCUAAAUUAGGCCAAGUACAUGCAAGAUAUAUUAAUCUUCCAACCAGCCUUUAAUAAUGUUCCUUGUUAGUAGGAACUUGAUUUGAAUACACCUAUAGUUUCAAAUUUUCUUUCACAAGAGUGGUAGUUGGACUACAUGUUGUCAUACCAGUUUCAUUUAGAAAGUCUAAGGUAUGUUUUUUUGUGACAGAAAAAUAUCUUUCUUCGAUCUAGAUACUUCAAUUCUAAGAAAAUACUUUAAUUCCCUGAGGUCUUUCAUCUCAAAGUCAUGAGUAAGAUGCUCUUAUAGUAUUUUCUUUUCUUCAGGAUCAUUUCCAAUCACUAUCAUAUCAUUAAUGUAUACAAUAAGAGCUGUGAUUUGUUUUUCAUUAUGCUUCAAGAAUAGAGUGUGAUCUAAGUUACUUUGCUUGUAACCAACAGACGUCAUAAAACUUGUGAACCUUUCAAACCAUGCUCUAGGAGACUACUUCAAACUAUAUAGGGAUUUUCUCAACCUACAAACUUAUUUAUUACCUUUAGUCUACCGAUUACAGCCAAGGGACAACUCCAUAUACACUUCUUGGAGAUUUCCAUUUAAAAAUAUUUUUUUUUUAUCAAACUGGUGUAAAGGCCAAUCAAGAUUUAUUGCUAGAGAUAAUAAAAUACGAACAGUGUUAAUUUUGGCCACUAAUGAGAAUGUCUCCAUAUAAUCAAUUCCAUAUGUUUGAGUAUAUCCAUUGGCGACAGGUCUUGCUUUGCAUCGUUCAAUAGUUUCAUCGACUUUGCAUUUAAUGGUGAAAACCCACCUGCAUCCAACAGGUAACUUUCUUUCAGUUGCGUCAACAACUUUCCAUGUUGAGUUUUUUCAAAAGCUCUUCAUCUCUUCAUUCAUUGCCUCCCUCCAUCUGAAAUCUUUCAAAGCUUCCUGCACAUUGUUAGAAAUAGUUGCACAUUGUUAGGAAUAGAUAUAACAUAUAAUUGAUUCAUAAAUGUCAUGCUUUUCUUUGAUAAUCUAUGGUAGGAUACAUAGUUAUUUAUAGGAUAUUUAGAUUUAGAGUUGAGGACAGGUUCAUAGCUAACCUUGCAUUAAAAAAAAGUAAAAAAAAAAAACACCUAAAACUUCUUGCAACGAAAGAUAAGAUGUUGUACAAGAGAGACCACACAUGAAGAAGAGGAGAGAGAACUCUUCUUACAUGACAUGAGAAAUGGCUAAAGAGCCAUGAUAAGAAGAAGGCAGCAGCCUGCCUAAAAUACAGUGAGCCAAAUAUUAAAAGAAGUGUUUGGUUAGAGAAAUAUGGUGGCAACCAUGAAAGGAGAAAAAUGGCUAGGAGCAACCAUGUUCAUAUAGACCAUUUUUAAGGAAAGAAAGAUUGAAAAGAUGGCAAUGAGAUGCCAUUAGCAAGUCAUGACAAGAUGGUUUUCAAUCAAAAUUCAAAUUUAUGUGAGAGUUUCAAAGUUAAGGAGGAGUGUUGGAAAUAAUUUUGAAGUAUUUAUUUAAAGUAAUUUUUAGUUCUUUUAGGUGUGUCCUAGAUAUAUGCAUGUAACUAUCCAAGAUGUAUUUAUCUUUUACGUCUUUUGAAUUAUCCGAGAUUAGUAUAGAUAAGUAUUGUAAAUCUAAGUAUAAAUCUAUAUGGACUUACUAUUUAAAGGAGUAAUUAAUGUAAUACGAAUAAGAUUUGGAUUUCAUCAUGCUUCCCAUGUUCCCAUUACUUUUCUCCUUCAAAUAUGUGGAGUUUUUGGGAUGUCUGACCCGUAUUUCAUAUUCAUACCAGCUAUGUCAUGUCGUGUUGAUCCAGAUGCUUUCGGAGCAUCAGAGUUCUGGAUUAGUAUUAUGUUUAAUUUUUAAGUAAUCUAUGAUUACACAACGGAAAAAGAAGUUUUUACGUAAUCUCUUUUCUUUUCUUAUGUUACAGACCCUGAAAUCACUUCUUGGCGGUCAAGGUAUUGACAUAGGUACAAUCAAUGUGAAUGUCGUCAACAAGAUUGGAUUAACUGCUAGGGACAUGUUAGAUGUCUCACAAAAAAUGCAGGCUGACGCUGGUGAUUUCAUGCUCAGGGAAUUGCUUCACGGUGCUGGAGCAUUAAGAGCAAGGGAACUUGGAACUGUUGUUGAUGUUCAAGUUACUCGUAUCUCUAGCACCGUAUCAGAAUCAUUGAGUCAAAAUUCAGAGCAUUUCUUACUUAAGGUGGCUAAACAUUUAGAUCCAGUGAAGCACUACAAGAAACUAGCUAAAGAAGUUCAACAGGCUCCCCCAGGAACACAAAACGUAUUGUUGGUUGUGGCAGUACUUAUUGCAGGUAUGGCAUACCAAGCCAUCUUAAACCCUCCUGGUGGCAUUCGCACCGAAGAACUUGAAGAUGGGACGGUUUACUAUUAUGCUUGGAUGGCUUCAGGAAAAGGGCGUGAGUUUAUUUUCUUCAUGGCUUCGAACACUAUAGGCUUUUUUGCGUCGAUUGUGGUGAUCAAUUUAAUUAUUCAGGAGUAUCCACUCAAGUCAUUACUGGGGCUAGCUUUGCGUUGUAUGGUGGCAAAUUAUAUUUCUGGGUUUCUUCUUAUUGGCCCGACUAGCGUGUCUAUCACCCGUAGCGCGUUAUUGGGAAUAGUAAUUGUAGUAUCGGUCGACUUAAUUCGCUUCAGCUUCCGGUUACUCAGAAGAUGGUCCAAAAAAAUAAGAGAACAGAUGCUUCAUUAGACCGUGGAGCCAGCGCCGGACUUGAGGUGAAAAAUGAUGCAGCUGAAUAACUCUGCUGCCACAGAGUAAGAUAUGGUAAGUUUUGUGUUACUCGAAUCCUAAACAUCCUUGUAUGGACUCAAAAUCUGCAAGCCCGUUAUAAGUAUUUGGCAGUUUGUGAACUGAUAAAAUUUUACUUCCUGGACGCAUGCUUGGGAAUACAUCUAGUUUUUGUACCCAUGAAUUGUUGCAGGGACAGUGAAAAAUUACACGAAUUUAGGCAUCUUAAAAGUGUUUGAGCUGAAAAAAGAAUGGCAAUGUAAAAUAUCUAGCGAAUAUGGUUGAUUGAGCAUCUUUCAAAAUUUUGAAGAAAAAAGGCACAAAAAUUGUAUGCUUCAUCAUGAUCUCUCGGUAGGUAGUCCAUUACUGACGAAACAUAGAGACAACCAUGCUAUAUAGGGAAUAACAAACACCUUACGCAACUUGGUAAACAUGGUAUGGGAAUUUAAGAUGCCAUUUGAAUUGAAUUCUAUGGAAAAUCUAGAUUUUAGAAUUCAAAGAUUGUUAGUAAUGUUCACCAAGAAAAAUGAAAAUAACAAUCAAUACAAAGUAGACAUCAUCCAGUUGUAUCAAAUAUCAAUUUAUAAGCAAGAGGUUAACAGAGAAACAUUGUGUCAUAAUCCAUUUUUGGAUCACUCCCAAAUCCAUUUCCUUUUCUUUCAAAAGAAAACGAUAUGGUGCCGUUUUAAACGGCACUGUGCAUAUUCUUCUCCCCUCAAAGACAGGGGAGAACAAGAUUUUUGAAAAUUUUUCUCGCUAUUCUUCCCCUCUCUCUUUCCCCUCCCACUUGCAUAAAACCCAUACCUAUAAGUCCAUGCCGCCAUGAUGAAGAAAACAGGAAACCAUGCCUUGCCAGCAGCUCCCAUCACCCACCUUACCCUGCACCAAGGCAGGGGUAAGGUGACCCUCUCCUCCUCUGCUUAUAAAUACCAGAGAAGGAACCAACAAUAAGGGGGGCGGGGGCAAAAAUUUUGGAGAAGGAGAGAAGCAAAUGACAGAUUCAGGGGGGGAGAAUUUUUUUAGAAAAGAGGGAAGCAAGCAGGAAAGAAGCAGAAACAGGAGGGGGGAAAGGUUUUGAAAACAGAAAAGAGUGGUGAACAUUUGAAAACAGAGAAGGAAGGAGAGAUUUGAGAAGGAACAGAGAGAGGAGGACAAUGUUGACAGAGGAAACACACAGGGGAAAAGAAGAAUUGCAGCAGCUUGCCUCUACUCCUCACCGGCGCCCCCCACAGCAACUCCACUGGUCAGCAACCGCCAGCAGCGCCACCCACCGUCAGCCUCCCACCAUCUUCCUUCCCUGCUGCAACACUGUGAAAAAGAAGAAAAAAUAGCAGCACUGGUUGCCACAACCACUGAGCCGCGACAACAUCUCCUCCGCCACCAGCAGCGCCACCGUCAACCUCUAACCAUCUUCCUCCCCCUGCUGCAACACCCUUGAAGAAGAAGGAGCCGGCACCUCUGCACAGACGGAAAAAACAGCAGCAGACACUGCCCGCCACCGCAGAGAAGAAUCACCAUCACUUCGCCAACAACAGCAGCAACCAUUAGAAAUAGAAGAAGAAAGGAGAAGCAGCAGAUAGAAGCGGGGAGAAGAAGAAACACUGAAAAAACAGAAACAGAGGAGAACAGAUUAGAAGAAAAAAACGCAGAGAAGAAAAGAAAGGCCGACCACCAUCCAAGCCGUUCUCCGGUCAGCAACUGCCAGCAGCAGCAGCACCGUGAGCCGCCGCCAGGUCUGCUUUCCCCGCCUUUCCCUUCUUUCUUCUUCUUCUUCCCCAUGCAGGUUCCACUGUUCAUGCGAACUUUGGGCCGGAUCAAUUCUGGCUCAGCUCAAAUUUCUGGGCCGGUUCCGGCCCGUUCAAAAAAAAUCCAAAAAAAUAUUUUCGUCAAAAUCUGUGAUUUUUUUAGCAAAAUUUGUCUCUACUGUUGAUGUACAUGAUUAUUUCCUCCAAGAAAUAGGUAUAUUCUUCGUCAAGAGCUUCAUCAGCCCCAUUUCCGUUUCAAACUUCUCAGGAAGCCUGUCUUUGGCCAUCUCUACAUAGUUUGGUUCCAAAAUCCAAUAUUACAACCAACAAAACUCGUCUCUGGUCUGAUUCUCUUUAAGAAGCUGUACUUCGUAUAUAUGUAUUAGGGAGAAUCUGCACUUGAGAUCACCUUUGUCUUCACAUGAGAUGCACGCAAGGAUUUAUACACGUCGAUGGAUGCUUUCUUUAAAUCAUAAAUUCAUCAUCGUAUAUAAUCAUAUCAAAAUUUGCUAUAAAACUCCUUACUCUCAUAUGAAAUUCAACUGUUAUGAGUCUCUUGUUAACAUUUAACAACUUCCAUUCAGCAUGAGAUUUAAUUGCAUGAUCUUAUCUUAACAAUAACUUGGACAACCCAACACAUAACAUUGGAUCAAAUUAGUUUUUUUCUUUUUUGGAUUCUCAAUACUUAAUAAGGAAAUGAGAUUCGUAAGAAACUAAUUUGGUCCAACAGUACGCGUUAAGCUAUUCAAGUCAUUGUUAUCGUGUUACCAUACAAGUAUACCUCAAGUCGUGGCUUUAAGCCUAACUCUUACACUUUACCAUAGAAAGUGGAGAAUUCAUGGGAGUACACAAUCUUCAUAACCAUUAGGAGCAACAAUGGGAGCUCAACGACCAAAAUAGUUUUUUGUAUUUAAGGAAAUCAUUACCAGAAUUCUUAUAUUUACCAACAGAAUUUUCCGUCGAUAUUUGUACUAUCAUUUCAUUGGCAAUUAAUUUACCGAAAGAAUCACAGAUAAAAAUGCUCUGUCGGUAAUUUUUUAUCUAUCGAUAAGUCCGUCGAUAAUAACAAAAUAUUAUUACUGAUGCAUUUACUGACGGGAAAAGCGUGCUAAAAAACAUUAUUCGCUUCAUUACGUCGGUAUUUUUCUCAGGAAGUUUGUCAUAUAACCAACAAAAAUAUUGUAUGCAAUUUCGUCGGUGAUUAUUUAAAAAUAUUAUUUUAUAAAAAUCUAUUUAACAAAACUAGAAAAAAAUUAAAUUAAUAUAAAUCAACACUCCAUAAUACUCAGAACUGAGUUGCUUAAAAAAAAUCAACUCAAACAAAUGUGCAACAAAAAAAUAAACAACAACAACAAAUAAAUAAAUCAACAAAAAAUUGAUCUCAUAUGAAAAACAAAUCCUACAACAACAUUCAUACAAUUACUAAGAACAGAAAAAUUUAAAAAUAUAAUAAAAAAACACAAAAAAAUAAGAAAAAAGAAAUUUUACCUUGAUGUAGUUGCGACUGAAGCUGAGAAGAGAAAAAAAAUCAUAAAAUAUGUUAAUUAAAAAAACUAAAAAGAGAAAAGAAGAAAAAAUAAAAAGGCAUGCAUGAGCGUGGAGAAGAAGAGAAGGAGUUUAGGAGAGAAAGAAAGAAAGGGACUUUGAUGUUUUUUAUAUAAGAAGAAGAAGAAGAAGAAGAAAAGGGCAUGUUUGUUAUGAAAUGAGGGAUUCUAGUCUUUUUAUUGAGGUAUUUUACCGAUAAUUUUACCGACGGAUAAUUAAAUAUUAAUAUUUUUAACCAUUCUGUCGGUGAUUCCGUCUUUAAUAUUUAAUUUAAAAUUUCAAUAUGAUAUAUAUAUUUUUUUAAUAUUGAGACGAUAAUAUUUUGAGCUUUGUAGCUUAACCCGCAACCCGAGUUAUGAACUCCAUUGAGUUUAAUAACUUUGUUUUUUGAAACUAUUUUUUACUUAAUUUUAUGAUGAUAAAAUUAGACACUUAUAAAAUUGAGCACCAAUCAAAUAUCAGCUCAUUUGUUUAAGGAUGUAAUAACUUUAUAAAAAGCAAAUCAAAAUAAAUUAUAAAUAAUAAUUUAAAAGCAAUGCAUCAUUGAGUAAUGAAAUUUAAAUUAAAAAAAGAAGAAAAAAAAAGAAGAGGGACCUGCUUGUAUUGUUUACAUGAACAGUGCAAGCAGGCGAUUUCCCCUUAAUUCUUGAUGUUGUUGUUAGUAACAGUAGCUGUAGUAACAAUAGUAAAAUAAAAAAGAAAGAGGCAAUAAACUAUAAAAAAAUGAGUUAUAAUAUAUAAAAUCAAUGAUUCUUUAUAUAUUUUUUUUACGAUAUACAUCAGUUUCGAUAUAAAUAAUUUAUUUAAAAUCUAAUUGAAAAUAAAUUUAGUUAUAAUAUAUAAAAUCUAGUCCAAAAAUAAUUUUACCUUUAAUACCCAAGAGAAAUCUUAAGAAUAACCACUCCAGAAACCAAAAUAAUUGUAUCAACAAAAAAAACAGAGCUAAAAUAUUUUUUUUAACAUAGAUAAAUAUAUAAUAAUUUACUUUAUUUUUCAUGAUAUUUUGGGUUUCCAAAUGGACGACCCCAAAUCCAGCCCUAAACCCUGUAUUUUUUUAUUAAUAAACCUAUUUUUGGAAGAAUGAAAAAGAUGGAUUAUUUUGUUAUUGAAUUUUUAGCCUAAAAAACUGAAAUUUAUUCUCGUGAAAAUUAUCCAGUAAUUAAAGAUGAAAAAAUAAAAAAUAAGCCCCAAAUAUCAAUACCCCGAAUUCCCAAAACAAAUUAAACUACCCAAAAAACACAAAACACCUCCUCAAAUAACAAAAGUAGGGUUUUAUAGCUCUUUACCGCUUAUAUAUAACUUCUUGACACCCCUGUUUCUCCUCCAUUAGCAGGCUCCACACCUCCAAAAACCCUGUUUUCAUCACACAAAUCCUUUCAAAAACUUACCUUUUAAAAAAACUCUCUGAAUGAUGCCUCCUAGGCUUCACUUGUUACAUUUCACUGAAGUAGAAAGCCCCAAUGCUCGUGCUAAAACACCUGCCGUUCAGUGUUGUAGUUUAGCCUCUUGUACCUUUUUUCACGGCUUAUCUGUUUCAAAUCAACGACUACAUCUCUUAUUUCUUAAAAUUUCUCUUUUUUUCAUCCGGGUAUGUGUUUUUUUGUUGCCUCUCUAUACCUCUAGCUUGUUUUUUGAGAACUAUGGUGGAAAUUAAGCUAGUCACUGAGGCAAAAAUUGAGUCUUUUUGGUGGUGUUCACGUGGGGGCUUAUGCCCUUUGUGUCAGUGGUUUUGCCUCUAAAAACUCCUUCCGAAUUCAUCAAGUUUUGAUUGUUUUAUGUUAUUGAAUUUGUUGGCGAUUAUUAUAUUGGAUUUAUCGCUCUCCUGAGAGAAAUCAAUGAAGCAAAGAGAUAAAUCAAGUUUUGAUUGGAUUCAUCAAGUUUUCUUUUUAUUGAUUGAUCUUGGGUUCUGUUUGUUCUGUGAUUAAAGUUAUGUUUUUUUCCAGAAAUUUUUGGCAGUGAUGAUUAAUAUACAGCUUUAAUGCCAGUUCUGCUACUGAAAAUUCUUGAUUGAUAGAGCUGUUAUAACUCUGAGCCAUUUAAUUUAUAGAUACAAAAUAGUUUGAAUAGCUUAUUACAUUGCAUCCAUUCAUGAAUUCCUUGUAUAUCUAUUUUUAAUGUUAAUAAAUAUGUAGGAGGUUUAAGGUUUUUGAGACUUGGCUAUGGUAAUUUUUGGUUUGAGCAAAAUUGUAAUGUAAGAUUGCCUAUGAUGAUAUAAUCCAAUUUGUUUAAGGUGCAGUGGAGCCAUGUCCCUGUUUAUCAGGGAGAACCUACUUGGUGGAAGCUACAUUACGAUGAUAUUAAUGGAUUUAACUGAGGUAAUUUGAUUUUGAAAUUUAUGUAGUGUUUGAUACGCUGUUAAAAGAUGGGUUAUACGAUACAAAGAUGUUUGGGGUAUCUUUGAAUAUUAUAAAAAUCAUUUCUCCACUUUUCUGGUGGAGAAAUUUUUGUUUAUUAAAAGAAUACGUUUGUUUAACUUAAAUUUAUGUGUUUGCGGUAUAAAAAAUACAGUAAGGUAUUUGGUUACACACCAAACUGUGUUUUAUAAUACGGGGCCUAUUAAAAAUUGCGUUUGAAACACAGUUUUUGUGAAGUAGUUUUUACAUGUUUUUUUUAACUAAGUUUCAUAAAAUGCUAUUUGUUUUUGCAUUUCAAAAGCACUUUUGAAAAAAUUUGAAAACUUUUUAUUUUUUUUACUUGAAAUUAAUAUUUUUUUAUUUUCAGAUUAAUUUGAUGCGUUGAUAUCAAAAAUAAUUUUUUUAAAAAUAAAAAAAAAUUAUCUUGAUUUAUUUUCAAGUAAAAAACACUUUGAAAAACAACCGCAACCACACUUCCAAACACAAUUGAACCAAACAUUUUAUACAUGUUUUUUGCUACACAUAAGCCUCAGCCAUAAUUUUUAUCAAACACGUAUCUAAAUUCAACUAAUCACACUUUUUAAAACUUACUUUUUUAAAACCGCAACCACAAAAGCUACCUAAAAAACAAACACACUUUUUAGGAGUAGAUCAAGCUUGUUCAGGGUUGUUUUUUAUUGAUAUAAAAAUAAAACUGGUUAUUAUUAUAGUUUUAAAAUUUAAAUAGUAGUCGAUCCAGAGCAAGUUCUGGAUUAUAAAUCAGGUUGAUUAUUGACCCGAAUCAAUGUAAAGAUAAAAAUAAUUAUUAUCUUAAUUUAAAAUUUAAUAUAAGUGAUGACCCAAGGCAAGACCUUAAUUAUAUGUUAAGAAGGUUGAUAAGGGUUGAUCCAAGUUAAGUUAAUAAAUGGAUAACAAUACCUUGGUUACAUUAUAGGAACGUCAGCUACGAUUGAUCCAAGUAAAGUUAAUGUACGGAUAAAAAUGAUUAUAAUAAUUGUUUUAAAAUCUCAUCCCAGAAGUUUAUUUGGGACAACGUCUAGUUAUGAGUCAAAAUGAUUAAUCCAAGUUAAUCUAAAUAAAUAAAAAAAACCAAAAUAAUCUUGUUUUGACCUUAAAAAAAAUCAUAGGUUUUUUAUCCAUGUUUUAUCUCGAAUCAACUUAGAUUUUUAAUUAGAUUAAGUUGAAUCAAUUCUUUUAUCCUUUUUAAAAUGGAUUGAUCCACUCUUGUAAUUCAGUGUUAAUCAAAUAUAAAAUAAAACAUAUUAUUUAAUCCAAAACAUACCAAACAUAAAACAAGACAAUCAAAACUAUUGACUACACCGAAACUAGCUUAGCGUUUUCUAUAGCUCAUUAAUCAUGGAAAAAAUAAACAAAUUGAAUUUCUUUUAUCUCUGUUGUUCAAAUUGAGUCUUAACUACACUCUUUACACCUUGUCAGCGGGAUUAGGGUCUGAAAAACUCUGUUGUCAUCAGCUUCAUCUCCUUCAUAACCCACCGGAUCGGAGUUAAAUAAUAGCACUACAUUAAUUUCUCAAAAUGUUUAUGUUCUGCUGUUUUAUAUACCCAUUUUCCUCCUUUUUUUUUAUUAUGUUGAACUUGUUAGCCUUCAUUCUAUGAUCUCUAUAUUGAAGGUGUUAGCAUUUUCCAAGUGCCAAAAUUGAAUUUUUCGAUCAUUGUACUCGUGAAAAGCAAGGUGAAAUAUCUGGAUAAAUAAAACUAUCGUUACAGCUGAUGCCAUCAAGAAGAUGACGAAAAUAUAGUUUAUAACACGAGCUAAUAUCAGACUCUUUUAAAGUCUGCUGUGAAGUGUUUAUUUUCAGUAUUUCAAAAGGGACCGUAAAUUAACCAUAAGAUGACGAGAAGAUAGUUUAUAACACGAGCUAAAUGAGAAUCAAUCUUCUUCAAUAUCAGACUCUUUUAAAAGUCUGCUGUGAAGUGUUUAUUUUCAGUAUUUCAAAAGGGAGCGUAAAUUAACCAUAAGAUGACGAGAAGAUAGUUUAUAACACGAGCUAAAUGAGAAUCAAUCUUCUUCAAUAUCAGACUCUUUUAAACUCUGCUAUGAAGUGUUUAUUUUCAGUAUUUCAAAAGGGAGCGUAUAUUAACCACCUUUGCCUCGAACGCAAAGAAGAUGAAGGCUACACCAAUGACACAAGUCGUGAUUGCAAGCCAUGAUGAUGUAGAUAGCACUGCAUAACUUCCUGUGAUGAAUGCGAUGACCAUUGCUGGGAUGGCACAUAUGGUUAAAGUAGAUGUCCAUUCAGAGAAGUUUUCUUUUAUAUCCUCUUCCACUUGAACUCUUGUUCCAAGCAGUGCCCAAUAAAAGUGCAUGAAGAGAGCAGAAAUUGAGAGAGCCAUUGCUAUUGCAUCUGAUAUAACAAAGACUGCAAAAGCAGCAUUUUUAACAAGAACUGCAGUGCCUUGUUCGUUCUUGUAACCACCAGGCACGGUGAAAGCAGCUGCAAAUGUUACUGUUGCUACGAGGGCCGCUACAACUAUAUGAGCAUCUAUUCCUCUCUCAGUAAUAGAGAGGUAGUCUGUUUUCAUCAUAGUUAUGGGCCGUUGAAGCGGUCCACUCCGUACAUCUUUCAAUGAUUCCAAAAACUCUUUCUGCAACAAGUUUCGGCUAUGAAAUUAAACGAAUCUUUCUUUUCGACUCUCAACCUUUGUUUGCUAUCAUAACCAGCGACUUUGAAAUCAAGUAAUUUUGUUGCUUUUAGCUACCAACAAUAUAUAUUGCUUUUGUUGCUACGAGAGCUGUUUUGUUUUUUAGUUUUAAAUUGUUUUUAGGUAUGAUUUAAAAGUUUUUUUAAUUUGAAAAAACAUCAAAUUAAUUUUUUUAUAUAUUUUUUGAUGUACUGAUAUGAAAAAUAAAAUAAAAAUAAAUAUAUUUUUAAUUUUUUUUUUUAAAAAAAAAACAUCUAAUACCAUGGUAUAUCAACCAACAUUAAAACAAAAGGAAACAAAGAAACCAACAUCAGUUUAGGGGACAAAGCAAAUAGUGUUAAUCAAUUAAAUUUUUUUUUUUGUUGAAGUUGAAGGUAUAAUUUUGUUAUAUUGCCAAAAGGAUUCUAUUCUAUUUUUAUUUUAUUUAAAAAAAAGGGAGAAAAACCAAGUGAAUUUAUGUUUGAUUGAUGUGCUUUAUUAAUGGUGCAUGCAUACGUAUUUAUUGUUACAGUUGAAGUUUUUUUUUUUUUAAGAAGAUUGAAUGAAUAUUAUAAAUUCUCUUGAUGCAUCCUUUGAUAUAUAUGAAAAAAAUAUUACAUCAUUCCUAUAUGACAAUUUAAAUUUAAUUUUUUUUUGGCAAGUUAGCGUUACACUUAAUCUUGCCAAAACAAAAUGCAAAGACUCUUUCGCGUGUACGAGUGCGACUAGUUAGAAGUCAAAUCGAGGGAAUUACCUUAUCUUCAGGAAAAUUUCCUACCAAGAUGUCAUCAACGCUGAGGUUUUGCUUGUUAAGGCCACACAUGUUCCUGUACGCAUGUCUCCAAUCACUACUCAAAUACCUCUGGGGAAAAUUGCGGAAAGCAGCAAAUAGAUGCAAUGGUGUGUUUCCAUCGUUAUCCUUCUCGUAUAUAAGUUUGUCAAAUUUAGGAAUCCAUCGAGAGAAAUAGAUAGCUACCAGUCCUUCUAUAGUUGUGGCAGCAUAGUGAAGGGCAUUCCAACCUCUGGUAUCCACUAGUUCACAAGAAGCUGGGCACAUGAUCAUAAUCACUCUCAUUGCUAGCAGAUUGCCUCGAACGACGGCCAUGUGAAGGGCAGUUCUCUUCUCUGAAUCAACAAUGUAGGCUGCGGACGCAUCAUGUUUUAGUAAUACUCUUACUGUUAGAAAACCAUUCAAUAAAGGGGAAAAGGCAGCGUAGUGAAGUGGUGACCACCCGUCAUCGUCGGUUCUUCUCGUCAAGCUCUCCUCUCUUUUUAAUAUCUUUCUUGCUGUCUCUGCAAUAAACCAUAAAAAAAAAUAUGGUACAUAUUAGGUAAUAAAUGAAUAAUAUUAUGGUUAAUGCGUAAUCUACGCUACUAAUUUAGUGAUAAGUUAAUAUUUAAUUUGGCAUUUUUCUCUCUUUAAUUGUAUUAUAAAUGCCCUUUCUUGCUUUCUACGUUCUUUGGUUCUUAUAGUCGCUAUUCAAUAUUGUUUAUGCAUCCUAUUAUUUUUUUUGUUUCUUAUUAUUUGGUCAUAUUUAAAAUAAUAAUAUGGAAAUAUCAACAACUCCAACUUCAUUUAAACCAGAUGACCAAAGUUUUUAAGAAAAACUAUAAACAACAAGAAUAAAGUUCAAUAUUAUUAUGAGCUUUUAAUUUUUUUUAAUAAAUACAAUUUAACCUUUAAUUUAACAAACAUACAAUGAAACCUCUAAUAAAAGAACAAUAUCCUAAAGGUUAAAAUAAGAUUUUUUAAGAAACUCAAAAUAAAUGACUUUAAUAAAUAACAAGAAACUAAAAUCUAAAAAACACAAUAUAUUGAGUACUAAACAGAUAAGGGUUUUUCUUGAAUUAAAAACGAAUUUAGUUUUUUUUUUUUUUGUACACCUUAAAUUAUGUAGGGACUACUUAAAAAUUAUAAGUUACAUCAGGAUUUGUUUGUAUUGAAUAAAAAUUCAGAAACAAUUUAAAUAAUUUAAGAUAAGAACUAACUUCUCACAGUUAUGGUUUCCGAUAAUAAUAUAUGAAUUCAAAACUUUACAGUUCAGAAUAAAAUCUUACCAUGAUCACCAUGCAUGGCUGCCGCGUGUAGUGCGGUUCUGCCAUGAGAACCACAAUAUUCCACUGACUUGCAAUUACUCAAGAUUUCGUCGAUCACUUUUUUUCUAUUUUCUUCAUGUCUUGUAAACCUCCAAUUCUUAAACCUUACAUUGGCAGCAAUAUAAUCAUAAUUAGAUAUAUAUGAUUUUUAUUGACAUUUUAAGUCCAAUAAAUAAGAGGUUUUUUUUAUUUACUCUUUUAUAAGAGAAAAAAAAAAUGCUACCAUUAUCAAAAUUCUUUUCCUUUUCAUCAUUUUUUUUGCCUUUCCGGGAAGUUUGCUUUAUAAAAGAGAAUUAAAAACCAUUAAAUUUUGCUAUUUUUUAUUGUUCUUAAAAAAAACAAUCAGGGAGAUAAGUGAACUUAUUCAUAUUGAAUUAAUAUGUCUCGAGUUCAAGAACAUACAUAGCAUAAAAAAAUAACCAGGUAAAAUCCUAUUAUUAUAGAAGCAUUGCUUUUCUAUUAUCUUUUAUGAUAAUUUUAAAAACAGAUUUACUUUAACAUUAUAAAGCUGAACAAAUUAAAAUUAAUCAUGCAACAAUUACAUUUAUAUAAUCUUAAAACGAUAGUAUUCUAGAUUGAUAAAUAGAUUAGUAAAAAAUUGAUUAAUCUAGUAUAUAUUAAAAGAAAAAAAAGAUGUUGGUCACAUAUAGUAUCGAAUCGGUAUCAAACUCUGUUUGAGACUAAAAAAAAUGUGCACAAACCUCAUAUUGGCAGCAAUAUAAAGUGGAGUUUCUCCAUGAACAUUGGCGGAAUAUGAAAACUCAGGGUCCUCUUUUGUCAAUAUUUCCACCACUUGGGCUUGGAUAUUUCGAGCUGCCACAUGCAACGCUGUAUCUUUCUCUUCAUUCGUCAUCCUCAACAUCUUCUUUGCUUCUGUUACUCCGCUCUCUAGAUCAGUAGGUCGAGCUUUUGCGCGGUCAAUGAGGACUCUUACCACGUUGGAACGCCCAUAUCUUGCCGCAAAAUGGAGUGGGAUUUCACCUUUCUUAUUGGCCUGCAAUAAUAGUGGUGGACACAUAUCAAUAAUUUGGCCAACAAAAUCAGUGGAUUUCGAUCCUUUACGUUGGUUUUCUAAGUAAACAUGAAGAAUUGUGUUUUUUUUUGGAGUCAAUAGCUCAUUGAGAGAAGUUGGAAGACGAUCCUUAAAUGGGUUGAUGUUGCCUGCUUCUGCAGCUUUGUACAAUUUUGGUUCCAUGUAAGUGAUGCUAUUCAUUUGUUGAUCAGAGGAAUUCAUCUUGUAUGACUGUUGUUUGUUGAAAAUUUUGGCUAGUUCCAUUUACUAGCUAGGCUUGUAAGCCUAUUUAUACUAAUUCAUCAAUAUGGAAAAAUAAAUAAAUAAAGCAGAGGAAGAGGAAGCUGUCUGAGUUCUGUUAGAGAAUAGAAUAAAAAUGAUUCUAGAAGUUUCACCUAAUGAUUUAAAUUUUUAUAUAUUCAAAAAUAUAAAACAAAUUAUAAAAAUAAAUUUAAAUUUUUAAGUUAAGAUGGUUAUUUAAUAUUUUCAAAUAAUAAAUGAUUUCUUAAAAAGUUAAAUUACAUGCUUAGGAAAUAGUAGACGAGUACAGAUGGAAAUAAAAAGAAAAUGAAGAGGAAACCAUUGUGAUAUAAGUCUUCUGGGAUACAUUAUUUUGAAGUAAGAUAUGCUUUAGCACAAUCAUAUUUCGUUUCUUUUCACUUUUUGUUGCAAUUUUCUCUGCCUUGCUGGGAAAUUAUGCAACAUAGGUAGUAAUUCAAAAACUUAUUAAGAACUCAAAAUUGAACAAAAAUAAUGACAAAAAAACCAAAAUAAUGCCAAAAAAAAAAACACACACACACACACACAAAAAAAAAAAAGAAAAAUAAAUGAAAACUUCUUCCCUUAAUGGCAUACUUAAUUCCAGCUAAGAGUUAAAAAACAAAAAGAAAAUAAAAGAAAUAAAUUGUUAAUAAACCCAAAAAUAAAUAAAGAAAGAAAGACAAUAUACCUGAGAAUGAGAAGAGAAGAGGAGGCUUGAUUUCGGCUGAGAAGGAGAGAGAGAGAUAGAGAGAAGAUAAUUGUUAGUUGAGAAGAAGAGAGAAUUAAGAAGAUGAUAUCUCAUUUGUUCUGAUCUGGUCUUUUUAAUUUAGAUUUACCAACGAAAUUACCAGCAAACUAUUAAAUAUUAAUAUUUUUAAUAUUUCCAAUGGUGAUUUUGUCUGUAAAGUCAAAUGAAAAUUUCCAACUUGUAUGAAAAUUCUUAAAAACCUCUCCAACUAUCACCAAUGACUUUUAAGUCCAUCGGUGAUUCCGUUAGGAAAAAAAAAGUAAAUAGUCAACAAUUACUAGAAGCAGUAAUUAUUAGCGUAUUGGAAUUCUUAUCGUCACUAGAAUACAACGACAGACAUAUUUUGUCAGUAUACCCGUGUGUAAUGUACACCAUGAAUAGUGACAGGGAGAAGGGAAACAUUUUCCAUCGUCACUAGAAUAUACCAACAAAAACAUUUUGUCCGUAUACCCGUGUAUAAUGUACAUUAUGUCAGUAUUUUCAUCAUUGUAAAACAAUGUUUGAUGCUAAAUUGUAUAUGUAUUCCUUAUCUAUCCAUCCUACAAAUACUUAAAUUCACAAGUGCACAUACAACACAAUAACAAUAGCUCACAUCACAAUAAUAAAACAAAUAUUUCCUUGUUAUUCAACAAUAAAUUAACAUCAUUGUCAUUAUAUUGAAGUGAGUUUCAUCCAUAAAUACUACAUUAUAAUUUAUGACAUUAUAUAUUCGUGUUGUGCAAAUUAAUUAGAAUUUUCUUCUUGUUCAUUAAUUGACUCGUCUUCAUCUCCAUCAUAAUCUUAUACAUUGAUUUCAUCAUUAUCAUCAUCUUCAUCAACUUGUGAAUGUUUGCGAAAGCUCAAAACAUCGAUCAACUCCUUAGCAUCAACAUCAACAUCAACAUCAACAAAAAUAUUAUUGACUAUGUGAAAUUUUAAAUUUUCUUCUAAGUCAUUAAACAAAACAACUUGAUGUGGAUCAACUAACUUUUCAAGUUAAAAGACAUCAUCUCCCACAAUUAAUUCAUUGUUCUCAUCCUGAACAACCUUGAUAUGACCCUUGAGUUUGGUUUUCACUACGAAUAAUCAAUCAACUUUUGAAUAAUCAUUUCUAAAAAAAAGGGUGUAUAUGUAAAAAACUUAUUAGUAUUGCUUGAUACAAACAAAGACAUCGUCGAAGUUGUAGAGUCUAGACUUUGAAUUAAUUUCAACCAAACCAUGAUGGUGAUCCUCUCUGAUUCCUCUGUUAUUGGUGUCAUACCAAUAUCAUUUAAAUAAAAAUACUUUAUCAUGCUCGCUAUAAUAUUGCAAUUCACUUACCUCUUCUAACUUCUCAUAAUAGUCAACUUCAAACUUAUUAGAAGUCAAUCCCUUAACACAAAGCCUACUAUUAUGUCUUUCUACCCUGCCCAUAUUUUUUAAUAUGAAACACAUGUCCAUUGAUGAAAUACCAGUUGUAACACUUCACAUUUCUUUUAGGAUCUAUACUUAGUAUAGAUAAAGUAACACCUGCAUUCCCUCCAAAUUGAUAAACAUGAUACAUGAAAUACAACCAUGAACAAUUAACGGGAAAUGUGUAAUGAAAUUAAGUAUCCCAAAAGAUAAGAAUAAUUAAACAGCACUAAUAUAUGUUUUGAACCAUGUGGAAAACUGUUCAUUUUGUAAUCGAAAUAUUUGAGAUUCAGUCUGCUAUGAAUUUUGGAACAAUAAAAAUUGAUGAUGUUUCCUAUAUAUAAUUCAAUAAUGUAUCAUUUUAUAAUAUUAUAAGAGAUAAAUUGAUCGAGAAUAAAGAAAUGUUAAGUAGUAUACUUACUGGAUAAAAGAUUUCAGUUCGGUUAAAUAGUUUGUGAAUUUUAUUUCUCACAAAUAUUUUCCCUCACAAUAUUUUUUAGUACAGGUCGUCUAGAAUGAGAUCAUAUUAACAAACUCCCACUAAACAACAUUUUAUGAACAUGUACAUGAUAUUUUAUGUAGAAUGAAAUGUUAUUAUAUACAUUGAAAUGUUGUUUUAUUUUAGGGUGUGCAUAACUUCCUAGAAAGUCAAAGUAUCAAUGUUUUCUCUUAUAAAAGAAUAAACAAAAGUGCAAAAAUAAUCACAUCUCUUUUCCUUUUCACUUUUGUAAUGUGAAAUCCUUUACCUUGCUAGGAAGUUAUGCUUUACACAAGGAAAUGAAGAAUAAAAAAAAUUUAAAUUUUUUUUAUUGUCCUUAAAAAAAAAUUACGUAGACAAAUGAGGUUUAUUCAUAUGAUAGAAGCAUUGCAUCUCCUAUAUAUAAUAUAUUUAUUAUAUCACUAUAAUAAAUAUAUUAUAGUGAUAUAUUAGAUAUGUUGUAAAAUUAAAUAUAAUAAACAGAAUUAAACUAUAACUUAAGGCGUAUAUAGACACUGUUUUAAAAGAUAUUUUCUCAACACAAGGUUGUUCUCCAGGAUCCAACAACUUCUUCAUCUAAAGACGAGAGUUACAUAAACAAGGACAAAGAUAGAAAAGAAAUACCAGCCAACCUUGCAAAUACAAAAAAAAAAAUAAUAUGAUUUUUUUUUCUUUUGCUAUAUUUGAUUGUAAGAGUAGAUGGUAUAUAUAGGCUACUAACAUGUAAUAGCUAGGUACAAAAUAAAUUAGAAAAUUAAAAAAUUAUUACAAUAGUUAAAGAAAUAAAAGAGGUUUUAGGGAAUUAAAAAGUUAUGGCUAUUAAUAAAAAUUAAAAAAAAAAGAGUUGUUAAAAAAAUAUUCACAAAAAUCUGAUUUCUUUGUAACCCAUUUCCAUUAGCACAGAUAUUACAUUAUUUAAGAAACUUGUGACCAUUUUCAAAUGCAAAUUUAAAAUUGUUUUGAAAAAAUUAAUAAUAUAUAUAUAGUCGUUUAUUGGUCGCAAAAUAUUGAUGAUAAAAUUCCUAUUUUGUAUGGAAUAAUUAAUUUUUCUAAUUAGAUAGUUAUUGCUAACUAAUAUUAUAGGAUCAUCAUAAUUUUUUUAAAAUAAUUAAUUUUCAUAAAAAAAACAUUAACAACAAUAAUAAUCAUAAUUUUCAAUAAUGAAACAAAAAUUUUAGCUAAAAUUUGGGAACAUUAAUUACAACCAAAACAAUCAGUACUAGAUUUGCUAUCAAAUAAAGUUCUAUUGAAUUUUUUUUAAAAAAAAUAUAAUAAUUUUUUGGAAUGAUUUGCUAAUCACAAAUAGAAAAUAAAGAGUUUAAAAACAAAAUGUGAUCCAAUUUUUUAGUUUCAUUCACUUCACUGAAUAGAGUUUUAUGAAUGUAUACAUAGCAUAUACAGUAAAAUGUUGUUUUAGUUUAGUAUAUGUUUCUAAGGGGGGUUGUGUGUGUUUGAUUUAAUUACUUUUUAAGUCCGACAAAUAUUGAUGUAGCGGGAAGAUAGAAAAAUUGCAGAAAGGAAGAAAGUAGUUUUUAUUAUUCUGUACUGGACAACAUAUAUAAUCAAAACGGUUCGUAUUUAAAGACAUCAGUACAAGAGUAAGAAAAGGAGGUAUGCAUAAUUAUAGCAGAUAUUCUUCAAGAGUUAUAGCAUAAUUUUUAUCAAGAUCAUGGCAGAUCAUGAGGAAGCUUGAUUUGGGAUUUCCUGAACGUAAGCUUCCUUCUCUGAAGCAUUUUCCUUAUCAGAAACCUUAACACGAGAUACUUAGAUAUAUACGAGUGUCAAGGUAUCAAUAUUCUUUAUUUAUAAAAAAGAAAAAAAAAAGAUUAAAAAAAAAAGAGCUAACAUAAUCACAUUUCUUCUUCUUCUUUUUUUGUUGCGAAAUCCUUUGCCUUGCUAGGAAGUUUAAAAGAGUAAGAAAAGGAUAUAUGCAUAAUUCUAGGAGAUAUUCUUCAAGAAUUAUAGCAUAAGAUUUAUCACGAUCACGACAGAUCAUAAGGAAGCUUGAUUUGGGAUUUCCUAAACGUGGGCUUCCUUCUCUAAAGCAUUUUCCUUAUCAGAAACCUUAACACGAGAUACUUAGAUAUAUACAAGUUUCAAGGUAUUGAUAUUCUCUAUUUAUAUAAAAGAAAAAAAAGAUUAAAAGAAAGAUCUAACAUAAUCACAUUUCUUUUCCUUUUCUUUUUUGUGUUGCAAAAUCCUUUGCCUUGCUAGGAAGUCUAAAAGAGUAAGAAAAUGAGAUAUGCAUAAUCCUAGCAGAUAUUCUUCAAGAAUUAUAGCAUAAGAUUUAUCAAGAUCACGGCAGAUCAUGAGGAAGCUUGAUUUGGGAUUUCCUGAAUGUAAGCUUCCUUCUCUCAAGCAUUUUCCUUAUCAGAAACCUUUACACGAGAUACUUAGAUAUAUACGAGUGUCAAUGUAUCGAUAUUCUCUAUUUAUAGAAAAGAAAAAGAAGAUUAAAAAAAAAGAUAUAACAUAAUCACAUUUCUUUUCCUUUUCUUUUUUGUGUUGCAAAAUCCUUUGCCUUGCUAGGAAGUCUAAAAGAGUAAGAAAAUGAGAUAUGCAUAAUCCUACCAGAUAUUCUUCAAGAAUUAUAGCAUAAGAUUUAUCAAGAUCACGGCAGAUCAUGAGGAAGCUUGAUUUGGGAUUUCCUGAACGUAAGCUUCCUUCUCUGAAGCAUUUUCCUUAUCAGAAACCUUUACACGAGAUACUUAGAUAUAUACGAGUGUCAAGGUAUCGAUAUUCUCUAUUUAUAGAAAAGACAAAAAAAGAUAAAAAAAAAAGAUAUAACAUAAUCACAUUUCUUUUCCUUUUCUUUUUUGUGUUGCAAAAUCCUUUUCUUUGCUAGGAAGUCUAAAAGAGUAAGAAAAUGAGAUAUGCAUAAUUCUAGCAGAUAUUAUUCAAUAAUUAUAGCAUAAGAUUUAUCAAGAUCACGACAGAUCAUGAGGAAGCUUGAUUUGGGAUUUCCUGAAUGUAAGCUUGUUUCUCUGAAGCAUUUUUCUUAUCAGAAACCUUUACACAAGAUACUUAGAUAUAUACGAGUGUCAAUGUAUCGAUAUUCUCUAUUUAUAGAAAAGAAAACAAAGAUUAAAAAAAAAAGAUAUAACAUAAUCACAUUUCUUUUCCUUUUCUUUUUUGUGUUGCAAGAUCCUUUGCCUUGCUAGGAAGUCUAAAAGAGUAAGAAAAUGAGAUAUGCAUAAUCCUACCAGAUAUUCUUCAAGAAUUAUAGCAUAAGAUUUAUCAAGAUCACGCCAGAUCAUGAGGAAGUUUGAUUUGGGAUUUCCUGAACGUAAGCUUCCUUCUCUGAAGUAUUUUCCUUAUCAGAAACCUUAACACGAGAUACUUGGAUAUAUACGUGUGUCAAGGUAUCAAUAUUCUCUAUUUAUAAAAAAGAAAAAAAAGAUUAAAAAAAAGAGCUAACAUAAUCACAUUUCUUCUCCUUUUCUUUUUUGUGUUGCAAAAUCCUUUGCCUUGCUAGGAAGUUUAAAAGAGAAAGAAAAGGAGAUAUGCAUAAUUCUAGGAGAUAUUCUUCAAGAAUUAUAGCAUAAGAUUUAUCACGAUCACGGCAAAUCAUGAGGAAGCUUGAUUUGGGAUUUCCUGAAUGUAGGCUUCCUUCUCUAAAGCAUUUUCCUUAUCAGAAACCUUAACACGAGAUACUUAGAUAUAUACGAGUUUCAAGGUAUCGAUAUUCUCUAUUUAUAGAAAAGAAAAAAAUAUUAAAAAAAAGAUGUAACAUAAUCACAUUUCUUUUCCUUUUGGUUUUUGUGUUGCAAAAUCAUUUGCCUUGCUAGGAAGUUUAAAAGAGUAAGAAAAGGAGAUAUGCAUAAUUCUAGCACAUAUUCUUCAAGAAUUAUAACAUAAGAUUUAUCAAGAUCACGCCAGAUCACGAGGAAGCUUGAUUUGGGAUUUCCUGAACGUAAGCUUCCUUCUCUGAAGCAUUUUCCUUAUCAGAAACCUUAACACGAGAUAGUUAGAUAUAUACGAGUGUGAUCAAAGUAUCGAUAUUCUUUAUUUAUAGAAAAGAAAAAAAAAAGAUUAAAAAAAAAGCUAACAUAAUCACAUUUCUUUUCCUUUUCGUUUUUUGUGUUGCACAAUCCUUUGCCUUGCUCGGAAGUUUAAAAGAGUAAGAAAAGGAGAUAUGCAUAAUUCUAACACAUAUUCUUCAAGAAUUAUAGCAUAAGAUUUAUCAAGAUCAUGACAGAUCAUGAGGAAGCUUGAUUUGAGAUUUCCUUAACGUAAGCUUCCUUCUCUCAAGCGUUUUCCUUAUCAGAAACCUUAACACGAGAUAGUUAGAUAUAUACGAGUGUGAUCAAAGUAUCGAUAUUCUCUAUUUAUAGAAAAGAAAAAAAAGAUUAAAAAAAAAGCUAACAUAAUCACAUUUCUUUUCCUUUUCGUUUUUUGUGUUGCAAAAUCCUUUGCCUUGCUAGGAAGUUUAAAAGAGUAAGAAAAGGAGAUAUGCAUAAUUCUAGCACAUAUUCUUCAAGAAUUAUAGCAUAAGAUUUAUCAAGAUCACGACAUAUCACGAGGAAGCUUGAUGUGGGAUUUCCUGAACGUAAGCUUCUUUCUCUGAAGCAGUUUCCUUAUCAGAAACCUUAACACGAGAUAGUUAGAUAUAUACGAGUGUGAUCAAAGUAUCCAUAUUCUCUAUUUAUAGAAAAGAAAAAAAAAGAUUAAAAAAAAAAGCUAACAUAAUCACAUUUCUUUUCCCUUUCGUUUUUUGUGUUGCAAAAUCCUUUGCCUUGCUAGGAAGUUUAAAAUAGUAAGAAAAGGAGAUAUGCACAAUUCUAGCAGAUAUUGUUCAAGAAUUAUAGCAUAAGAUUUAUCAAGAUCACGACAGAUCACGAGGAAGCUUGAUUUGGGAUUUCCUUAACAUAAGCUUCCUUCUCUUAACCAUUUUCCUUAUCAGAAACCUUAACACGAGAUACUUAGAUAUAUACGAGUGUCAAAGUAUCGAUAUUCUCUAUUUACAUAAAAGAAAAAAAAAGAUUAAAAAAAAGUGCUAACAUAAUAACAUUUCUUUUCCUUUUCUUUUUUGUUUUGCAAAAUCCUUUGCCUUGCUAGGAAGUUUAAAAGAGUAAGAAAAGGAGGUAUGCAUAAUUGUAGCAGAUAUUCUUCAAGAAUUAUAGCAUAAGAUUUAUCAAAAUCACGUUAGAUCACGAGGAACCAUUAUUUGGGAUUUCCUUAACGUAAGCUUCCUUCUUUGAAGCAUUUUCCUUAUCAGAAACCUUAACACGAGAUACUUAGAUAUAUACGAGUGUCAAAGUAUCCAUAUUCUCUAUUUAUAGAAAAGAAAAAAAAAGCUAACAUAAUCACAUUUCUUUUCCUUUUUGUUUUUUGUGUUGCAAAAUCCUUUGCCUUGCUAGGAAGUUUAAAAGAGUAAGAAAAUGAGAUAUGCAUAAUUCUAGCAGAUAUUCUUCAAGAAUUAUAGCAUGAGAUUUAUCAAGAUCACGACAGAUCACGAGGAAGCUUGAUUUGGGAUUUCCUUAACAUAAGCUUUCUUAUCUGAAGCUUUUUCCUUAUCAGAAACCUUAACACGAGAUACUUAGAUAUAUACGAGUGUCAAAGUAUUGAUAUUCUCUAUUUAUAGAAAAGAAAAAAAAAGAUUAAAAAAAUGAGCUAACAUAAUCACAUUUCUUUUCCUUUUCUUUUUUGUGUUGCAAAAUCCUUUGCCUUGCUCGGAAGUUUAAAAGAGUAAGAAAAGGAGAUAUGCAUAAUUCUAGCAGAUAUUCUUCAAGAAUUAUAGCAUAAGAUUUAUCAAGAUCAUGACAGAUCAUGAGGAAGCUUGAUUUGAGAUUUCCUUAACGUAAGCUUCCUUCUCUCAAGCGUUUUCCUUAUCAGAAACCUUAACACGAGAUACUUAGAUACAUACGAGUGUCAAAGUAUCGAUAUUCUCUAUUUAUAGAAAAGAAAAAAAAGAUUAAAAAAAUGAGCUAACAUAAUCACAUUUCUUUUCCUUUUGGUUUUUGUGUUGCAAAAUCAUUUGCCUUGCUAGGAAGUUUAAAAGAGUAAGAAAAGGAGAUAUGCAUAAUUCUAACACAUAUUCUUCAAGAAUUAUAACAUAAGAUUUAUCAAGAUCACACCAGAUCAUGAGGAAGCUUGAUUUGGGAUUUCCUGAACGUAAGCUUCCUUCUCUGAAGCAUUUUCCUUAUCAGAAACCUUAACACGAGAUAGUUAGAUAUAUACGAGUGUGAUCAAAGUAUCGAUAUUCUCUAUUUAUAGAAAAGAAAAAAAAAGAUUAAAAAAAAUGAGAUAACAUAAUCACAUUUCUUUUCCUUUUCGUUUUUUGUGUUGCAAAAUCCUUUGCCUUGCUAGGAAGUUUAAAAUAGUAAGAAAAGGAGAUAUGCACAAUUCUAGCAGAUAUUGUUCAAGAAUUAUAGCAUAAGAUUUAUCAAGAUCACGACAGAUCACGAGGAAGCUUGAUUUGGGAUUUCCUUAACAUAAGCUUCCUUCUCUUAACCAUUUUCCUUAUCAGAAACCUUAACACGAGAUACUUAGAUAUAUACGAGUGUCAAAGUAUCGAUAUUCUCUAUUUACAUAAAUGAAAAAAAAGAUUAAAAAAAGUGCUAACAUAAUAACAUUUCUUUUCCUUUUCUUUUUUGUUUUGCAAAAUCCUUUGCCUUGCUAGGAAGUUUAAAAGAGUAAGAAAAGGAGGUAUGCAUAAUUGUAGCAGAUAUUCUUCAAGAAUUAUAGCAUAAGAUUUAUCAAGAUCACAUCAGAUCACGAGGAACCAUUAUUUGGGAUUUCCUUAACGUAAGCUUCCUUCUUUGAAGCAUUUUCCUUAUCAGAAACCUUAACACGAGAUACUUAGAUAUAUACGAGUGUCAAAGUAUCCAUAUUCUCUAUUNNNNNNNNNNNNNNNNNNNNNNNNNNNNNNNNNNNNNNNNNNNNNNNNNNNNNNNNNNNNNNNNNNNNNNNNNNNNNNNNNNNNNNNNNNNNNNNNNNNNNNNNNNNNNNNNNNNNNNNNNNNNNNNNNNNNNNNNNNNNNNNNNNNNNNCAAGAAUUAUAGCAUAAGAUUUAUCGAGAUCACGACAGAUCACGAGGAAGCUUGAUUUGGGAUUUCCUUAACAUAAGCUUCCUUCUCUUAACCAUUUUCCUUAUCAGAAACCUUAACACGAGAUACUGAGAUAUAUACGAGUGUCAAAGUAUCGAUAUUCUCUAUUUACAUAAAUGAAAAAAAAGAUUAAAAAAAGUGCUAACAUAAUAACAUUUCUUUUCCUUUUCUUUUUUGUUUUGCAAAAUCCUUUGCCUUGCUAGGAAGUUUAAAAGAGUAAGAAAAGGAGGUAUGCAUAAUUGUAGCAGAUAUUCUUCAAGAAUUAUAGCAUAAGAUUUAUCAAGAUCACAUCAGAUCACGAGGAACCAUUAUUUGGGAUUUCCUUAACGUAAGCUUCCUUCUUUGAAGCAUUUUCCUUAUCAGAAACCUUAACACGAGAUACUUAGAUAUAUACGAGUGUCAAAGUAUCCAUAUUCUCUAUUUAUAGAAAAGAAAAAAAAAGCUAACAUAAUCACAUUUCUUUUCCUUUUUGUUUUUUGUGUUGCAAAAUCCUUUGCCUUGCUAGGAAGUUAUGCUUCACACAAGGAAAUUAACAAUGAAUGUAUUUUUGAAAACUUUUAUUGUCCUUUACAAACUAUUAGGAAGACAAGUGUGGUUAUUCAUAUUGAGAAUUUGUCAAGUUCAAGAGUAUAAACAACAUAAAAAAAACCGGUAGGUAAAAUCCUAUUAUGAUAGAAGCAUCUAAAUUAAUAAAAUAUUACAUUUUUUUAAUCUUAACAUCAUAGUAUUCUAGAUUACUUAAUUUUAUUAAUAAAUUAAUUAAUAAAAAAUUAAUUAAUAUAGCAUAUACUAAAUAAAAUUGUCGAUCAUAUCGUAUAGUUCGAACCGGUCUCAAACAAGGAAUGAGACUAAAAGAAUACUCACAAAAAUUUAAUUUCUUUGUAACCCAUUUGCAUUAGAACAAAUAUUUUGUAUUAAAAACAAUUGUGACGACCUUUCAAAUGCAAAUUUGAAAUAUAUUUUUAAAAAAACAUUAAUAAUAUAUAUAUAUAUAGGUCAUAUAUUGGUGGCAAAAAAAAACGAUAAAAGUUCUAUUUAGUAUGGGGAAUAAUUUAUUUUUAUAAUUAUAUAGUUAUUAAUAAUUAAUAUCAUAGUAAUCAUCAUCAUUUUUUAAAAAAUAAUUAAUUUUCAUAAAUAAUAAUAAUUUUCAAUAAUAAAAAAUAUUUUAAAAGUUUUGCUAAGAUUUGUGAACAAGAUUUACAAUUGAUCCCAAAUUUUCUAACAAAUAAAAUCCAUUUUUUAUUUUUUUUUAAAUAUUCAUUGUUUUGGAAUGAUUUGUUGGUCAUAAAUAGAAAAUAAAGAAUCUAAAACAAAUUUGUGAUCGAUUUUUUUAUUUCAUUCACUAAAUAGCAUUUUAUGAAUUUGUGCACAAUAUUUUAUGUACAAUGAAAUGUUAUAUGCAUUUAAAUUGUCGCACCCUUGCUAGCGGAGCGCGGCGGAGCGGCGAUUCUCGAUUGAUUUCGGUGUCUUUGUGUUUUAUUGUGAAUAAAGGAGUCGCCACUUAGUAUUAUGGUCACUAGGAGCCCUAACUGGUCUUUCAAAGAUUCUAAGGCAAGAGACUGGUUGCAUAAAGGGAAGGUAUUAGCAUUCCUAGUACGCCCUACCUAAGGUAAACUGCUUGGUGUUUGGUUUGCCUUGUAAUUGCUAUGGUGUUGGUGUUCUCUUAAUUAGUUUUUGUAUGCUAUGAUGAAUGGAUUUGGGUUCAAAAUCUAAAAGCAAAAAUCCUUGGCCAAUAUAGAUCAUACCUUUAGAUAUGUUUACAAAGUGUCAAGGGGAACCAAUACAGAUCUUUUGAAAUCUGUGUUUGAUUCAGACUAAACUUAUUAAGAUAAAAAUCCAAGGAGAUUCCAUGUGCUUUAAAAGCUCAUUUUUCCCUUAGUAUUUCAAGAGUUUUGCGACUCGUAAAUCGCAAGGAGAAGAGACAAAAAUUUAGAAAUCUAAGGAAAUUCAGAGCGCUUUAAAAGCUUCUUUUUGCCUUAGUAUUUCAUACUUUUACGGCUCGUAAACCGUGGAAUCAAAAAAUUGAAAUGCCCUCAAUUAUAAUCGAGGCUUCUUUCAAGGAUGUUAGAUAACUUAUUAUUCCUAAAAAAAUAUUUUAGAUAUUAACCACUUGCGGUUUCUUUAUCCAAACAUUAACAUCGAAUAAUAACAAGUUAUUCCCAAUAAUAUUUUGGAUAUUCAUCCAUUUGAAAUUUCUUUAUCCAAACAUUAACGAUGAAUAAUAACAAUUUAUUCCCACAGAUAUUUUGGAUAUUCAUCCCUUUGAGAUUUCUUUAUCCAAACAUUAACGGUGAAUAAUAGAUGAAUUCCAUCCAAAAUAAGAUUUUUAUAUUUUUUGGAAUAUUGACCAAUACCCUUUGAAGUUUUACAAACAUGUUGUAAAAUCCAGAAAUGCAAGAAAAUAAUUUUUUGUUGUGUUUAAGAAAUCCAUGAAAAACAUAUUUUUCAAAAACUUCAAAUAUUUGUUUUUUAUAUAUAUAUAUAUAUAAAAACAUUCAAAACAUAUUAGAAUAUUGAUCGUAUGCAACACACAAAAACAAUUUUUAUAUUUUUCUUUGUCAAAAAACACAAACAUCACAAUUAAUCACAAUUAAAGUUAACAAACUACAUAUUAAUCAAAUUUUUAAGGCUUUAAUAAAUCAGUUAUUAAAUCCCAACAAAAUAUGUAAAAACAUAUUCUUACAUUUUCACAGAAAAUACAACAUAAUUUUAUUUAUCCCUAAAAUACUUGAUCAUAUACAGAUUAAAACAUUAAAUUUUUAUCUUUUUGAUUUUUAUAAUUCAACAACAUACAUAAAAAAAAAAUACAAACAAACCCACAUCUCUUUUUAUUAUGUUUUUCUCAUACACCAAUAUAUAAUUACAAAUAAUAAACAAAAAUUUAAAAUAAAACAAACAUCACACAAAUAAAAACUCACAUAAUAGCCCCUAAAAAUAUCCAAGAACCUGCUGAGAGGCUUCUGGACCAUAAAAACAGUGGCGGCGCGUCUCCUCCACGCGCCGCCGCCACUGGCGGCGCUUGUCGUGUGUUCACGCGCCGCCGUAAGAGAAACAAGGGGGCAGGGUGGAUAUGACUUGGCUUCCUCCCUUCCUCGCCGGCGGUGACCUGUAACAAGAAAAAGAAAACGCAGGCAGUUGAUUUUAAUCUAUUCUGUCCAGAUUGUUCUUGUGUUUUUUUCUUUUUUUAGAUCUGUUAACUUCUGUCUUCUUUCUUCUUCUCAGUUAGCUGUUCUUUCCUUCUUGUCCCGGUGGCAAGUCUGGCGGUUGGGCGGCGGCGGCGCUGAUGAUCUCCAACUCCUGUUGGUUGCCACGGCGGCUGGGUUUGCUGCUGGAGGAAGACGGCGCUGCUGCCCGGGGAGAGGGAGUCGUGGCUGGUCCGUUGUUGAGGUCGACGGUGAGGGAAUAGACGAGGUCCGUAAGCUACUGAAUCUCCAGUGAUGGCAGCGCUGUUGUGGCUGUUGUUUUGACCGCUGCUACUGUAGGCCGAAUGGAGGGGGGACCUGCGUUGUGUGGCUGUUGGGUGGAGGAUUUGGGUCUGUGAGGCGGUUUUGUUUCUGUGUGUGGGGAAGAAUGUAUCGCCUGUCGGGCUGUUGGGUGGAGGAGAUCGGGGAAGAAGAGGAAAGACGACUUGGGUUCUGUGAGAGGGGUCCGGCCGCUGGUCUGCGGGGCUUUUGUCGGGUCUGGAGGUGAGAGCGGCGGCUGGAGGAGGUGAGAGGAAAGGGAGGGGGCGCCUGACUGAAAGGAGAAGAAGCCGAAAAUCAAAAGCCCCAAAGCCAGGGGUUUCUCUGGUUUUUUCUUUAGAAGCGGGGCGGCAGUCAGGGUCUUCUGGUUUGCUGCCAAAGGAAAGGGAAAUGAGGGGAGUGGAGAUGGUCCACAAGAGGCAGGCAAUCUCUGGUUUGGUUUCAACGAGAGUGGGGUGCGGCCGACCUCUGUCAACAGGGAAAUGGAGGCUUGCGGCUGUUGAGAGAAAAUUUUAGGUUUAGGGUUUUUUCGUAGUUGUUCUAAAUUUUUGUUUAAAAAUUGCUCCCCUGUAAAUUUUUCUUCUCGUGCAUAUGACUUGAUGUUCAUUUAUAUAAAAAAAAAUUACACGUGAUAUUUAAAAAAAUAUUUUAAUAAUUAUUACAGUGAUUAUUUUCCAUAAUCAGCACAAAUCAAAUUAUAUAUCUAUGAUAUAUUAUAUUACAGUGAUUAUUUUCCAUAACCAGCAUGAAUCAAAUCAUAUAUCUAUAGUAUUUUAUAUUGCAGUAAUUAUAUAUGAUUCAGUAAUUAUUUUCUUGACAUAUUAUUUCUUUAAUAUUAGCCAUAAUAUUCUAUGUUAUUGUCACAUGUAAACCCUUAUUUUUUUAUUAUUAUUUUUAAAAAAUUAUUAAAACAUGGAUCAAAAAUUGAGUAGCAAUUAAAAUGUUGUUUUAUCUUAAGUUGUGUGUGUGUUUUAUUUACUUUUUAUAAUAUUGAUGAUUACAUUGGAAUUUAGAAAAUGAUGCGAGGACGAAACAAGAAGGUGGAAUUAUGUUUUGGUCCCAUCAAAUUUGAAAAAAUUAUGUACUUUCUCAUGAUGGUUUGUAAUUUGUGAAUUGGCCCUUACACUUUCUUCUUGUAUUCUUUUUCUUCUUUCAUGUUCCAUUUUCUUCUUGGCAUUCCGCCAAAAAAAACACAAACAUCUUUAUUUGUGAAGGUACUACUCUCUCGGUUGACUGCUCUCUCCUCUCGGUUUGUUGCUUACUCUUCUCUUAGCCUGUUGUUUUUUCUUCUACUAUUUUAUGGAGGAUUAUGCUUUCAUCGUUUGAAAUGUUGGUGUGUGUUAAUUAAUUUGACAAAUAAUCUUACGUUUGAUCAUUGUCAACUUAUUAAUCAAUAGUUAAUUACUUGAUCAAUAUGCUACUUGUUCUUGUUUUUUUCCUUUCAAUAAAAAAAAGACUAUAAUUAGAAAAUUAAUUCUAAAUUGAGACAUAUAAUAGCCUUACUAAUCAAACAUAAAAAAAUAAUAAAUAGUUAAAAACUAUAAAUAAAUUAUAUAUAUAGGAAUGGGGCAUCAUUUCAAGUUGGUGGAUGGCGUAUUUAUAUUGUUAUAGAGAUCAAAUUUCAUGUAAAUAUAAAAUCUUAAUCUUAUACAAAUUAUCUAUAAUUGAUAAGGAUUAUACAAUUUAUUAUUUGCAUUAAUUCUAUGUGUUUAUAUCAAUCAGUAAUAUCCAUAAAUGUAGCAUAACUUCCUAGCAAGUCAAAUUAAGUAUCAAUAUUUCCUUAUAUAAAAAUAUAAACAAAAGUGCAAAAAUAAUCACAUCUCCUUUCUUUUUCACUUUUGUGUCGGGAAAUCCUUGACGAAGUUAUGCUUUACACAUGGGAAUUAAGAAUAAAAAAAUUUUAAUUUUUUUUAUUGUCCUUAAAAAAACUUACGUAGACAAGUGAGGUUUAUUCAUAUUGAGAACUUCUCAGGUUCAAAAGCAUAGACAACAUAAAAAGAAAAAGGAAAAAAAAAAGGCAGAUAAAAUCAUAUCUAUGAUAGAAGCAUUACAUCUCACAUCUUUUAUGAUAAAUUUUUUUUUAAAAAAAAAAGCAGAUUUACUUAAACAUUAUAGAGUUAAACAUAUCUAAUUUAAUCAAUAAUUACAUUUAUAUAAUCUUAAUAUGAAAAUAUUCCAGAUAAAUGAAUUUAAUUAAUAAAUCAAUCAGUAAAUUGAUUAAUCCAUCAUAUACUAUAAAAAAACGUUGUCAUCACUUAUAGUCUCACAAGGUUAGAUAUUGGUCGCAAAAAAAUAUUAAAAUUUCUAUUUAGUAUGGAAUGGUUAAUUCUCCUAAUUAGAUAAUUAUUAAUAUUAUAGUAAUCAUCAUCAUUCCAAACAUACAUUGGUUACCAAAAAUAAAUAAAUAAAAGUGAUAAAAUUUCUAGUUAGUGUGAAAUAAUUGAUUUUCCUAAAUUGAUAAUUAUUAAUAAUCAUAACAUUUUAAAAAAGAUGACGAUGAUGAUAUUUAAAAGUUAUUAAUUAUCAUCACAUUUUUUAAAAUCUAGGUUUGUUCCUUUUGGCUUGAAAAUUAUUUUAGUUUGUUUGAUUUUUGUAUUUUUUUGUAUUAUUGAUUCUAAUAAUAUUUUUAAAAAAAAUCUCAAAAGAUGUAUCUCAACCAUAUCUCAAAAUCUAAAAUUAGAUGAAAUUGUCAUUUUGAUCAUUUAAAGCUAAAAUGAUAUUAUGCUUAUUAAACAAUCUAAAUAAAUAAAAGAGAAAUACGAAAACAAGAGAGAAGGAGGUUACUGUUUUAUUGAUAUUGCAUUGAAGGGACAUGUUUAACAUAAAUACAAAGAGAUUAUAUAUAGGCUAAAUUGAAAAGGAAAAUAAGAAUAUUAUUCUACCCUUAGUAAAUAAAACAAAAUAACUUAUAUUUUUUAACAUAUCCCCUCAAACUUAUGAUGCGGCAGCUACAAAUAUCGAGAGUUUGCCAACUAAAAAAUAAAAAAUAGAAAAUAGAAUGCGACUUGGUAAAUAAAUCUGCAAAGAAGAAGAAACAAAAGGCAAAGUAAUGGUGUCAUGCUUGAGAUGAUGACGAGUAAAAUGACAAUUGAUCUCAAUGUGCUUAGUUCUAUCAUGAAAAACUGAGUUGUGAGCAAUCUGAAUAGAACUUUGAUUAUCACAAUACAUAAGAGUGGGAUAAGAAAGGGAAACUCUCAUAUCUGCAAGUAACCAACGUAACCAAACAAUUUCUUUAGUAGUAGAUGUUAUAGCACAAUAUUCUGCUUCAGUUGAGUAUUGAGAAAUAAUAGAAUGUUUCUUGCUUUUCCAAGAAACAAGAGAAUCACUUAAAAAGAUACAGAAACCAGUAACAGAUUUGCGAUCUGUAGGAUUAUUACCAUGAUUAGCAUCAGAGUAUACACACGGCUCUAAGAAAGAGAUGGAUAGAAAAGUAAAAGACUUUGAAAAACUGUACCUCAAAGAUAUCACAAAAUACAAAGAACAGUUGUCUAAUGAAAGGUAGUAAAAUAAGUAACAAACGAACUAACAAUAUGAACAACAUAUGCAAUAUCUGUAUAAGUAAUAGUGAGAUAUACCAAGCUCCCAACAAUAGUACGGUAUAAAGUAAGAUGUGACAAGGUAAAUCAUCAGAAGAAGAAUACUUCGUGUUAACCUUAAUGAGAGUAUCUACAGUCUUAUUAUUAGUAAGUCUAGCCUGCUCAAGAAUAUCUACUAUAUAUUUUGACUGAAAAAGAAGAUAACCUAUGGGUAAGUAUGUUACCUCAAUACUUAGGAAAUAUCGUAGAGAAUCCAAAUCUUUCGUUUCAAACUAUUUGGCUAACUUUGUCUUCAAAACUGAAAUACUAUCAAUAUCAUCACCAGUAAUAAUUAUGUCAUUAACAUAUAAAGACAUAAUGAUACGACUUAUAUCAAUGCACUUAACAAAAAAAGCAGAAUCAUGACUACUAAAAACAAAACCAAGGGAAGAGAUCACAAUAGAGAAUUUUUCAAACCAAGCAUGAGGUGCUUGUUUGAGAUCAUAUAAUGAUUUCUUAAGCUUUCAAACAUACUCAGAAUCAUGUGAAAUACUUAAAGGGGCACCAUAUAAACAUCUUCAUGAAGAUCUCCAUUCAAGAAGGUAUUUUUAACAUCAAGUUGAGAUAUAUGCCACUGACGAACCGAAGCUACUACAAUAAGAGUAUGAAUAGUAGUCAUUUUUGCAACAUGAGCAAAUGUCUCCUCAUAAUCCAUACCAUAUUGUUGAGAGUAUCAUUUUGCAACCAACCCAGCUUUGUAUCACUCAAUAGAUCCAUCAAAAUUAGUCUUGAUCUUAUACACCCAGCGACAACAAACAUCACUCUUACCAAAAGGUAGAGGAAUCAAAUCUCAAGUAUAUGUUUUAUGCAAAGCAUAAAGUUUCUCAUCCAUAGUUUGCUGUCAAAGAGGAUCAAAAAUUCUCUUUCUAUAGGAAGAAGGCUCAGAAAAACAAUGAAUAGAAGGUAAACAAGAAGUAAAUGAUAAGCAAUAACAAGAAUAAGCAAAAUCUAGUAACUUUGUGGACUUAUGAAAGCAUAUGGAUUGACGUAGAGGUAGAUCCACAAUCUCAAACAAAGGUGGAGGGAUCGCAGAGGAGAAUGAAGCAACGUGCCUAUAUUUUAUUUUAGUAACGUUACUUUGCUUAGAAAUAUUUGUACACAAGGUUUGGUAAAUAGUUUCAUCUAAGCUAAGCAACUCACAAAAUUUAUUAAAAAUAUAUUUUUCAUUCAAAUUACAUCUAAAAUAUUUAAUAACAACGGAAUGUUAUUACGGUGGAGCACACCAUUAUAAAAAAUUUUCAAUUACAGUAACACUUCUAUUAUAAAAAGUAAAAAUAAAUUAUUGACCCACAGGUUGCUUAAUUUCUAACGUACGGUGGAGCACACCAUACGAAAAACACAGCUAGCUGAACAAAUCUCAAUUCCACCAAAAUUGUGAAUGGACAAAUAUCUAUAAGUUUCUGUUUCUGAUACAUAUGUAAUAACAGGAUCUCUCUAAGACUCUUUUAACCAUGAGAUUUGAAAGCUUCUGUACAAACCUCAAAAGGUAGGGAAAGCUAAUUUUACAGCGAACAGAACCUCAAAAAUCUCUUUAAAAAAUCUAAGUUUGAUCUAAAUGAGAUUGAAAAUUAUAUCUUUUAUUGUAAGGAUACAUGUUUAAUCAAAAUCUCCUACAGUUUCUUUUUCUUGUGAUCUCACAUGCAUGAUCUUUUUCAUUUGUAGUACCAUGAAAUGACAGUUCUUCAUCUAAUUACCUGUUAUAUAGUAAGUAUCUUCAGCAUGCCUUUCAAAACAAUUGGAAUACCGCAAAAAUGAUAUUAUGAUUUAAUUAACCCAAUUGUUGAUAAUUGGAUAGCAUUUCACUCACCAGAAUCUAACAGAUACUCUUGAUAGUUUCAUAUUUAUGUAAUGUUUGAUAUUGUGAUAAUAGUUGUUUUUAAAAUGUUUUUCGCUAGGAAAUAUAUUAAAAUAAUAUUUUUUAUUUUUUAAAAAACUAUUUUUAACAUAGCACAACAAAACAAUCCAAAAUCAUAAAUAAAAAAAAAACAAAACAAUCUAUAAAUAAAAAAAAUAAAAAAAUAUUAUUCCUUUUUUUCCUCAUUGGAAAGGCCUUGUACUCGGGGCAAAAAAAAAAAACUACCUACUUAAUUUCUUGACCCUGGAAAGGUACCUGAGGUAUGGUUAGCAUAAUUAUGGCUAAAUGUAUCAAAUUAUAGUCUACUAAUUAGAUAGCUAUAAUUGAAGGAAAAACAAAAGUGAUCUUUUUACUAGUUGAUAGAAUCCUGCAUCAACCAGCAAACUCCAUAUCAAUUGACAAUAGUCAAAAGACCUAUCCAAGCUACUUUACAUCAUAUACAAAGGAAAUUGAAUAGCAGAAAAGUACUUGUUUUCCUUGAAAAUAUUAAUGAUCGUGUAGGAUGUUGUUACCCAUUUUUUGAUUCCUAUAAAAAAAUAAGAAAAUACAAAAAACAAUAUUAAAAAAUAUUCAAAAGAAAUCCAAAAAAUAAUAGGAGCGAGAAAAAAAAGCUGGAAUGCUGAAAAAAUAACAAAAUUGGUUGAGGAGGUUCAAAAAUACAAAAUGUUGAAAUUUGACAAUAGAUUUUUGACUGAUGAGAGCCCUGUUGACAAAAAAAAUUCAAGUUGAGGAAGAAAAGUCUAAAAUCAGAUGUUUAUAGACUCAAUUAAAUUUUAUCUAAGAUUUAAUUGAAUUUAUGGAGGGUUUGAUUGCAAGAAAAAUUAAUUUUUAAGUCAAUUUAGAUUUUUAUUGGAAGAAAUUAAAGUUUUGGGGUCCAAUUAUCAUUUUGAAAAGGGACUUAAUUGCAUAAUUAUUGAAGUUUGAUGAUCAAUUAGGGACUUAAUUGAAACAAUCCGAAACCAAGGACCAGACCAGAAAAGACGUUAAAAUCAAGGGAUCCAAUUACAAUUCAUACUGGGGCUUGAUUACAAAAUUUUCAAAACAGCCAAGGACCGAAUCAAAAAUAUUCAUUUUGAAAUUUUGAAACGGCACCGUUUCCACUAUUCAUUGUCUCCUUCAAAGAGAGUCGUUUUCAGCAUUAAAACAGGGAUAUGUUUUGCAGCAAAUUGCUCCAAUUAUGGGGCAUGUUUUAUGGCUGCUAUCCUAGCGACCGUUACCACCACAGUGCUUUCCUUGGGCUAUAAAAGCCAGAGGAGGAAGUAGGAACCGUCGCCAGGGGAGGGAAAAGAGAACAAAAGGAGGAGGAGAAGGCAACGAGACAUAAAGGAAAAAAAAACAGAGAGAAGAGAGUGUAAAGAAGAGAGAGGCAGAGGGAGUGAGUAGGAUAAGAGAGAAAACAAAGAGAAGGCGAAACCAACAGAGGAGCCGAGUGACCAUCAGAAAACGCGACACCAACAAAGGAGUUGAGCCACCACCUGCUCUAUCUUUUCCAGAACGAGGAAAUAACAGAGGAAGCCACCAUCACCAUCGGCUUCACUUUCUUCAGAACCAGGGAACCAGCAGAGGAAGCCAGCAUCACCAUAGGCUUUUCCUUCUCCAGACUCACGAAGCCAGCAGAGUAGGUCAGCACAACCAUCGGCCUCCUUUCUCCAAAACCAGGUCUGUUUCUCUUCCAUUCUCCGCCUCUGCAAAAAAUGAUGCAUGUUACUGUGCAAAGGUAAUUUAAUUACCUUCGUACAGUUCAUGCACGAGUGAAGAAAUUCACGCGUGCUUUAGGUUGUUUAGCCGGGUCACUGGUUUGGGCCAGUGACCCAGCCAGGCCUGCUGGGUCCAGCCCUGCCACAUGGGCCGGGCUGGGCCCAACCAAAAAAAAUUUCAAAAAAAAAAUCCUUUAAAAAAUCUGUGAUUUUCCAGAAAUUUUUUUACUGCAUUUUGAUUAAUAUUAGUUUGUAUUUUUAUAAUGUAAAGAUACAAAUCCGGUAUUAAAAUACCCGGUUUUCGUAAAAAAAAUGUUUUGUUUUCAUGCAUACGGCCAAGUCUCUCAAAUAUAUAUAUAAAAAAUCAUAUUGUAUUUUCAUAUAACAAAUAAAAUUUCAAAAAUAUGUAUCAACAUGCAUUUUAGCUUUAAUAACCAGUUUAUUAAAGUCACGAGAACUAGACUAAUAUUUUAAAAAUUCCAAAAACAAUUAUAUUUUUGUUUUCUUUUAGUAUAUGGGGUUACGACCUUAUACGUAAGACGUAUUCCGGAUAUUAAAUUUUUUUGUUGACGUCAGAAUUACCCGAUAAGAUAAGGAUCUCCUUACUGAGGAUGACUUUUUUUAAACCAUAGACGGACCAACAACUAGAAAACACGACAAGAUCUUAGAUUUUAUUAGACAAUAAAACAAUGCAGCUUACCUUAGAUAGGGCGUAUUUGGUGUGCUAAUACCUUUCCUUUACGCAACCAGUCCUCAUACCCGAUCACUGAGACCAGUUAGAGUUCCUAGUGACCAAAAUACUAGGUGGCGACACCCAUUCCAUUUUUCCACUAAUAAAAGACAAGAAUUUCUUGUCUCCCCACAUUUGCCACAUUUUUAGAUAAUACAAAAUUUUGAGGGUUGAUAUUUUCGCCGCGAUGCCGCACACGUGCGACAUAGGAUAUGAUAUUAUUAAAUGAAAGUACAAAUUAAUCAUUGCACAUUUCUUUUACUUGUUUUCUCAAUUUAUAUAAAAGAAAAAAAGAUUAAAAAAAAGAACUAACAUAAUCACAUUUCUUUUCCUUUGUUUUUUUGUGUUGCAAAAUCCUUUGCCUUGCUAGGAAGUUUAAAAGAGUAAGAAAAGGAGAUAUGCAUAAUUCUAGCAUAUAUUUUUCAAGAAUUAUAGCAUAAGAUUUAUCAAGAUCACGACAGAUCAUGAGGAAGCUUGAUUUGGGAUUUCCUGAACGUAAGCUUCCUUCUCAGAAGCAUUUUCCUUAACAGAAACCUUAACACGAGAUAGUAAGAUAUAUACGAGUGUCAAAGUAUCGAUAUUCUCUAUUUAUAGAAAAGAAAAAAAAAGAUUAAAAAAACGAGCUAACAUAAACACAUUUCUUUUCCUGUUCUUUUUUGUGUUGCAAAAUCAUUUGCCUUGCUAGGAAGUUUAAAAGAGUAAGAAAAGGAGAUAUGCGUAAUUCUAGUAUAAAGUCUUCAAGAAUUAUAGCAUAAAAUUUAUCAAGAUCACGGCAUAUCACGAGGAAGCUUGAUGUGGGAUUUCCUGAACGUAAGCUUCCUUCUCUGAAGCAUUUUCCAUAUCAGAAACCUUAACACGAGAUACUUAGAUAUAUACGAGUGUGAUCAAAGUAUCGAUAUUCUCUAUUUAUAGAAAAGAAAAAAAAGAUAAAAAAAAAAGCUAACAAAAUCACAUUUCUUUUCCUUUUUGUUUUUUGUGUUGCAAAAUCCUUUGCCUUGCUAGGAAGUUUAAAAGAGUCAGAAAAGGAGUUAUGCACAAUUCUAGCAGAUAUUCUUCAAGAAUUAUAGGAUAAGAUUUAUCAAGAUCACGACAGAUCACGAGGAAGCUUGAUUUGAGAUUUCCUGAACGUAAGCUUCCUUCUCUGAAGCAUUUUCCUUAUCAGAAACCUUAACACGAGAUAGUUAGAUAUAUACGAGUGUGAUCAAAGUAUCGAUAUUCUCUAUUUAUAGAAAAUGAAAAAAAGAUUAAAAAAAAGUGCUAACAUAAUAACAUUUCUUUUCCUUUUCUUUUUUGUUUUGCAAAAUCCUUUGCCUUGUUAGGAAGUUUAAAAGAGUAAGAAAAUGAGAUAUGCAUAAUUGUAGCAGAUAUUCUUCAAGAAUUAUAGCAUAAGAUUUAUCAAGAUCACGAAAGAUCACGAGGAAGCUUGAUUUGGGAUUUCCUUAACAUAAGCUUCCUUCUCUGAAGCUUUUUCCUUAUCAGAAACAUUAACACGAGAUACUUAGAUAUAUACGAGUGUCAACUAUCGAUAUUCUCUAUUUACAUAAAGGAAAAAAAAGAUUAAAAAAAAGUGCUAACAUAAUAACAUUUCUUUUCCUUUUCUUUUUUGUUUUGCAAAAUCCUUUGCCUUGCUAGGAAGUUUAAAAGAGUAAGAAAAGGAGAUAUGCACAAUUCUAGCAGAUAUUCUUCAAAAAUUAUAGCAUAAGAUUUAUCAAGAUCACGCCAGAUCACGAGGAAGCUUGGUUUGGGAUUUCCUUAACAUAAGCUUCCUUCUCGGAAGCAUUUUCCUUAUCAAAAACCUUAACACGAGAUACUUAGAUAUAUACGAAUGUCAAAGUAUCGAAAUUCUCUAUUUACAUAAAAGAAAAAAAAGAUUAAAAAAAAGAUCUAACAUAAUCACAUUUCUUUUCCUUUUCUUUUUUGUGUUGCAAAAUCCUUUGCCUUGCUAGGAAGUUUAAAAUAGUAAGAAAAGGAGAUAUGCACAAUUCUAGCAGAUAUUCUUCAAGAAUUAUAGCAUAAGAUUUAUCAAGAUCACGACAGAUCACGAGGAAGCUUGAUUUGGGAUUUUCUUAACAUAAGCUUCCUUCUCUUAACCAUUUUCCUUAUCAGAAACCUUAACUCGAGAUACUUAGAUAUAUACGAGUGUCAAAGUAUCGAUAUUCUCUAUUUACAUAAAAGAGAAAAAAAGAUUAAAAAAAAGUGCUAACAUAAUAGCAUUUCUUUUCCUUUUCUUUUUUGUUUUGCAAAAUCCUUUGCCUUGCUAGGAAGUUUAAAAGAGUAAGAAAAGGAGAUAUGCAUAAUUGUAGCAGAUAUUCUUCAAGAAUUAUAGCAUAAGAUUUAUCAAGAUCACGUCACAUCACGAGGAACCUUUAUUUGGGAUUUCCUUAACGUAAUCUUCCUUCUCCGAAGCAUUUUCCUUUUCAGAAACCUUAACACGAGAUACUUAGAUAUAUACGAGUGUCAAUCAAUAUUCUCUAUUUAUAGAAAAGAAAAAAAAGAUUAAAAAAAAAGCUAACAUAAUCACAUUUCUUUUCCUUUUGUUUUUUUGUAUUGCAAAAUCCUUUGCCUUGCUAGGAAGUUUAAAAGACUAAGAAAAGGAGAUAUGCAUAAUUCUUGCAGAUAUUCUUCAAGAAUUAUAGGAUAAGAUUUAUCAAGAUCGUGACAUAUCACGAGGAAGCUUGAUGUGUGCUUUCCUGAACGUAAGCUUCAUUCUCGGAAGCAUUUUCCUUAUCAGAAACCUUAACACGAGAUACUUAGAUAUAUACGAGUAUCAAAGUAUCGAUAUUCUCUAUUUACUUAAAAGAAAAAAAAGAUUUAAAAAAAGUGCUAACAUAAUAACAUUUCUUUUCCUUUUCUUUUUUGUUUUGCAAAAUCCUUUGCCUUGCUCGGAAGUUUAAAAGAGUAAGAAAAGGAGAUAUGCAUAAUUGUAGCAGAUAUUCUUCAAGAAUUAUAGCAUAAGAUUUAUUAAGAUCACGUCAGAUCACGAGGAACCUUUAUUUGGGAUUUCCUUAACAUAAGCUUCCUUCUCUGAAGCAUUUUCCUGAUCAGAAACCUUAACACGAGAUACUUAGAUAUAUACGAGUGUCAAAGUAUCAAUAUUCUCUAUUUAUAGAAAAGAAAAAAAAAGAUUAAAAAAAAACUAACAUAAUCACAUUUCUUUUCCUUUUGUUUUUUUGUGUUGCAAAAUCCUUUGCCUUGCUAGGAAGUUUAAAAGAGUAAGAAAAGGAGAUAUGCAUAAUUGUAGCAGAUAUUCUUCCAGAAUUAUAGCAUAAGAUUUAUCAAGAUCGCGACAUAUCACGAGGAAGCUUGAUGUGGGAUUUCCUGAACGUAAGCUUCAUUCUCGGAAGCAUUUUCCUUAUCAAAAACCUUAACACGAGAUACUUAGAUAUAUACGAGUAUCAAAGUAUCGAUAUUUUCUAUUUAUAGAAAAUAAAUCUUUUUUAAAAAAAAGUGAUAACAUAAUCGCAUUUCUUUUCCUUUUGUUUUUUUGUGUUGCAAAAUCCUUUGCCUUGCUAGGAAGUUUAAAAGGGUAAUAAAAGGAGAUAUGCCUAAUUCUAGCAUAUAUUCUUCAAGACUUAUAGCAUAAGAUUUAUCAAGAUCACGACAUAUCACGAGGAAGCUUGAUGUGGGAUUUCCUGAACGUAAGCUUCCUUUUCUGAAGCAUUUUCCUUAUCAGAAACCUUAACACGAGAUACUUAGAUAUAUACGAGUGUCAAAGUAUCGAUAUUCUCUAUUUAUAGAAAAUGAAAAAAAGAUUAAAAAAAAGCAAACAUAAUCACAUUUCUUUUCCUUUUCUUUUUUGUUUUGCAAAAUCCUUUGCCUUGCUAGGAAGUUUAAAAGAGUAAGAAAAGGAGGUAUGCAUAAUUGUAGCAGAUAUUCUUCAAGAAUUAUAGCAUAAGAUUUAUCAAGAUCACGCCAGAUCACGAGGAAGCUUGGUUUGGGAUUUCCUUAACAUAAGCUUCCUUCUCUGAAGCUUUUUCCUUAUCAGAAACCUUAACACGAGAUACUUAGAUAUAUACGAGUGUCAAAGUAUCGAUAUUCUCUAUUUAUAGAAAAGAAAAAAAAAGAUUAAAAAAAAAUGAGCUAACAUAAUCACAUUUCUUUUCCUUUUCUUUUUUGUGUUGCAAAAUCCUUUGCCUUACUCGGAAGUUUAAAAGAGUAAGAAAAGGAGAUAUGCAUAAUUAUAGCAGAUAUUCUUCAAGAAUUAUAGCAUAAGAUUUAUCAAGAUCACGGCAGAUCACGAGGAAGCUUGAUGUGGGAUUUCCUGAACAUAAGCUUCCUUCUCUGAAGCAUUUUCAUUAUCAGAAACCUUAACAUGAGAUAGUUAGAUAUAUACGAGUGUCAAAGUAUCGAUAUUCUCUAUUUAUAGAAAAGAUAAAAAAAUAUUAAAAAAAAUGAGCUAACAUAAUCACAUUUCUUUUCCUUUUCUUUUUUGUGUGGCAAAAUCCUUUGCCUUGCUAGGAAGUUUAAAAGUGUAAGAAAAGGAGAUAUGCAUAAUUCUUUCUGAUAUUCUUCAAGAAUUAUAGCAUAAGAUUUAUCAAGAUCAUGACAGAUCAUGAGGAAGCUUGAUAUGGGAUUUCCUGAACGUAAGCUUCCUUCUCUCAAGUAUUUUCGUGAUCAGAAACUUUAACAUGAGAUACUUAGAUAUAUACGAGUGUCAAAGUAUCGAUAUUCUUUAUUUAUAAAAAAGAAAAGAAAAGAUUAAAAAAAAGAGCUUACAUAAUCAUAUUUCUUUUCCUCUUCUUUUUUGUGAUGCAAAAUCCUUUGCCUUGCUAGGAAUUUAUGCUUUACACAAGGAAAUUAACAACGAAAGUAUUUUUGAAAAAUUUUAUUGUCCUUUAAAAACUAUUAGGAAGACAAGUGUGGUUAUUCAUAUUGAGCAUUUGUCAAGUUCAAGAGUACAGACAACAUAAAAAACAGGGUAUGAUAGAAGCAUUGCUUCUCUAGCAUCUUUUAUGAUAAGCUAAGAAAACAGAUUUACUUAAACAUUAUAGAGUUUAACAUAUCUAAAUUAAUCAAAAAUUACAUUUUUAUAAUCUUAACAUCAUAGUAUUCUAGAUGAAUUAAUUUGAUUAGUGAAUCAGUUAAUAAAAAAUUAAUUAAUAAUAAUAAUUGUCGAUCACGUAUAGUUUCGAACCGGUCUCAAACAAGGUAUGAGACUAAAAAAAAUGUUCAUAAAAAUCUAAUUUCUUUGUAACCCAUUUGCAUUAGAACAAAUAUUUUGUAUUCAAAAAAAAUUGUGACCACCUUUCAAAUGCAAGUUUGAAACAUUUAAAAAAAACAUUAAUAAUAUAUAUAUAUAUAUAUAUAUAUAUAUAGGUCAUAUAUUGGUUGCAAAAAAAAUGAUAAAAAUUCUAUGUAGUAUGGAAUAAUUAAUUUUUAUAAUUAGAUAGUUGUUAAUAAUUAAUAUCAUAGUAAUCAUCAUCAUUUAAAAAAAAUUAAUUUUCAUAAAUAAUAAUAAUAAUAAUAAUAAAACUUUUCAAUAAUAAAAAAUAUUUUAAAAUGUUUGCUAAGAUUUGUGAACAAUAUUUACAACUGAUCCCAAAUUUUCUAUCAAAUAAAAUCCAGUUUUAGUUUUUUUUUUUAAAUAUUCAUUGUUUUGGAAUGAUUGGUUGGUCACAAAUAGAAAAUAAAGAAUUUUUAAAAAAAUUGUUAUCGAAUUUUUAAAUUUCAUUCACUAAAUAGCAUUUUAUGAAUUUGAGCACAAUAUUUUUAAAAAACAUGGUACAUAUUAGGUAAUAUAUGAAUAAUAUUAUGGUUAAUGCGUAAUCUACGCUACUAAUUUAGUGAUAAGUUAAUAUUUAAUUUGGCCUUUUUCUCUCUUUAAUUGAAUUAUAAAUGCCCUUUCUUGCUUUCUACGUUCUUUGGUUCUUAUAGUCGCUAUUCAAUAUUUUUUUUUUUGUUUCUUAUUAUUUGGUCAUAUUUAAAAUAAUAAUAUGGAAAUGUCAACAGCUCCAACUUCAUUUAAACUAGAUGACCAAAGUUUUUAAGAAAAACUAUAAACAACAAGAAUAUUAAAGUUCAAUAUUAUUAUGAGCCUUUAAAUUAUCAUUUUAACGUGGAAUCCAAUAGUCUUACUAAUAUAAUAAUUCAUUUGUGUUCUUUUUUUUUUUAAUUUUUAAUUUUUAUUUAUGUUAGGGAAAUGAUACGCCCACACAUACAUGUCAUAUAGAUUCCUUACAUGCAAACGUAUAUAAGAACAUUUUGGUCCUAAAAUCUUAUAAUCAUGCAAAUAAGUCCUUAAUUAAAUAGACUAGGAAAUUCAUUGUCUUCUUAUUAUGUAUUUUCUUUCCCUUGUAUCUUCCAAUGAAUUAUAUAAGUAAUAAAUACAAUUUAACCUUUAAUUUAACAAACAUACAAUGAAUAUUUUUGUCCCAAACCAAAAGCACAAUAAAUAAGUCCCAACCAAAAGCACCAGAAUUAACCCAAACAAACUCCCAAGUCCCAGCACUCUCUCUCACUCUGUUUUGUCGUUAAAGUUGCUUCAACUUGAAAAGUUCAACGAUAAGUCUCCGAAAGAAAUUUCCCACAGCAUCUCAAUUUUCUCUUUCUGACAGCAUAUCAUCCUCUCUUUCAAUGGAAAAUAUGACCUCAGUCGCCCAGGGAUUCACUAAGUCGCUUGCGAUGACAGUGGUAUCGGAGAUCGGCGAUAAGACUUUUUUCGCUGCCGCGAUCUUGGCCAUGCGUCACCCAAGAAGACUUGUUUUGUCAGGUUGCCUAGCGGCUUUGAUAGUUAUGACUAUCCUUUCUGCUGCUGUUGGCUGGGCUGCUCCAAAUCUGAUCUCUCGUGCGUGGACUCAUCACAUAACAACAAUAUUGUUUUUUGGAUUUGGGCUUUGGUCCUUGUGGGAUGGAUUUAAUGACAAAGGGGAGGCUGAAGAAUUGGCAGAAGUUGAAGCAAAAUUGGAUGCUGAUUGGAAAGCUAACACAGGAACGGCCAAAGCUGGUAGCAAGGACAGUGAUGAAUUGAAAAAGCAGAGGCGGACAUUUCUUUCACAGUUCUUCUCACCUAUACUCUUGAAAGCAUUUUCCAUUACAUUCUUUGGUGAAUGGGGUGACAAGAGCCAGAUAGCCACCAUUGGUUUGGCUGCUGAUGAGAACCCGUUUGGUGUUGUUAUAGGUGGAAUUGUAGGGCAAGCACUGUGUACUACUGCCGCUGUCAUCGGUGGAAAGAGCUUGGCAUCUCAAAUAUCUGAGAGAGUAGCUGCGUUGUCAGGUGGAGUUCUUUUUAUUGUUUUUGGAAUCCAAUCCUUCCUUUCAACGGUUGAGUAGACCCAUCAUCUAACACGUAGGUGGUGGUUAGGUGUAUUAGUGACUUUCAUACAUUAAGAAGGUGAUCAUUCUCCGAAGGACGCAGCAAGAUAUGGUUAUUCACAAGAGCAAUUGCUCAACUCAUAAAUUUCCUGAUUCAAAGAGCAGUAGCAUGUUUGAUUAUCAAAAUUAACCAAGAGCGUGUUAUAUGCUAUUUAAUAUCUUCUGUUGGAUCUUGAUAUAUCUUAAAUUGAAUGAAGCAUUAUGAGGCACCGAAGUUGCCUACACACUGUUGAUUUUAUGCAUGCAAAAAAAAAAAAUGAUUAUUUGACAUGGUAUAGGAGCUUGAUGACCAGGCGAUUAUAAGUUCGAAUCAUUUAUUUGAUAAAAAUCAAACAUAAAGUAAUAUGAGUUUGUGCAAGUUUCAAGCUCAAAAAGCAUUUACUUGAUGGUGUGUGUUAAACAAUAAUAUAAAUCAUAUCUUGAAGUCUCACCUAAAGUUUAAGCUUUUGAAUUGAAUUGAUUCUUUAACAGUAUAUAAACACUAUUUUAAAAAAUAUUUUCUCAAUACAAGGCUGUUCUCCAGGAUCCAACAACUUCUUCAUCUAAAGACGAGGGUUACAGAAACAACGAUAAAGAUAGAAAAAAAUACCAGCAAACCUUGCAAACAUAAAAAAUUAAUAAUAUGAUUUUUUUUUCUUUUGAUAUGUUUGAUUGUAAGAGUAGAUGGUAUAUAUAGGCUAUUAACAUGUAAUAGCUAGGUAGAAAAUAAAUUAAAAAAUUAUUACAAUAGUUAAAGAAAUAAAAGAGGUGUUAGAGAAUUAAAAAGUUAUGGCUAUUAAAAAAAAUAAAAAAGAAAGAGUUGUUAAAAAGAGUUAGAGUUGUUAAAAAAUAUUGACAAAAAUCUGAUUUCUUUGCGACCCAUUUCCAUUAGCACAGAUAUUUCAUUAUUUAAAAAACUUGUGAUCAUUUUCAAAUGCAAAUUUAAAAUGGUUUUGAAAAAAUUAAUAAUAUAUAUAGUUGCUUAUUGGUCGCAAAAUAUUGAUAAAAUUCCUUUUUUGUAUGGAAUAAUUAUUUUUUCUAAUUAGAUAGUUAUUCAUAUUGAGAAUAUUCAGAUUGAAAUUCCUAUUUAAACAACCCUAUUUUAAUAAUAAAAAAUCUAGUUUGAAAUGAUGAAACUUAAACUUAACUAAAUUUUGAGUUAAUAAAUAAUCAGAUUGACCUAUGGAGCUAGAUCAAAUUUUAUAACCAUCUGCAUAAUACUAAUUAACCCGUAUUAUAAAUACCAAAAAAAGAAAAGUUUGGUUCAUGUUAUCAUUUCUAUAUAUUCUUAUCUUACAUGAAGACUUGCAUUUUUCUUUUAUUAAUUUAUGUAUAAAUUGAUAUGAGAAUAUUUCAUUAAUGCAUGCACACGUUGAUUCAAGAUCAUUCAUUAUCAUCCAAUAAAAAAAAUGAUUUGAAUCAAUUUCACAGAAUAAUAAUAUAAAAAAGAAAGAAAGAAGAGAAUUUAGGUCAUGCGUAUGAAAGGGUGGUUUCUGCCAUAAUAAACGUCUUGCAUCAUGGAAGCAGCCAAAGGCGAAGUAAUCUUUAUAAUUACCAGAGGAAGAAUGUAUCAGACAAGAGCAACAUCGAGCAGAGAUGAUGGUCACAGACAGAGGAGCACGGGCUAACCAUGGCCUUACUGCAUGGUGGGAGGAAACCAUAGACAAAAAAAAAAAACACAACUCCCUCAAAUUGUUUAUGGGCUUGAGCUAGUGUCUCUCUACUCGCUGAGAUGGAUGAAUCUGGUUCAAUCUCACCGUGUCAAGUUGCUAUCUGUCUCCACUGUGGCAUUGAAUUUUCUGGUGAGAUCCACCCAGCAGCUUUAAUCAAGAGUUUAUUUGAAUACAAGGAUAUGAAUCAUGGCUGCCCCUGCCCUUUGCAUGCCCGUUUAUAAGUGUCGCACCCGACAUCACGGCAGUCCUAAAAAUUAAUUCUCGAAUAUGAAAAAAAAAACAGAUUUCUGGCAUCUUGUUCUUUUAGAAAAAAUAUCUUGUUUAAGGAGUCGCCACCUAGUAUUAUGGUUACUAGGAACCCUAACUGGUCAACAGAGAUUCUAUAAUACGGAACUGGUUACGUAAAAGGGAAGAUAUUAUCACCCUUUAAACGUUCUGUCUGAGGCAGACUGCAUUGCUGGUUUUGUCUUAAAUUGCUAAAAAUUUAUUCGCUUAUGCUAUGAUGAUUUGUUUAUAAUAUUCCUGAUUCUGGCGCCAGUAAAUAUUCGACUACGGAUAUUUCCAACUCUGGCAUUGGUAAGUAUUACGUAACUCAAAACAAAGAUGAAUGGUGUUGCUGACUCUAGCUCUUUAAAUGAACCAAUAAAAAUAAAUUUAAAUAUAUGCAUGCAUAUUUUAUAUUUUUUAUUUUUUAUUUUUUUGGGCUGGGCUGGACCCAGCCAGCCCGGCCCGGUCACUGGCCCAAGCCAGUGACCGUGCAAAUUUCACCCGCAAGCGUGCGUGACUCACGCACGCUUCUACAAUCACCACUUAAUUAAGUCUCUAAUGCACAGUGUUGAUGAAUUAUUUUACAGAGCUGGAGACACUUGCCUGGGAGCAGAAUGAAGGCGAUGGCGUGCUGUUCCUCUCUUCGUUUUUUAAGCUUCUUCCUCUGGUUUUGGAAGCCGGCGCCGGAGAAGAAGAAGCCGAUUGUGAUGCUGGUGCUUUCUUCUGUGGGUUUCUUAUUUCCCUGUCCUCCUCUCUGCCUCUGUUCUCAAAGAAAGAAAGAAACGCUCUGGUUCCUGUUGCUCGCAGUUGCAGAAGACGAUGACAGUGCAGAAGGGCUAUCCCACCCACACUGCCACUGCCUUCUCUCCUCUGUUUUGUUUUUUAUUUCACCCCUCCCUCGGUUCAGCUCUCUCUUUUUUCAGUUCUUCCCCCCUGGCUUUUUCGUGUUUUCCUCUGUUUCUUUGAGAAGAAACAGGGGAACGAAAGUCUGCUCUGGUUUCUCUCGGUUCCUCUUCCCAGUUUUUCUUCAGUUUCUCUCCGUCUGCUCUUUUUUAGUUCGGUUCUGUCAUUUUUUGUUCUCCGCCCUUCGUGGCUUUUCUUUUUCUCUCCCUCUCAGCCCCUCGGUUCUGUGUUUCUCCAGGGGCUUUUCGGUUAUGCCCUCUCUUUCCUGGGUUCUUUUUUGCCACCACCUGCAUGGACUAUCUCUGGCUUUUAUAGCCAGAGAACAAUGCCGUUUCUUCAAGCCAUAAAUUGUGUUAAUUGCAGGUGUAAUGGUGGGAGCGGCGGUGUGCGUCCGUUUCAGUCGGGAAGAAGAUGGACAUUAACGGGAAAACGGCGCCGUUUUUGGUGUUUAAUGGCUAUUUGCAUUUUGGACCUUGCAUUUUUGACAAUUUUGUACUUAAGUCCCUAGUUAAAUUGUAAUUGGACCCCUGCAUUUCGGCGCCAUUUUCAAGCUGGUCCUUGGAUUUUAAUUUUUUCAAUUUGGACCCCAAUUAAACCCCAAACUUUGAUAUUUCUUCAAUUAAGUCCCUGAUUUCAUUAAUUAAAUUAAUUCUAAGCCAAUUAAGUCCACAAACUUAUCAAUUCUUCAAUUAAACCCUUGAUUGGAUUAAUUAAAUUAAUUUCAAGCUCAAUUAAGUCUCAAAAUCAAUUCUCCAAUUAAACCCUUGAUUGGAUUAAUUAAAUUAAUUCCAAACUCAAUUAAAUCUCAAAACUUAUCAAUUCUCUAAUUAAACUCUUGAUUGGAUUAAUUAAAUUAAUUCCAAACUCAAUUAAGUCUCAAAACUUAUCAAUUCUCCAAUUAAACCCUUAAUUGGAUUAAUUAAAUUAAUUCCAAACUUAAUUAGAUUAAUUCCAAAGUUUAAUUAAACCCCAAAAAUUCUAAUCAUGUUGCCCUUAACCCAAAUUUUAAUUCAUUUUUCAUUUAUCUCAUUUUACUUGUUUUUUAUCAUUAUUAUUUUUUUAUCAUCAUCAUUUUUUUUAUCCUUUUUAGUAAAUAAAAUAAUAAUAAUAAUUAAAAUAAAAUGGUUAAAAAUUGGGUUAUGACAAUAGGGACAAAGAAGAAUUGUUUUCCACUUUUUAGAUAAAAAAAAAAAUCCACCAAACUCUGCAACCCACUUGGGAGAGAAACAGCAUCCUCUUUCCAUGGAGGGUCCCCAGAUAUCACCAUGUCCAUCAAUUAUUACAUUGUUUGGAACCCCAGAAAAUUAUAUUUUUGAGCUAACAAUUCCUUUCGAGCCUUGAAUAAUCUCUCUCUCUCUCUCUCUCUCUCAAUAAUACUGAUGCUUUUGUACUGACAUCUGUGUUUGAUUGGGCCUACGCCUAUCUAUGUAAACAAUGACUUGUAGAGUUAUUAAACUUUCGCCUAGAGAAUUGAUCCGGUUAACUUUUAAUUUAAAUUGAUUUUAGUAUUGAUUUGGUUAAAUUUAAGUGAUUUAACAAGUUGAUACUGUUAUAUCUAGCUAUGUCAAAACCAAUGAAUUUUUUUUAAAAAAAAAAUAUCAAACAAAUUUUGUUAAAAAAAUGAUAGAAUCACUUAAAUUUUAAGAAUAAAAAAAAUAAUUUUUUUUUAUUGUCCUUAAAAAAACCUACGUAGACAAGUGAGGUUUAUUCAUAUUGAGAACUUCUCAAGUUCAAAAGCAUAGACAACAUAAAAAAAAAAAGUAGAUAAAAUCCUAUCUAUGAUAGAAGCAUUGCAUCUCACAUCUUUUAUGAUAAAUUUUUUUUUUAAAAAAAAAAGCAGAUUUACUUUUUUUUUAUUAUUAUUAACGUAGGUAUCCGGGCCAGCUUGCACGCACCUCGACUAAUCCCACGGGCCCUAAAGUUAACGAAUGUAAGCCUUGAGUGGCCAUCAUAUGAGCAACCACAGGGCUCGAACCUGAGACCACAGAGGGAGCAAACCCUUUAGUCCCAAGCUCUUACCACUAGACCACCACCUAGAAAGCAGAUUUACUUAAACAUUAUAGAGUUAAACAUAUCUAAUUUAAUCAACAAUUACAUUUAUAUAUAUAAUCUUAAUAUGAAAAUAUUCCAGAUAAAUGAAUUUGAUUAAUAUCAAUCAGUAAAUUGAUUAAUCCAUCAUAUACUAUAAAAAAAAAAUAGUUAAUUCUCCUAAUUACAUAAUUAUUAAUAUUAUAGUAAUCAUCAUCAUUCCAAAAAUAUAUCGGUUGAUAUUAUAGUAAUCAUCAUCAUUCCAAAAAUAUAUCGGUUGCCAAAAUAAAUAUAUAAAAGUGAUAAAAUUUCUAGUUAGUGUGAAAUAAUUGAUUUUCCUAAAUUGAUAAUUAUUAAUAAUCAUCACAUUUUAAAAAAUAUGAUGAUGAUAUUUAAAAGUUAUUAAUAAUCAUCACAUUUUAAAAAAUAUGAUGAUGAUAUUUAAAAGUUAUUAAUAAUCAUCACAUUUUUUUUAAAUCUAGCUUUGUUCCUUUUGGCAAAAAAAAUAUCAAAAGAUAUAGCUCAACCAUAUCUCAAAAUCUAAAAUUAGAUGAAAUUGUCGUUUUGAUCAUUUAAAGCUAAAAUGAUAUUAUGAUUGUUAAACAAUGUAAAUAAAUAAAAGAGAAAUACAAAAACAAGAGAGGGGGAGGUUACGGUUUUAUUGAUAUUGCAUUGAAGGGAUAUGUUUAACAUAAAUACAAAGAGAUUAUAUAUAGGCUAAACUGAAAAGAAAAUAAAAAUAUUAUUCUACCCUUAAUAAAUAAAACAAAAUAACUUAUAUUUCUUAACAUAUCCCCUCAAACUCAUGAUGUGACAGUUACAGGCAUCGAGAGUUUGUCAACUAGAAAAUAAAAACAAAAAAUAAAAUGCAACUUGGUAAAGAAAUCCGCAAUCCGCAAAGAAGAAGAAACAAAAGGCAAAGUAAUGGUGUCAUGCUUGAGAUGAUGACAAGUAAGAUGACAAUUGAUUUCAAUGUGCUUAGUUCUAUCAUGAGAAAUCGAGUUGUGAGCAAUCUGAAUAGAACUCUGAUUGUCACAAUACAUAGGAGUUGGAUGAGAAAGGAAAAUUCUCAAAUCUGCAAGUAACCAACGUAACAAAAAAUCUCUUUGGUAGUAGAUGUCAUAUCACAAUAUUCUGCUUCAUUUGAAGAUUGAAAAAUAAUAGAAUGUUUCUUGCUUUUUCAAGAAACAAGAAAUCACUUAAAAAGAUACAGAAACCAGUAACACAUUUGCAAUUUGUGGGAUCACUACCAUGAUCAGCAUUAAAGUAUGCACACAGCUCUAAAAAAGAGGUGGAUAGAAGUAAAAGACUUUGAAAAACUAUACCUCGAAGAUAUCACAAAAUACAAAGAACAGUUGUCUAAUGAACGGUAGUAAAAGAAGCAGCAAACAGACUAACAACAUAAACAGCAUAUGCAAUAUCUGGAUGAGUAAUAAUGAGAUAUAUCAAGCUCCCAACAAUAGUACGGUAUAAAAUAUGAUGUGACAAGGUAAAUCAUCAUAAGAAAAAUAUUUUGUGUUAACCUUAAUGGGAGUAUAUACAGUUUUAUUAUUAGUAAGUCUAGCUUGCUCAAGAAUAUUUACCAAAUAUUUCGACUGAGAAAUAAGAUAACUCAAAUUUUUCAUUUCAAACUAUCUAGCUAACUCUGUAUUUAAAACUGAAAUACCAUCAAUAUCAUCAUCAGUAAUAAUUAUGUCAUUAACAUAUAAAGACAUAAUGAUACGACUUGUAUCAGUGCACUUAACAAAAAAAGCAGAAUCAUGACUACUAGAAACAAAACCAAUAGAAGAGAUCACAACAGAGAAUUUCUCAAACCAAGCACGAGGUGCUUGUUUGAGAUCAUAUAACGAUUUCUUGAGCUUUCAAACAUACUCAGAAUCAUGUGAAAUACUAAGAGGAGCGUCAUAUAAACUUCUUCUUUAAGAUCUCCAUUCAAGAAGGUAUUUUUAACAUCAAGUUGAGAUAUAUGUCAUUGAUGAACCGAAGCUACUACAAUAAGAGUAUGAAUAGUAAUUAUUUUUGCAAUAGGAGUAAAUGUCUCCUCAUAAUCCAUACCAUAUUAUUGAGAGUAUCAUUUUGCAACCAACCUAGCUUUGUAUCGCUCAAUAGAUCCAUCAGAAUUAAUCUUGAUCUUAUACACCCAACGACAACCAACAUCACUCUUACUAGGAGGUAGAGGAAUCAAAUCUCAAGUAUCUAUUUUAUGCAAAGCAUAAAGUUUCUCAUCCAUAACUUGCUGCCAAAGAAGAUCAAGUCUCUUUAUAGAAAGAGGGCUCAGAAAAACAAUGAAUAAAAGCUAAAAAAUAAAUAAAUGAUGAGGAAUAACAAGAAUAAGCAAAAUCUGGUAACUUUGUGGACUUAUGAAUGCAUAUGGAUUGACGUAGAGGUAAAUCCAUAAUCUCAAACGGAGGUGGAGGGAUUGUAGUGGAGAGAAUGAAACUUUAGGUGUACCAGAGAGUAAAAUGUUAGUACAUGUAGAAUAAUCAGUAUUUUUUUGUUUAAUUAUUUCCAAAUUAUUAUUAUUAUUAUUAUUAUUUUAUGAAAAUUAUAAAUGUAAUUGUUGAUUAAUUUAUUAUGUUUAACUUCUUUUUUUUGGCUUAUCAUAAAAGACAAUAGAGAUGAAAUGCCUCUAUCACUUUUUUUUGCUUUUUAAAUGCUGUCUAUGCUCUUGAACUUGACAAAUGCUCGAAUGUGAAUAAAUCACUUGUCUGCCCAAUUGUUUUUUAGGAGAAUAAAAAAUUUUCAAAUUUUUUUUAUUGUUAAUUCCCUUGGCAUAACUUCCUAGCAAGGCAAAGGAUUUUGAAACACAAAAGAAAAGGAAAGGGUGACUACAUCAAAUAUAUAUCAAAAUAUCUCACUAUAUCAAUAUUUAUCAGACUUAUAAAGUGAAUUAAAAACACAUAUAUAUGUGCAAGCGUACACACAUAUAAACUAAAUUAAUAUUUCACUGUAAAUAUUUAUCACAAUUUUAAAACAAAAUUGUGAGUAAUUUUUCCCUUUUUUUAUAAGCAAAGAAUACUUUAACACUAACUAUAAUCUAAAACAUGUGGAGAAAGUAUUAAAUUGUAAGUAUUUUUUCCCUCUUUUAUAAGUAAAGUAUAUAUUAAAGAAUCUCAUUAUAUCAAUGUAUUUCGGACUUGAAAAAGUUAAUCAAACAUGUGGGGAAAGUUAAUCAAACACAUUAACUAUAAUCUAAAACAUGUAAGAAAAGUACUCUAAUAAUAUUACUUUCCCCGUAUGUUUUGGUGUGGCUCUAAAAAAUACAUUUGUUUUUGUUUAUAUAUAUAUAUAUAUAUAUAUAUAUAUAUAUAUUUUUUUUUAAUUAAUGUUUUGGUUUUUUUUUAAAUUUUAUCCUUUUAAUAUUACAUUUUUUUAUUGGGUUAUCUUAUUUUCAAGACACGGAUCACGGGUUUGGCGGAUUAACCUAAUUGAUUGAGGUUUUAUUCUUUUUUAUUUACCUUUUUUUUUCAAUUUUAUCACUUAAUAUUGGUUUAAUUGAGAAUUAGGUUUCAUGAUUUAUUUUAUUUGCUUUCUAUUAUGUUAAUCAGUCAUGACUUGAAAAUAAUGUUUAAUGGCUUUAUAAUUUGUUUUUAUUUAUUUUCUAUGGAGUUAUCAUAAUCUCAUAACUCAAGUCACAUAUUUGAUAUGUUAACCCAAAUUGACUCAAAUUAAUUUAUUAUGUUGUUAUCUUAAUUUUAAAAAAAAAAUGUUAUCUUAAAAUUAUUUUUAUCAAAUUAUAUUUUUAUUGGUCCUCUAAAAAAUAUGUUAGUAAUAUUUAAAUAUUUUUUUUAUAUUCAAGAAAAACUUGACCCGAGGGUCAAUAAUUUAACACAAACAGUAAACUAAAACAAUAUUUCACUAUACAUGUACUAUUCAUAAAAUACUAUUUAGAGAAUCAAACUAAAACAUUCGAUAACAAAUUGUUUUAAAAUUAUGAAGGAAAUUGAAUAGCAGAAAAGUACUGGUUUUGCUUGCAAAUAUAUAUUUGAGUGAAGGAUAUGAUAUCAUUAAAUGAAAGUACAACUUAUCAUUGCACAUUGCCAUGCCAUGAAGAUUGAACCAUUACAGAAAGCAAGAGACAAGCUUAUCAUAUUAUUGCAUAUUAUCAGAAAUGGCGAUGAAAUUAGACUACAAACUUACAAAGUUCCAACCCCAUUUAGACCAAACCAAAAACAUUCUUACCCCGUCAUAACAAGAGUUAUGGCUUAUCAACAACAGACCUGAAAAAAAUUUACUGAUAGACCAAUUCAAAAGUGGCCAAAAAAAAGAAAAACUUCCCUUUAUUCCUCGCCAUCCUCUCCUGCAAAACUCAGAGCCUGACAAACAGAGUCCCCUGCUUCAGCCUCCUCGAUGCAAAAGAAUGGUUUCUUCCCAACCAAAUCAGCCACUCUUUUCGCAGCCCCUGAAUCCCUUGGAGUCUCAGCAACACACCUGACAGUCCUAAUCUUUGGCAACACAUCAGCCACUGUAGAAACUGUCGGCGGAGAUUCGCCUUCAUCAUCACCCUUAUACACCACUACUUCAAUUGGAAUCUCCCACUUCUUCUUCACUCUACCACUGUCCAUUCUCUGACACGCCCCAUUUCCUCGCGAAGCCCUCCUCUUAUUGACAUCUUCCUUCUCAUUAUCCGGCAAAGACCUCUUUCGAGCCUCGCUAGCACUUAGAUUCCCAUUAGACUGAUUUGUUCCAAUCUGACUAUACCUACUAGCCACCACCCGCCCGGGCUUCAAGGGUUUCUUAUUAGUAACAGAUUUUUCUCCAUCUUUGAAUAGAUUCUUCGGCUGAAUUGAAGCAAUAAUCCCAUCUUCUUUCUUCACUGAUCUUCUAGACCCCACAGUAGUAACAGCCUGUUUAGGAAAUUGAAUCUUGGACACAUUUUUUCGCGAUCUUGGACUAACACUCAAGCUUUUUCCUCUCUCUUUAGUUGCCUUUAAUUCAUCAAUCUCUUCAAGCUUCCAAAAACAAGAUUUCCGCCGAUUCUGAAUCGAAACAGGAGUGUUCAUGUCUUGUUUCCCACAGAAUAACCUUGAUUUGGAUCCGGAUAAAAUCUCACUUGGCCCUAAACUGACUCCUCUUCUAUUAAUCUUCGAUUUAGAACUUGGGAUCAACGGUUCCUCAAUCUUGACACUCUGUUUCUGAUCCAUAAAUUUUGCAGCCACAAUUCUCCCUCUCUUCUCAAUAGUCUUUGAUAUAUUCCUCUCUACCUUUUCAAGCCUAAGUGCUUCGAGUCUUGAAGACAAACGCUUAAUCUCUCUCUCAAUCUCUUCAAUCUCCAUAUCAAUCUUUUUCUCAUCACGAUUCUUGAUCUCUUCAUUCUUUGCCACCAUCUUAGAAACCCCAAUCUUCAAAGAACUACUCCCGAGUGAGUUAACUAGAUUGGUAUUUGAUUGAAGUGGCUUGGUGGGGUUUGAAGAAUUGACAAAAACAGGAGAUGAUUUUUCACAAACUGGGCUAAGAUUCUCUUUACUUCCAUUGGAUUCAAGACUUUGAGUCCACCAAGAAGACUUAAGAUUCAAAGAAUCCUCUGAUUCUCCAUUAUCAAACGCUGCAUUGUUCCAUAUUUGAACUUCUGGGGCAUCAACCCCAUCUGGGUAUUGAAGAAGACUACUCAUCUUUCUUGUUGCACUAUCAAAAUGGGGGGUUUUCUUUGUUCUUUUUACAAAUCAAGAUUUGACCUUUUUCAAAGGAAUCUGUGAAUUUUUGAGAGAGAGAGAGAGAGAAAAGGUGAGGAUUAUUUGAGUUUAAUGAGGGAUUUUUGGGGGGGUUUUGUGUUGUUUUAAAGAUUUUUUGACCGUUGGAGAAAAAGUAUACGUUGGAGCCUCAUGGUGGAAUACUGACAGUUCCAUAAACGGCUUAUAUUAGACGCUCCCAUUUUGAUUUAAAGGGUUAUUUGUCAAAAAAAAAAAAAAAAAAAAAGGAAAAUUUUGUGCGGGAUGGGAACUUGAUGCGUUGUUUGUUUCCUGUUUGAUGAGUAAGAAAGAGCAUAUUUGAAUAGUGUUAAGGGUUGUUUGGGAGUAAAUUUUGUUAAAAUUUUAAAAAAAAUUCUUUAUUUUUUUUAAUGUUUUUAAAUUAUUUUGAUGUAUUGAUGUUAAAAUUAAAUUUUAAAAAUUUAAAAAUAUUUUUUUAAUAUUUUUUUUGAAAAAAAUAUUUUGAAAAGUAACUACUAUUAUAUUUUAAAUAUUUUCUAAACCUCAUCAAUCAAUCUAAUAAUCUAAUAUAUUAUUUUUUAUUGAUAUGUUAUUUAAUUUAGACUAUGUAUAAAAAAUUAGAUGAGAAUUAAUUUGAUCCCGAUUAAAAUCUAGUUUAAUUUUAAAAAAAAAUUCAAAAUGAUAUAAAUUUGAAUUUUUAUUAAAAAAAUAAAAAUUAAUUUAUUUUAAUUAAUUCAGAUCAAAUCUAAUUAAUCCACAUAAUCAUGUUAUAUUAUAUAAUCAUAAUCAGGAUCAAACAAGAUUUAAUAACUUUGAUUUGAAUAGGAAAUGGCCGAUGAUUACUACUACGAAAUUGGGCCGCCCUCCCAUAGCCGAUGAUACUUUGGAAGUGAGGGGGAGAAGGCAAGAAAAUCAUAAUUACCCGUAUGACUAAUAAUCUCAUUAAUCAUUUUGUUAGCAAGAUCGAGGAGGUAAAAAAUCAUAAUUAUAUCCUCCAAGUUGGUUUUUUUUUUCAAUUUGAUGGUAAAAAAUAUUUUCAUAUAAUUAAGGGUUGAUAAAUCAGCAUAUGGAUCUGAUGAUCCUCUCAACACUGCUAAGAAUCUCAGUAUGCAAGCAACAGAACAGCAGAUGGUUGUAAGAAAGAAAUACACAGUGAAUUUUAUUCCCUUUCAAGCAAAAUGAUUAGUUAAAAUUGGAAGAAAAUGGAGCUACUCUUCCUUGACAUAUCAGUUCAUAUCACAGCAGCAAAAAGAACCCAGAAAGGAAGUAUCAGCUGCAAGUCUGUAACACACAGCAGGCUCCAGUCUUCGGCCAAUGAUACUCAGUGUCCACAUGAGCAGGAACCUUGCCUCCAUGUCGCCACAAUAAUACAGACAGUUCCCAGCUGAAGAGUCAAAGGAGAAAAGAUAAAAUAAAAUAAAUAAAUGCACAGUACUGAAGGAGAAGGCACCACACACCACACAUAAUUAAAAGAAAUCUUGCUUACACUUAAAAUAAAUAUUUUUUUAAUUCAUCAUGUGUAAUUGGACUGAAUUCCAAGAAAUUUGUUGACAAGGAUCAAAUUAGAUGCUCAGUAAAUAUGAAGGACUAAUCAAAAGACAAGCCAGAUUCUAUUAGAAUUGUUCAAUAAUAAUCAGUUGCAGCAGCAAUCAGAAAAUAUUAUAAUUAUAGUCAACAAUUUUUUAGCAAUUAGUUUCUGUUUCAAAUUAUAAAUUAUACAAAAAUAUUAUUCUUAUUUCCAAUUAAUUGUAUAUGUUUAUAUGUUUCAAACACCUGAAUUUUAUUUUCAUCAUUAAAUUUAUUUUGAUUUAAGUGGCUAAAUUUAAUUUGUUAUAAUUAAGUGGCUAAAUUUAAAUUUAAAUUUGUUAGACCAGGUAGUUGCUUAUUUAUUAAGUUUAAGAGAAUAUUUUCAAGAUAGAAUUGAAUCAUUAGAUUAUUUUUCUAUUAAAGAAUGUUAAUCAAAACAUAAUUACUGCGAGAUGUCUUUUUGAGAUACAAAAUAUCUCAUAGUAAUAUAUUUUAUCCAUUAUAUUAAUUAAAAUUAAAAUAGAGUAAAUAAAAUAUAUAUUCAUUAAAAACACAAAAUCUUGCUCUGUACAAUUUUUUUCUUAACAAAGUCACAUUAAUCUAUCUCUGUCAUCCUGGAUAAAAUUUCACAAUUACACUCCAACUCGCCCAGUCAAUUCAAUCUCCUCUUAAAAUACUUCACAACUCACCGAGUCAAAACUCGCUCUCACCACCGAGUCAAUCAUCCUCUCUCUUAAACAUGAGUCUCCUUGCUAUCUCCUCACCCCUGACCCCAGCAAUUUAAGUACAUAACUCGUCGAAGAGAAUCAUCAUUUUGCCUCACUCCUCCUUCUAAUCCACAACUCCCAAAAACUCCACCACAAUCCGAUUCAACUGAACCAGCAAGUGGCCGGAUCUCCGUGGCAUCUCCUCGGGAGAACACCCUCAUCUUACCUUGUUGCAGUGAUUUUAAGUUGGAUUUCCACCCUUGAUCAGGGUGCCUAACUGCAGCCACGGUAGCUGCCACCCAAACUCUGUUCAAAUAACUCAUUUUCCAGGCCUUUCUGAUGUAUCGGCAGAAAAAAUUACGGUGGGAGGAAUUUUAAGUUUGCUUGAGUGCUUGGAGGGAGGGCUGGGUGUGUGGCUUUAUAGAGAGAAAAGUGCUUGUGGUUUUUGUAAAACAGGAAGUGGUUUUCUUUGAUAAAGUGGUUUGGGAUAGGAAUCAUUUAGUGGUGGGCCUGAGGAUCGAGGUUUGAUGUUUUGUACAGAAGUGAAGUUUUUAUCACGAGAAAUUGUGUAUUGAUGUCCUUGAAAUUUUCAAAUGUCUAAAAACUUUUGUAUUUUUUCUAUAUAUUUUAAUGAGAUUUUAUUUUGAAUGAGUAUAAUUAUUUUUUACGAUAAUAACUACACCAUUAUAUAUAAUUUCUUAAUCAAAUAUUUGAUAUUAUGAGUGUAGUUUAAAUAAAAGCUCAAAUAGUAUAAAACUAUAAUUUUUUUCUUGCAAGAUUACCUAUCAAGAUCUAAGAAAAACUCCCCAUGGAAAAAAUAUUGUUCAUAAUAAACUUUGUAAAAAAAAUUAAUGUUGGAUAAAUGUGUUUAUAAUUUUAAAUUUAAUGUUAAUUUUUAUAUUGUUUAACUUAUGAUAAGUAAAGGAAAUGAAUGUAUUAUAUUUGAUAAUUAAUAUAUUGUUGCUUUUAUUUUUUAUUUUUUUUAAUAAAGUGGAAGGGUUCGAUAAAAUGAUAGAAAAUGAUUCGCUGAAGCGUGGAGUUAUCACGAGAAGAAAUGACGAUAAAGUGUAUUUUGUAACAGGUAAAGGGAGCAACAGGUGUCGACCUUAUCUAAAACCCACGGUUCAUCUUUAUCUGACCAAUACCAGCUCAACACUCUUAUCAAGUGGGGUCCCGCAGGAAGUUAAGAUAAUUUGUCUUUUUCUUGACUUGCUAGACCACGUGAUGAGGGGACACGUGCUGUGACGAGAAUCGGACAUGGCUCUUUGUCUGAAUGGGUAGGCAGGGAUGUCACGUGCUGGAUGAUGAAUUAUUGUAGUUGUUGGAGACUUGUAGUGAUGGUAAAAGAUAGUGUUAGCAUGGAGGGAUGCUAGGGAAGCUUCCAAAGCGAUGCCAUUUGAUUGAACAUCGUGGUGUUUAUAAGGGGACAUCAGGUGAAUAGAUUUCUCAGUGGAUGAUUAAUGGAAUUUGGAUUUUUAAAAAAAUAUUUUUUUUUCAAAUUAAUUGCUAGGCAUGAUGGAAGGAUUCAAUUGAAGAAUGUUUAAUACUAUGAAAUCUAUUAAAAAAAAAUUAGUUCAAAGGAUCCAAUUGAAAAUGAUUGGCAAAUUGAGAACUAACUGGAGUUUUUUUUAGUAUGGAUCUUUGUUGAGUGUCCUUUUUUUACAAUUAUUAUACAUUAUAGUUAUUAAAAUUAUUCGGGUUACAAGCUUGUUGGAUUAAGUUUUUAUAAUGAAAAUGAUUUUAAUUUGGAUAUUUUAAAAAAAAUCAUUAAAAUUGACUUGAUUGGAUUUAAUAUGAUCAACUGUUAAUUAUUAAAUUAUUAGAUUAUUCCGUCAACUGAAUCAAAUUUAAUAAAUAUAUUACCGAAAUUAAAAAUCAUUUUCCUUUUCCUGUAGGCAUUUCUAUUGACAUUGCUUCAUGAGUUUCAUUAUAUAUUUUCAACAAAUAGUAAUGAAAAAGAAAGGAAGAUAACUUUGGUACCGUCCAAAUAUGUCUUGCAUAGAAGCAGCUAAAGGGGAAGUAAUUUUUUUUUUUUAAUUACUAGAGGAAGAAGGUAUCGCACAAGAGCAACAGCAAGCAGAGACAAGAAGGAAUCAUAGAGGAGAUAUGGAAAAGAAAUCAAUGGUGUGGUCUCUAUCAUAGAGGAGAUAAUAAGCAUAGUCAAAGUUUGUGGGCUAACCAUGUCCUAACUGCAUGGUGGGAGGAAAUCAUUAUCAAAACCAAUGUGACAUAUUGAUUUGUCAAGUUUAAAAGCAAUAUAAAUAAUUAAAAAAUAUAUAAUUUUAUAUUAAAAAAUCAAGAUAAAGUCUAAAAAAAAAAAUAGAGAAGAUAAUAUAUUAAAUCAAUCUAAGUUAAUAUGUAAAAGUUAUUAUAUGAAUUAUUAGAUCAUGAUAACUUUAUAAAAAUUAAAUCAAAAAAACAUAUUGAAACUUGAUUCUCAAUUAACUCAAUGUUGAAGGAGUGAAAUUAAAAAAAAAAUCAAUUAAAAACAGACAAAAAAACUCGAGUCCACCCGGAUUAACUUAUCAAAUCUAGAUUAUGAGACUUGGAUAAACUAAUAUAAAGUUAAUCAAAACAAAUUAUGAAACUCAAUUCCAAAUUAAUUCAAUGUUAUGAAGAAAUUGAAAAAAAUAAUCAAUUAAAAAAAAUCCUGAGUCAACCUAUCAAAUCUUUGACUCGUAUCAUGAGAUUAAGAUAGCCUUAUAUAAAACAAACGAAAACAAAUUAUAAAGUUUAAUUCUUAUUCAACCUAAAUAUUAAAGAAUAAAAGAAACAAUUACAAAAAAUAUAGAGAUUUUAAUAAACAAUACUUUAUAAGACAAAGAAGAAUGAUUUUCACUUAUCAAUUAGUUUCUGUUAAUAAUUUAAAGGUUUAAUUAUAGAAAUUUUAAAAUAAAAACAUACUUUUUCAACCAACCCAUUGAAAUUUAUGAAUCUACAUGGUGAUAUUUCAAUUAUCAAAGAGAGGUCCACCUAGCAACUUUAAUAAUGAGUUCAUAUAAAUUCAAGGAUAGAGAUCAUGGCUGCCCUUUAGAUGGCAAUUUACGGGGACAAGGAGAAUUGAUUUCAACUUUUUAGAUUAAAGUUCCACUUAACUUUGCAACCCACCUGGGAGAGACGCUAUCCCGUUCCCAUGGAGGGUCCCUAAAUACUCCAUUGUCUUGGAACCCCAUAACUGAUAUUUUAUAAGCUACAAACUACUUAUAAUAUGAUAUUUUAUAAGUCCCUAAAAGAAUUUGAGCAUUGGCAACGCGUUUUUUAGCUUUUAAGAAAAAUUUCAUUAUGAAUAAAAAAAAUUAAAACAUUCAUUUAAUCAAAUAAAUAAAUAUAAAAAGGAAAUAUUUACAUGAAUCAAAAACCAUUUAGAUUUUUUAUGAUAAUAAUAAUAAUAUUAAUAAUUCAUUCAUUCAUAAUCAUUUCUCCCUCGAUAGUGCUAAAGCUUUAUAUUGACAUCUACGUUUGGUGGCCAUAGCUAUCAAUCUAUCUAAACAAGAUCUUUCCCCAUUUCAAGUUCUUUAGAAGAUAAGAUCUUCCCCUUUAUUCUCAACACGAUUUUGCUUAUCAAACUAUGUUUCAUGUAAUUUCUUCUUUAAUUUAUUUGUUCGUGCUAGAAGAGGGCACCUUGGAUGUUAUUAAAGUAUUUAAGGGCAUUCAAAAACACAAAGAUGCAAGGCAUGAGGAGGAUUAGCACGAUAAAAGUGACUUCUUUUUUCCAGGAAGUGUCCAAAGCACAACACAUUCCAGGUUCCUGAUCACUGUCAUUAGCAGGAUAAUUUAAUUGCAGUGGACAAAACACAAAGCAAGAACCAAAUCCAGAUCUCAAUCUAAAUUCCACUAGUUCAUUACCUUAUCAGCAAAAGAAAAGGGUAUAUAUCUCCCUUUCUCAGGCAAAAUCUCCAACUAAGCUGCCAAAUUUGCCUCUAUCAGGCUGUCAAUCCAAUAAAUAAUACUAAUGAAGGACAGCUGCUCAAAGGUUGCUUUCAUGUGCAAAACAACAGCAGCAGCAAAGUUGAGCAUGUAUCCAUUGUCACUUCCAUGGACCAUCCAAAUAAUAAUGCAAUGUUAUGAUGCUUUACGUGACAGCAUUAUAAAUAAUUUACACGUGUACUAAUGAUUAUAAAAAUGAUUAUAAAGCUCAAAUAUCCUAAGAAACAAAAAGUAAACAAGUAGGGUAAGUGACGGAUACUGAGAAGAUAUAAUCUUGUUUUGGUUGAGAGAUAGAUACAGAAGCUUAAAAUAAAGGAAACCUCAGCUCAAGAAAAAACAAGUGCUUGCAAGGAAACAGGAUCUUCACACAGAAUCAACUUCAACCUGCUGGCGUGCCAGGUAUCUUUCCCUCCGCUCUUUCUGAAAUGCAUAUCAGAGAAGCAAAGUCAGGAAAAUUUAUAGGCCACAAUGUUAUAAAGGAGAAAUAAAUGGCACACCAAAUGUUCAAGACCUCACCCACUCAUCUAUAACAAGUCCUUCGCCAACAACUCUGGGGCCUGCAUCUUCUGGAGGCUUCUUGCGUGCUUCGAGCUCAGCUUCAGCCUCAGCCAGUUGUCUUUUAAGCUUUUCCAGUGCCUUGAAGGAAACAAAACAGAAUUUCCUCGAAGAUUCAGAAGGCUUGUUUUUGGUCUUUAUAUUUUCCUUUUAAAUUCAGGCAGAGAACAUAUUAGAGAUGUAUCUGUUUUACUUACAGGACUAGGGCAUUCUGGAUCAAGAAAAACAACUCGUAAAAUUUGCUCAACUGCUACUUGAUCCUUCUGCUCAUCAAACUGCAUAAAAAUGUAUAAACAUAGCUUGUUCAGCAUUUUUAUAGAUCAAUGCCAUUGUUUUGUAAUAGAACACAACAUCAGAAGCAUUCUUCCUGGCAUACAGACCAAAAAUAAGCUUACACAUUGAGACAACAAAAUUAGAUCUUCAGCCCUACAUGUUUCAUAAAACUAGCGUAUGCCAAUCAUAGAGAGAGCUCACAAUUCUGAUAGAUGAUUCAGAUGAAGGAAAACUGAAGCAAAAUGAAAAUGCAGUCAAGAAAUCCUGAAAUUCAUUUAUUGACAAGCAUUUCAACUAGUGUUGAAGAUUCACAAAUCACAGAGUUGGAAGUCGGAACAAAGAAGGCUAGCCUAUCAAAAGUACAUAUUGAACGACUGAUGCAUCCACUUCUUAUUUUCUACCUACAAUGCUGUUUUUUUGCCAGAGUUCUCUUUUAAGAAAUUCUUACAACUAAUCUAUCACCCUUAGUAAUGAUGCUUAUGACCAUGUUGAAAACCAAUAGUUUUAUCAACAAAACAAAGGAAGAUGUUCAUCAAAUCAUGUUGACAGGAGCUUAAUGUAGAAUCAAUAAUAAAAAUCAGAUGAAAGGUGCAGACAAUAUACCAUCUCAGGAACAUAUUCCAUUUCUCCUUUCACUUUCAAGCUCAUGAUCUUGAACUUUACCCUGCUCUUCUGAUCCAGUAGUCUCUCAUUGUUCUCUGGAGGCUCCACAAACUUGAAUACUGUUGGCAAGUAAUGAUUCAGAAUGAUAAUUCCCUAAAAUCAAAAUGUAUACAGCGCACAUGGUCCCUGAUCAUUUAAUUGGGCACAAUGAACAAGAUAGGUGGUGGAGGAGCAUUGAUUACCAGUUGCAAUAAGACUUUCACCAGGUGCAAGUAUAGCCCCGGGAGGACGCAUGUAACAGCUCUUUGGUGCAGUUGUUUGGAACUACAACAGCCAUCAUAUCACCAAUAAUUCCCAAAAAAAUGAUAAACAUAAAAAGCAUUGAUAAAAAAAAAAAGUUGACAGAUUAGUCAUACCUUGAAAGCUACAUGAGACUUGCUAGUGUUUUUUAUGCCAAUGGCACUCCUAACCUGUUUUCCUGGUUCAUCUUCAAUACAAUAAGAUUGAAACAAAUUAAGUACCAAGCAAACACAAAUCCAGUUCGUUGCAAAAUUUACAGUAAUGGAAACACACAUAAAGUAACCCCAGAAAUAGCAAGAUCAAUCAAGAAAAACUAGUCCAUCUGUAUAAUGAUAGCUUCAAAUGUGAAAGCCAAUAAUAAUAAUAAAUAAAUAAAAGAUUUCUCAGCUCCAAGUACAUUAAUCAAGAAAAGUUGGAUGAUUAGCUUUUUGAUAUACAAUGAGCAAACCCAAUAAGGUUUCUUAAACUUGUUUGAUUUUGACCACUAAAGAACAAUCAAUCUGUUUUCAUAAGGACUAGACAUUAUCAUCCUCAAAAAGUUCAUUUCCCUUCAAUAAAUUAACCCCCCCUCCUCAGAUCAUCACAAACAACAAAUGAAUCUAUUAAUCACAGUUCAUAUCAAGUAAAACAUGCAGACGACAAUCUAAGCUGUGUAAUCUAUAACAUCGACAAGUCAGAAUAUCUUUGCUUGAAAUAAAAACAAAGAAACCCAGAUCACACAAACUAAAGAAAAAAAAGUAAAAAAGAGUCCAAGUUGUGCAUACAGAACAAAAACCAAAAGAAUAUAGACAACAAAAAGAACCCGAAACCUUAGUACUUACAAGGGAAGAAGAGCUUGUUAGGAGGAUCAAGCCUGAGUCUUCUUCUAGUAGGCAACAAAGACUUGGUAACAAAAGACAUUGCAUUUGUUGAAUAAUAAAGACUUGAUCUUGCCUCUCCAAGCUGGUUACUUUGGUUCUGCUGACAACCAUUGUUGCCAUUACUGUUAUUACUGCUCAUGGAACUUGAAGAUGUUGAAGAAGAAGAAGUGGUGGUGUUAGUUGAAGAAGAAGUGGCAUUGCCAUUGCCAGUGCCAGUGCCAGUGCUUGUUUGCCAAAAAGGCAUUUUGCAAAGACUAAACUUUCAUUUCACUCUCUGCUUAAAAGAUGGAAAAUUUGAGUAGUUAUUUUUUUGGGGGGGUUUUGUACUUUAGUUAUAUUUUCUAUUUUUACUAUAAUAAUAAUAAUAAUAAUAAUAAUAAUAAUAAUGGAUUGUUAGUUGUCACAAUCAUUAAACUUGAUCUCGCAGGUCUACUUGGAGUGUGUUUAGCUUAUGUUUGGAAUUUUGUUUCGGUGUAUCUGAUUUAAAAACAUAUUAAAUUAAUAUUUUUAGAAAGUUUUAAUGUAUUAAUAUUAAAAAUAAAAAAAUAUUUUAAUAUAUUUUUAAAUAAAAAAUACUCUUAAAAAACAUUUUAUACCACAAUAUUAUACACACACUUAGACUCGAUCAACCUGUCAUAAGGUAUAAUUUGGUUUGAUUAAGUUAGCAGAUCAAAACUUAAUUAAAUUUAUCUGGGGAUAGAUUUAGUAAUUAUUUUUUAAAAUAAUUUUUAUUUGAAAAUAUAUUAAAAUAAAUCAACAUAUCAAAAUAAUUUAAAAAUAAAAAUCAAAGUAAAAAGUUUUUUAAGAGUUUUUAUAACAGUAUUUUUAAUGCAAUAACAAACACGUUCUAAUCUGGUUUUUUUUUUCACAUGCUUCCAUCUUUUUGGUUUUUAGAAUCUACCCAGUCCAUAUAUCCUAUUAAUUUACAGUAUAUUUUUCAGGAAAUUUAUAUUAGACUUGGGGAAUCUUUAUAAAAAUUAUUUUAGAAUCAAACUCUAAAAAUACAUUGAGUGAAAUUAUAUAUAACGAUGCACACCAAAGAAAAUUUUAUUGUCUCAAUGAAAAAUUAAAAAAUUUACUUUUGCUUGAAAUGAGCCUUGGAUGUCACUUUUGCUUUCAAAUGGAGACUCUCUUUAAUUUUAUUACUUUAAGAAAUAUAACUCGUUUAGCAUUACAGUCUAAUUGUUUUUUUAAAAAAAAAUUAUUAUUUUUUAGUUUCAAAUUAUUAUUUUUAUAUACAAGUAUCAAAAAUUAAUUUUAAAAAAUAAAAAUAACUAUUUUAAUACAUUUCUAUAAAAAAUUAUUUUAAAAAACAACAUAACACUUACUUUUUAUUUAUAUAUAUGCUUUAUCUUAAAAAGAAUGGAUAAUAGACUUUAGACCCGAAGAAAGCAUCUAAAACAUCAUGAUUUGCUAUGAUGUUGGAAACAUGAUCUUGUGGAAACGUUAAAAUAACAACACGGGAACACACACACUGAUGCUCCCAUGUGGCCCUCUUGCAAGAAAAGCAUCUCUCUUCCAUGAUUUCAUUUCGGUGAUUCAUUCAAAAUAUUUUGCGGGCAAUGAUUUAACCCAACCAGACGCAUAUGGCACUAGAUGGCCUGCUGGGUUCUAGUCACACAACCUUUGUAGAAAGUGACUUUACUCUUACAAAUCUUUUGACAUGGUCAAUGAAGGAUGGAUUCCCUUGGAUCUUGCCAUUGGACUAAUCAUCAUAGUUAAAGAUGUGAUAGGAUAACAAUCAACAAGGAAGCAAUGGCGAGUGGAAAAGGAAAUUUAAGAUAAGGAUUAGGGUCAUGAUCACUUGUAGGUGAGAGGCGAUCCCUAAGAACACCAAAGAUGCUGUUCUUAGGGAUUCUUCAGAUUGAUUUAGCCUUUUCUCUUUACUUCUAUAUAUUUUUGAAGCUGUAGUUGCUUGUGGAGGUGGUGAUCCUGCUGCUGCUGCACUUCCCACUUGAGUAGGCUUUGAGGAGGAUCCCGUGUUGUUAAUGACAUGUUGAUGGUGCAAGGAUUUCAUGGCAGGAUUUAGCCUUCACUUAUUUUUAUCUCUCAACUCCUCCACAGCUGCCCAAACCUUGCUCUUCCACCUCAUUGUACUAAAAGAAAAUGGACCAGUUAAGAAUCAUGCAAGACUCAAUACAGCUGAAAUUCCAUGCCUGUUGUUUUAGCGAAAUUGAGAGUAAUUUAUUUGUGUUACAUCUAGUGUUCCAUGCAAGAUUAGGUUAGCCAGAUCCCGAAUUGAUCCAUCAGUCGUAAUUAAAACUAGAAAAAGUUCCUUGCAAAUUAACUUUUUUUUAAAUUAUCCAGGAGCAUUUCUAGGAGAUUAGCCAAAGCAUCCUCCCGUGAUUCAUGUGGUGAUGUUUGAAUGAGAUUUAUAUUCAAAAUUUAUGUGAAAAAUUACAUUAAGUAAUUUUAUGAAUUCAAAAUUUAUGAAGCAUAAAUAAUUGUAAAAAAAACAAAUACUCUAUUUGAUGUACAAUAAUUUUAUAUUUUUGUGAAGUUUAAUUUGUACCAUAACAAUUUAAUUUUAAAUUCAAAGGAAAAAAAAACUUCAUUUCAUUUUCUUUAAUUUUAAUGUUUUUUCUCCUAAGCGGAUCCUCUUUAAGAAAAUUUAAUAAUACCUUUCCUAUGUGCUAUAUAUAUUACUUUCUGAAUUCAGGGCGCCGCUAAUUUAUUUUUUAUUUUAAUUUCAGAUAUCCUAUUUAAAAUAGCUGAUCAUGACUUUCAGCACAAAAGGAUAUCAUUUUCUUCUUGGAGAAAACACAAGAGGAUAUUAUUGAUAUUUAUAAUAUUAUUAAAUGUUAAUAAAAUACUAUAAGUUAUAAUUUAUCAUAUAAAAGGAAUCGUCUAUAAUUUAUUUUCAAUUUCAAAUUAAUAUAGGUUGUGAAAAAUAAAAUUUAAGUAACUUUUUUUAUCAAUACAUGAAUAGCAGUUUAUAAUCAGAUUAAAGAUUUAUAUAAUUUAAUAAACAAAAAAUGACAGAUUAAUUUACAAUUGAUGGUCCUGGAGUAGAAUCUGAUCAUGGCUGAUCAAAAUCUUUGAUGGGAACUCUACAAACAGUUUGAUCUUUGUCAUCUAUAACCACAACAACCUCAGUAGGGACCCCAACAACUUAAGUACAUGACGGUCCUUAGUGACUCCUCUGAUUGCUUUGCCUUCUGAUUUUCUCUUACUUUACUUGAAACCACGUUAGAAGUCGGAGAAGACAGCUUCUUGGCCUUAGACAUUGACCUAACUUUGUUCUUGGCAUGAUGGUGUAAUAAUCUAAUUGUGUAGUUCCAUCUGCAAAACCCUUGAUCUUUCAUUGCCUCCACAGCUGCAAUACCAAAGGCUACCAUCCAAGCUUUGCUUGUUGAACUCAUUUUUUUUCUAUUUUCUUCUCUGUACUAGAACAGAAGGAUGGAGGCUCUUUUAGUUCAGGAAGACGAGGUAUAAUCUAUCGAGCUUUUGUGCUUGAUGGUGAAAAUGGUAAGCAGGGGUUUGCUUAUAUAGACAGUACAGAAGGGGCCAGAAGCUUUGGGAGAAAACUAGAGCCUACAAGAUCAGGAUGUUAGCUGCUGGUUUAGGCAAAGUGGAAGCCAAAGAGAUGUUUUCUUGUGUUUUUUAUUAGUGGGGUCGUGUUAGGAUAAGAUUUUCAUUAAUGUCAAAAACUACAAGUCGGAGCUAGAAAAUGGUAUCUCAAGCACACUUUUUUUUAAAUCAUGAAAAGGCUAGCGUGUGAGUUGUUGCUGAUGAGCACCACACGGUUUUCCUAUGUAAAAAUCCCAUUAUUUUCUUUGAAUAGUCGAUUACCAUGCGUUCAUUGCAUGUGUCACCAGAACCAAGGUCUCAACUCUCAACAAUGGGGGCAGAUUUUACUACAUUUAUUGUUUGAUUAUGGAACAGUUUUUUUAAAAUGUUUUUUAUUUAAAAAUAUAUUAAAAUAAUAUUUUUUUAAAAAAAAAUUAAUAUCAACAUAUUAAAACAAUUUAAAAAUAUAAAAUUUUAAUUUGAAGUAAAGAAAAAAUAAAACUUUUUAAUUUUUUAAAUACUUUUAAAACACAAAAACAAAAAGAUUUUUAUUGGUUAGAAAAUAGCAAUUUACCCUUUUAUUUUUGUUUCUAUCUAAAUUACUCCAAACUUUAUUGAUAUUGAUUUUGAAUUCAUUCUAUGGAAUUUGGUAAGUGUUAAAAGUUAAUAUUAAAUUAUUUUUAAGAGUUUGAUUAUAAAUUUAAUUUUUUAAUAUAUAUAUAUAUAUAUAUAUAUUAGAAUAUUUUUAAUUAAAUAGUGAAAAUUUAAAUCUCUCAAGAAAAUUGGUCGGAAUAAGUUUCAAGUCCAAAUUCUUUAUUUUAAAUUAAUAAUUUAUCACAAUUUUUAUUUAAGAUUUUUUAUUUUUUUUUAACUGUCUUCUUGUUAAAUUUCAUUGAUAACCCCAAACGUUUAAAUUUAAUAAUUUACUGAACUGCAACUCUAAUGGUGAAUAUUGAAAGGAAAUAAAGUUAUGAGUAGUCUGUUGAUGUGAGAUUUGCGUUGGAAAAAAAUGAGUUUAGAUGGCUUGAAAACGCAAAAAGACGUUGAUGAUCAAAAUACACAAGUUAAAUUUUGGCGAAAACCUAUCAAGUUCUCUAUGUAAUUUAUUUUUCAAAAAAAUCACAUUAUCACCAUAACAAAAAUAGAUUUUAAUAGAAUUUAUCAAAAAAGAGCCUUAUUAAAUAAAUGUUAUGAUAGAAUAUAUAUAUUCCACUGUAUGAUAUCAUGAUUUCCUCCAUCAUUGUAAACCUUUCAAAGCUCUUCCAUUAUAUAUAGGUUCAAAAUUUACAAUUUUUAUAUGAACUGGCAGCGUUAAAAACAUUUUCCCCCAUCAUUAGCAAUUUAUUCAACAACAAUCGAUUGAAAUACAAUUGCUGCUGAUGAUAAAUUAAGCUGGUCGAGAUAAUCAUAAUCGUUGAUGGGUUCCAGACCCAGAAGCAGUUGGCCUUGUGAUCUCUGUUCAGACAAGUGUCCCUUGGAGCUCUUUGGUUGCCUCUUUGUGGUCACCAAUCCAUGAAUAUAGUUCCUCUGCUAGUAGUUCAGUAAUCAACUAGUAAGGACCCCAACAACUUAAGUACAUGACUUUCCUCAGUGACUCCUCUGAUUGCUUUGCUUUCUGAUUUUCUCUUACUUUACGAGAAAUCACAGUAGAAGCUGGAGAAGAGAGCUUCUUGGUCUGAGAGAUUGACUUCACUUGGUUCUUGGCAUGAUGGUGUAGUGAUCUUAUUGUGUAGUUCCAUCUACAGAACCCUUGAUCUUUCAAGGCCUCCACAGCUGCCAUACUAGCGGCUACAGCCCAAGCUCUGCUUGCCGAACUCAUUUUUCUACUUUCUUUCUUUGUUUGUACUAGUAGAACAACAACAAAAAUGGAGAAAUUUUUAGUUGAAAAAGAUGAGAAGUAAUUGAGAAUUCGUGUUUGAUGGUUCAAAUGGUAUACUGGGAUUUGCUUAUAUAGAGUCUAAGGGGCCGUAAGCUUGAAGGAAACCAGAAACUAGGUACAGGCUGCAGCUGGUGGUUUUGGCUUGAGAAAGCCAAUGGUAUUAUUUUAAGGACCCCUCACUUGAUGGCAUAAAUCACUAAGCAGACAGUGACAAUAAAUAAAUAAAUAAAUAAAAAUUGGGAGUUUUUAAUACAUUUUAGCAUGUUCGAUCAUGACAAAGCAUGGAUGUGACUUGUACUAGGAGGAUGUUUUGCGUUGAAUUGUAGUUUUGUAGAUUUUUAAAUUUUUGAAAUUAUUAUGUUAAUAUUAAAAAUAAAUUUCAAUAAAUAUAAAGAUAUUAUUUUAAUAUAUUUUUAAAUAAAAAAUUUUAAAAACAACCUCACCACUAAUGGCCACUCAAUUUUGCUUUAUAAAAAUCCAAAUUGAGCCUAACUAUUGGAGGCAAAUCCAUGUUCAAGAGCGAGGCUAGAAGGAUAGAAUUUUAACUUCUUUCUAGGUGUCUACUCAAAACCAGAAAAAGGACACGAGGGCAUCCUCAAGAUUUUAAUAUAAAGGUAGAUGCUGUGUAUAUAGGUAUUUAACCUUACUCGGGGUGUACGCGGCUAACAAAUGAGAUUUUUAUUUUUUUCAGUCAAUUUAGGUUGAUUUAUAUUAAAUAAAAAAAAAUAAAAAAAUAGGAUAAGUAUACAUAUAAACUAUAUAAAUAUAUAAAAAAAAAAUUUCUUAACUUUUUGAUGUGGUAUGACUAUCACAUGAAAAUGUUAAAAAACAUUUCUUGUAUUUUAUGACUAUAUAUAUAGAACAUUUCAUAUAGAUGUAAAUUUUAUAUAUAAACAUUUCAUGUUUUUAUGAUUAUAUAUAUAGCUAUCACACGUAGAAAAGUUAAUGAACAUUUCAUAUAAAUAUAAACUUUAUGUAUAACUAGUUAUCGUGCAUGGAAAUAUUAAGAAACAAUUAAUGGGAUUUAGGUUAUAAAUAUAGCUCUUUCAUAUGAAAAAGUUAAAAAUAUUUUAUGAGGAUGUAAGUUAUAGAAAAAAAAUAUAUAAGACCAAGUAAUCACAAAUUAACUUUAUAUUUUUUGGGUUUUAUUUAAAAAAAAUGUAAAAAAAGAGAGCUCGGGUCUCACCCGGGUUAAGCCAGGUUACCUUAGUUUUGAGUUGAUCCGGCGGAUCACUUGGGUUUUACCAGGCUAAUUACAAGCUCGGGUUUAUAUCAUUUAAAACCCCGCUAAGGCCCUGGAUAGCCGGGUCCUAGGUCAACCUGUCAGGUCAGGUUUUAUAUCUAUGGCUAUGUCCUGAAAAUGAAAAGGAAGAAGAAAAAAGAAAAAAAAAAGAUGAAUACAUUUGAGUGCUUUAUCUAUUGGAUAUUAUCAAAUUAAGUCUUACCAUAGAAAGUUUCUUUUAAAAUUAUAACCAAGAACUUAUUUGUUUUAAGAAAUGUCAUUUUAAGCAUAAAUUUUAAUGGUGUGAAUUGAUCGGGUUAUAUUUGAUAAAGAGUUCCAAUUGAGAAAUUUUUAUCAAAUUAGUCAUUAUUAAAAUGGUGAAGGGUAAAUUAGUUUUUUAUAUAUAUUUUUUGCUCAAUAAAAUAACUAGAGAGCCCUUAAAGAAAAAAAAUUAUUGAGUUGGCGUCAAGGACUUAUAAUAUGUCUUUUUACUUUUUUAGACAUAGUAAAAUGAAUAAUAAACCCUUACAAGCAAAAAUUCUUUAACUAAUGCCAAUGAGCUUUUAUGUGUUUUUAUCCUUUUUUUUUUUUGUUAUAAUCAAUUUAAAUUAUGAUAGAUUUGAUCUUUUAAAAUAUAUAAACAUUUUUAAAAAAAUUGGUGAUGCAUGCAUUACACGCGUCAACGCAUAGAUCGUUCUCGUGUUGUGUUGGGUUAUGCAUGCUGCAGUGUUUGGCGGUUAAAUGGUGACUUCUAAGGGUAGCAGUCAAAUCAUCUCUACAGCCCCUCCAUCCCUGGGCAGUGCAUGUAACCAAUGAACUUUUGAUUUGACGCCAAUGAUCCUUUUUUUUCUUUCUCUCCUCCUCGAUUUCACAUUGACCCUUUAAGUUUUCAAAUCAACUCCUUAAUUUAUUUUUCUUUCAUAUUUAGUUCGUGUUCUUUUGAUUACUAUUUAUUUUAUUUAAAAUAAUUUAUAUAAUUGAAAUUUGUUUUUCAAUUGCAUUCUCUUUUAAUUUUUUUCAUAGGUUAGAUUUGGUCUUAUUAUUUAGAUUGCUAUUUGUUUUAUUUAAAAUGAUCUGUAAAAUUGAUUUUUUUUACUAUUUUAUCCCCAUGUUAUUUUUUCAUGUUAGAUUUGAUCCUUAUUUUUUAUUGCUAUUUUUUCUACUUUGACAAAUUUUCUAAAUUGAUAUUUUUUUUAUUUCAUCUUUCAACAUUAAAUUGGUUGGAAAUUAAGUUUCUAUAUUGACCUUGAGUUUAGGAUUUUAUAGGUUGCGAACUUGGCGGAUUAACCUAAAUUUAAGAGAUUCGCACAUGUUUGCUUUUAUUAAACUCAUUUUUCUUAUUUGCUUUCUAUAGAAAUUUUCAUUAGUUUUAAAAAUAAUUCAGGUUAUCUCGAGUCUCUUUAUUUGUUAUUUGUUUUGUUAGAUUUAGAUUUUAUUGAGAGAAAUUAUGUUUUUUUAUUAAAUUAAAUAAAUUGAUUAAAUAUAAGUAUGGAAUGCUUACUUCAUGGUUUUUCAUUGAUUUUCUUUCUAAGUUAUUGCUCUUAUUGCACGUGCAGCCUCUUUCAUUGUCGUCAUCAACCUUUCACGGUGGCAUUAGAACUGUCUCGGUAAGCUUUUUUUGGUGGUAAGAUGAUGUUCAUGGAAGAGCAACGGUGAGUCUAUCAGGCUAUUCUUUUUUUUUUAUUAUUCCAAGUAUUAUAUUGACAACUUAUUUUUUUAUAACUAGCUAAUUAUUUUUAUUUUUUGUUUUAUUUUUUGUUGAUAUUUUUUAAAAUUAUAUUAUUAAAUUAACCGAGUUUUUUAACCCAAUCAAAUUAAUGACUCGAGUCUCAGUUUUUUUUUAAUUUAUUUAUUAUUAUUAUAUUUUUUAUUCAUAUUAUUUAAAUUAAUCAAACUUAUUAGAUAGAAUAAAAACAAUACAAUGAACCUAAUCUCAAUUUUAUUUUUUAAUAUUUAUAACACUUGCAUUAUCUUAUUGAAAAAAAUAUUAAGGCGGCACGGGCCGCCCGUUUAUGUCCUGAACAUUAUCUAUCUUUCAAAAAGCAUUUGAAAUUGAAGAUUAAAAAACUCAAAACUUUAAAUUAAUCUUUAAUUUGUUAAAGUUCGACUUGAAUGAUGAUUGGAGAUGAAGUCAUGUUUGGGAUAUUGCGGGCACGAUCGAAUACGCAAAUUAACGGCAGCUAUACUAAGUUUUGGUGAAAUCUUUAUCAAGUUUUUUAUGCAAAUUAUUUUCCAAAAAUCAUUUUAUUUUUCAAUAAACAAACAGAACAUAAACACAGUCUGAAAUGCCGCCGCCUCCAAUUGACGAAUUGAAAAGCUAGUCCCAUCUACCCUUUUUUUUUUUAAAAAAAAAAAACACCUUGAUUGAUAAAAUUGUUAGAUAUAUGUAUCAGAAUUGCAUAAACUACUAAUUAAUCGAGUUUUAUCAUGAAACUAUAUUGUAUAAAGGUUGGAUUGGUUACUAAAUUUCUCCUUUUUUUUCAUAUAUAUGAACGAGAAAGAGUUGACUAGAUAAUUAUACUGCACUCUAUAAUAUUACUUUGAUCAUAGUAAGGCUCUUACAUUACAGGUUGAUUAUGUACAAAAUUCAGCAAAAAAAGUACAAUUUACAUCAACAUGCAGAAAUUAAGAAAAUUUUCUCCCAUCAUCUAGCAAUUCAUUAAACUACAAUAUUCCAUUUAAAAACAAUUGCUAGAGCAGAAUCUGAUUGUUGAUAAGCAGUCGACCUUGCCUUCGAAACUCUUUGAUUGCCUCUUUGCUGUCACCAUUCCAUGACCAUAGUUCCUCUGCUAGCUAGUAGUUUAUCAAAUAACUAGUAAGGACCCCAGCAACUCAAGUACAUGACUCUCCUCAGGGACUCCUCUGCUUGCGUUGCUUUCUGAUUUUCUUUUACUUUACUUGAAACCACAGUACUAGAAGUUGGAGAAGACAGCUUCUUGGCCUGAGAGAUUGACUUGACUUGGUUCUUGGCAUUCUGAUGGAACGAUCUUGCUGAAAUCAUCUUUCUUUACCCUUUCUUUGCACUAGAACAACAACAAAAAAGGACAAUUUUUAGUUGAGAAAGAUAAGAUGUAAUAUAAGAUUUUGUUUGAUGGUGCGACCAAGCCUAGGUUUUGCUUAUAUAGAGAGUAGAGGCCCAAAGGUUUGGAGGAAACCAAAAACUAGCACAAGUUGUCGAUGGUGGUUUCGGCUGAAGUGAGAAAGCCAAUGGUAUUAUUUAGUAGACGGGAUGAAUCUAAUACCUAGGAAGGACCAUUCUUUCUUGAACGAGGAAGGACCAUUUGGCUGCCUAAAAUACAGAGGAGGAGGAGGAAAUCGGGGAUCAUGACAAAACUAGAAUGGGACUUGUUUACGAAAGGUAAAGGCACUCGGUUUUUGUUCAUGAGAGGGGAUAGAAGGAUAAGAAUUCUUGGCAUUUGUCUGGACGUCUACUCAAAAACAGUAUAGGAUCACAUCAUGAACACAAUAAUUGUGAAUCCAUCCAUAUCAAAAACAUCUAAAUUCAAUACUUAAAUUAUUAAAUAAAAUUAAGAUAUAAUUUAUAUUAUUUUUUAAUAUAUAUAUUUAAAUGAAAGCUAUUUGAACUUAAAAUUUAUACAACUUUAUAUUAUUUUUUGCUUGAUUUUUAUGAAAUAAAUAGGGAUGAUAAGAUUUGAACUCGUGACUACUUGGUCAUCAAGGCUCUGAUACCAUGUCAAAAAACCAUUUCAACCCAAUAAUUUAAAUUCUUAAAUGAGGUCCCAGAAUAUAAUUUAUAUUAUUUUUUAACAAUCUAUAUAUCACUAAAAAGAUAAAUAAAUAAGUAAAAUUUAAGGAAAAAACAGUUCUCAAGUUUUGAUAAUUAUUAUUAAAUCUGAAUCAAGUUAAUUUUUUUUUUAAAUAGAUGAUAAUUAACUUAGUUAAACUAAAAAAUAUGAUCGAUCAAAUUAUCACCCGAUUGAAUUAGUUUCAAAGUUGACUUAAUUUAAAAAGUAAAUUAAAUAAUAUCAUUUUAAUUAAUAAAAUCAAUUCGAAUUAUAUAACUUGUUUAAUCCAAAUCUUAAAAUAAGUUAUUAGCAUAUCCAAUUUAAUAACUUUAGUUGCAAGGGGUUCAAAAAAGAAAAAAUGACUCGCGAUGCAUAAUGUUGAUAUGGAAACGACGUGGACUGUGAUCAGAAAAUAUAUUGGUUUUCUUAUUUUACGAAAGAUUAUGAAUAAUUACUCCAAAUAUUUGUUCUAACUUGUGAAUUCCUUUUACAGAGCUUUAAACUCCGGCGCUAUGCCAUGGGUUGUAGCAGAUUUUAAGGAAAAAAAAAUUAUUUAGAUAUUAGUAAUAUGUUUUUUAAAUAAAUUAAAUUCUAACUAUAAAUAAUAAUGAUAUUUUUAUUUAAUAUUGAAAUAGAAAAACAUUUAAUUUACCUAGGUUAACAUGCAUUCACCUAUGAAAUUUAUAGGGAUAAUCUUGAAAAAAAAACAAAUUGAAAAUUCAAUCAUAAAUUAACUUAAUGUUGAAAAAUAAAAUCGGUAAAAAAAUAGCAUUUAAUUAAAAAAAUUAAGUCAACUCGAAUCGGCCAGUCAAACUCACAGCGCAAAUCAUGUUAGUCAUCAGAUUCAAUAAAUUUUUUAUCCCAAAAAUUAUUUUUCAUUUAAUUAUAUAACAAUAAAGCACAUGAUAAUUUUUUUUGUAUAAAAACAUUUGUUUUAAGUAACAAAAUCAUAAUAACGCUAGGAUAACAAAAGUAGAUCAUUGAUAAUAAAUAAUAAAAUUAAAAUUAUAUUUUUUUAGGUUGGGGUUUAAAAAAAUAGAUCAUCGAUAAUAAAAAAUUAUUUUUUUAAAAGCUAAAAAGAAUUUAAAAAAAUAAAUAAAUAAUAACAUUGUUAAACUUGUAACCUACAUUCUAAACUUAAUUAAAUUUAAUAAUUUUUUUAAUCAAAAUAUAAAAUAACAAAAAAACAAAAAAUUUAAAAGAAGCUCAAACACGCAAGUCUUCCAGCCCAGUUCUUAAAAGUUUAUUUUUAAACAAAGACAACGAACUACAUUUGUUUUUUUCAGAAUCCGUCAAUCAAAUGUCACUGAAAAUGAAAAUAGAACCUAUUAAAACUAAUUUACACUCUCUAUUGAGAAUCCAAGAAUCCUCUCUCCUUUGAUAUUUAUAAAAAAAAAACUAAAAAAAACUAAAUUUUAAUAUCAAAAUUAAAUUUAGAACCAACAAUCUAUAAAACAAAAAAAUAUAAAAGACCCAGAUAAACUUUUUAUAUAAAAUUCAAAAUCAUUAUUUAUUUUACCUUUUCUUUUUCCUUUUAAUCCAAUCAUCUCUUUCGAAAAAGUAAACAGUGCAUCUUCAACAUUGAAAACCCCACGCGGUUUCAUUUUUGUUAAUUAAUUACAUCAUGUUACUCAAGACUUGACUGCAGCCUAACCCCAAUAUAUAAACUUAUAGUAGAAAGUGUCGUGUUAGGUUCAUCCACUCUGCCACAGUCCAAGUUUCAUGAAGGAACACAAGUUUUGACGUUGCAGUAAUUAAUCCCCAUGGGCUAAAAGGAGAGAACAAGACUUUAAUCCACUCAUGUAAUUAGCUUAUUGAUUCAAUUGAGUCUUCAUUUUAAAUGCCGUUUCAUUCUGAAAAAUUACAAUUUACAUCACUUGCAAAUUGUUGCAGCAAUGGAAGGAAUUUGCUCCCAUCAUUCAGCAAUUCAUUGGACUACAAUUGGUUGAAACAUAUAUUGCUAGAGCAUAACAUUCAAAUGAAGCUGAAUAAUCGUUGAUGGGUUCCAGCGUCCACCGCCAUAAGAAGUCGGCCUUGUCAUGUUUCUCCAAAUGAGUCUCUCUUGGAAAGACUUCGAUUGUCUCUAUGCUGCAACCAGUCCAUGCAUGGCCAUAGUUACUUGCUGGUAGUUUACUGCCUAGCUAGUAAGGACCCCAGCAACUUAAGUACAUGACCUGCCUCAGUGACUCCUCGGAUUGCCUUGCUUUCUGAUUUUCUCUUACUUUACUUGCAACCACAGUAGAAACUGGAGAAGAGAGCUUCUUGGGCAGAGAGGAUGACCUGCCUUGGUUCUUGGCAUGUUGGUAUAGUGAUCUUAUUGUGUAGUUCCAUCUGCAAAAUCCUUGAUCUUUCAAAGCCUCCACAGCUGCAAUACUAGUGGCAACAGCCCAAGCUUUGCUUGUUGAACUCAUUUUUCUAUUUCUUUUGAUUGAACUGAACAGCUAGAAGAUGGACAACGUUUUGAAAAAGUUGAGAUGUAAUUGAGAAGGGAAAUUAUGUUUGAUGGUGUAGAUGACAAGCUGGGAUUGCUUAUAUAGAGAGGAGGGGACUAGGGGACCAGAAAAUUGGAGGAAACCGGAAGCCAGGGAUAAGCUGUGGCUGGUGGUUUUGGCAUAAGUUAAAGCCAAUGGUAUUAUUUUAGUGCAGUUAGGCUAGGAUGGGACUGAAUCUUUAUGUCUAUCAAGGACCACUUGGUGCCAUUAAAUACAAAUGGAGAAAAAAUGGGGGAUUUCUUUUUCAUGCAUCUUAUCAUAUUCAAUGACGACAAAGCUGGAGUGGGGACUCGUUUUGGUAAGAGGCACGCGGUUUGCUUUAUAAAAAUCAAAAUUGAGCCUCAAGUAUUGGAGGCAAAUCCACUUGUUUUUCUUUAAUAGUGGGGCUGGAAGGAUAGCAUUUUAGCAUUUGUCCAGGCAUCUACUCAAAAACAGGGAACGGACAGGAUUACCUCCUGAAGACAAUAAUAAGUGUAGAUCCAUUGCAUGUAUCACAAGAUACGAUUUUUUUUCCAAAAUAACAAUCGUGGCAAAAAAAUUAAUUGUUAUGUAUCACAGUUGAGAACAAAAAAAAUUAAAGAACCAGCACAUUAUAACUAGCCGUGUUACGGGAAAAAAAAAAAAGAUAUAUUGGAAAUGAGCUAAUAAAAACAAAACAAUUGACAAAUUAACAGAGAAACAAAAUUUUUAAUGAAAUUGUAUAUUUUCACUUUAUUGCGUUUUAAAAUACAAUAUUUAUUAAAUAUUAUUAUUUUUAAAAGAGAAAAUAAUUAUCACGUUUUAAAAUAAUAACAUUUAAUAAAUAUCAUGCUUCUGAAGCACGACAAGGUAAAAUUUCAAUUAUAUAACUCAAUUGGUUGAUCGAUUCAUAAUGAUCAGUGAAAUUGAUCGACUAAUUCUAAAAAUAACAAAAAAAAUAUUAAAACUACUAAAUUUGAGGGGCCUCAACUAGAUUUUUUAUAUCUAAAGAUUUAAUGGUUCACAUAGCAACACAGUGACUACUAUAGAGAAAACGGCCUUUUAAAACUACUAUAAAGAAUUUGAGCGUCUAAUUAGAAGUUAUGGUCCUAUUAAGAGUUAUUUUGGUCUGACAUGAUUAGACCUUCUCUUUAAGUUUAGAUUUAUCUCAUUGAUUCAUAAAUACAUCUGUUAGGUUGUUCAAGUACUAUGCUUGGGCCAAAACUCAUUCAGUUAUAGUAGACUCACAUCUGACUGCUUAGAAUCACAUAUUAUCGCAAAUCCAACUACAUCAUUGACAUUGAAAAACAUAGGACAAGCAUUUUGCAUACGAUAACAUUUUGAGAUUUUAAUUGGAGUCUAUUUUUUAGUCUACAAGUUGAAUAAAAAUAUAUAUCUUGACUCUUAAAAUAUAUUUGGAAGAAAAAAUUCAUUAAAUUAUAGUUUUUAUAUAAAACAAUCGACCAAUUCAUACAACUAAAUUUAAUUAGUCAACCACUUGAGCCAGGUGAUUGGAGAUUCACCUAGUCACUUUUAGAAACAACGAUAUUUAGUAAAUGUCACGUUUUUAAAGUAUGAUACGGUAAAAAUAUAUUAUUUCACCAAUUUUUUUUCAAAUGAUAUUAUUCCGUUAAAAUUUAUAAAAAAAAAAUACUAAUUUUAAAAAAUAACCACUAAAAACAGAUUAAUAAAUUAUGAUAUUCCUUUACAACCUUUAAAAAUAUACAUAAAAAAAAGUAAUGAUAAUAUUUACACCGUUAGGUAAAGAUCAACCUUUAAAAAAAAACCGAUUAUUUAUCCUAAUAAUUUAUUUUCUUACGAGUAGUGGACAAAUGAUUCCCUUACGUUACGAAACAUUACUCACUUCAAAAAAAGUAUUUCUUGCGAUCUAAUUCAUCUUUCAGAGAUUCAAGAAAAUGUUAAUUUUUUGGGCCAGUUCAACCAUUUUGCAACAUUCCCAAGUUUCUUGAAAUUUCAUAAGUUUUGACAUCGAAGAAAAUAAUCCCUAUUGAUCUUCAUUUAUGCAAAAAAGCAAAAGACGUAAAGAACUUCCUUUUGGCUCCAAAAAGUCCAAUAAUUAUUUCUUAAUCCAUUUUUGUCCUUGAAAAAACCAGUUUAAGUUCUAAAUCUACUGUUUCUUGAAUUGAAUUUUUAUUUUUACCAAACUAUAAUUUAGAUUCUAGUGAGAUUCCGAUUGAUGCAAAUAUCUUUGACAAAUGCCCCUCAAUUUAUUUAUUUUAGCUGUGGUGCGCACUAAAAUUAACCUUGUCAUGAUCCUUUUAACUUUGCUACAUGAGGGCCUGCGAAAAGAAAUGGGAAAACAGAAAUUAUAAAAUAAAUGGUGCAAGGAAAAAUUAAUCCAAAAAUAAUAUGGUUUGAUUCCAUUAAGUCAGCACCAAAAUUUACAAAUAUUUACAUCAACUUGCAACAUUCAGGGUAAUCCUAUCACGAUAAUUUCUCAAUUUCAUCUUGCUUCUUAGCUUUAGUAAGGACCCCAACAGCUCAAAUACAUGACUUUUCUUAGAGAUUCCUCAGACUGUUUUGCUGUCACUUCCUUGACUUUAUCCGAGAUCAUGGCAGAAGAUGAAGAAGAAAGCUUCUUGGCCUGAGAGGCUGAUCUGACAUGGUUCUUGGCAUGUUGGUGCAGGGAUCUCAAGGUGUAGUUCCACCUGCAGAACCCUUGGUCUUUCAACGCCUCAACACCUCCAACAGCUGCUGCAACCAACCAAGCUUUGCUUGCUGAACUCAUUUUCGAUGUUACUGUAAUAUAGAACCAACAAGUUGGAAACUCUUUGAAGUGGGAUUUGUAGAGAUUAAGAUAUCAGGAGCUAUGAUCUGAUGAAGUAAAUGGGAGUAAAGGGGUUUGGUUAUAUAGGUGGGUGUACCAAAAUUGGAGGAGAAAAACCAGAGGCUAAAGGCUUCUUGGUGGUGGUUUUGAGUGAGGAAACCAGCGAAGGCCAACGGUAUUUUUUAUAAGACAAGUGGUCUCUAUUUCCCCUUUAAUUAUUGGAAUACAACUUGGUCAUUAAAAAAAUAGAGAUAAAAAAAACCAAAGUUGUUAACCUUCGGAACUCCUCCUAGUAAUAAAGAUGGGACUGCUAUCAAUAAAAAAACAAGAAACAAAUAUAAAAAAAUCUCAUAAAAAAAUAUUAGGAAAUGAAAUUAAAAAAUUAUAUAUAAUAAAAAAAUCCAAAACAAAUCAAAUAACAAUAAAAAAAAUAUAGACCAAAUUUAAUAAUAAAAAAAAUUAUAAUCAAAUACUGAGAGAUGAAAUUGAAAAAAAAAUAAUUUAGUUAGUAAAAGAUUUUUUAAAAUAAAAAUAAAAAUAAAAAUCAUGUUUGAUUUGAAAAUAAAGUUAAAUCAAACGUUAGGGUUGAAAUUGAAGAAAAAACCAAUUAAAAAAAGAUAGAAAAAUAAAAUAAAAAAUCAUAGAGAAAUGAUAUUAAUUCAAAUAUAAAUUAAAAAAGAUUAAAAAAGAUUUUUUUUUCAAGAAAGGUAUCAAUUAAAAUUAAAAUUAAAAUUAAAAAGUUAAAAUAAAAUAAAAUGAUAGUUUAGAUGUCGCAAGCACAUUUAAAAUUAACAAAAAAAUAACUCAAUUUAUAUAUAUAGCCUGGUUUAUGUUUAAUAAGUCGGUUUUAUUUUAAUAAAAUAAUAAAUAAAUAAAUAAUAAUAGUAAAUGAUUUUUUUAUAAAAAAAUCAUAAUAACCUAAAAAAAUAACUUUUGCAAGCAUGAAAUUGGAAUAAAAAAGUCCGAAUCAACUUUAGAUAGUGUGAUAAAAAUGUAAGAAAUAAAAUCCAGCUCCUCUAAAUCUUCAUACUGAGAUUUCCUUGUAUCAAUUGAAUCCCCAUACAUGUCUCCAAGACUCUAUAACCAUAUAUUUUCAAAAAGUAUAAGGAGGUUUCCGGGAUUACUGGGGCCCCAAUAAGAAUCAAGGAACCCCUUUUCAGGCCUUGGAACCUCCCAGGGGAAAGGCCCUCCCCGGAAACUUAUUCAUAUUACUUACUUUUACACUUUUUUUUACUAGAUACUCUUUUAAUGAGAAAGACAAUUAAACUCUCUUCUUUUUUGCAAAAACGUUUGACAAAAAUUACCCACACUUGUAACCUCUAUACAAAACAAUUUAUUUUAUUUUAUUUUUUGUGUUUCAAGUCUACAUGAGAGGAAAAUAAUGGUGUAUAUUUUUUAGAAAAACAAAACUGUUGUGGUUAGCCCAAAUGGCAACAAAUCUUUGUCUCCUUGUUAUUGUCUGGGUUGUGGUCCAAACAAAAACACCCAUGCUAUCUGGGGCCCGACCCAAACAACUGAGCCUAGUCCCAAAAGGAAUUUCUUGUUGAUAACACACACCUUAAUGUAUUGCUAAUCACCCACACAAACUACUUUUCUCUAUGCUUUACUAACAGAUUCUUUGCUAAUACACAUUUUGAUAAAGGAUUAACACCACUUAUCUAGCCAGUAGUUACAUGUCUAUGCAAAUCAAGCGUCUCUUCUCUAUACCACUAGCUUUUUCUAGCUAAUGUUUUGCUAACAUUAGCCAACCCAACAUUGUAUGGCACUACGAUCAAUGAUGACACCUACAUUUCCACCGAAUAAUUGUUGUCAAGACAUCCCAAGAUAAGCCGAUGUGAUUCAAGUCCAGAAAUACAUUGAAUCACAGAUAAACAAGAGAGGCUUUUGAUAAUGAACAUUUUACUCCUCUACAAUUCGUUCUUCUUACAUUGUUCUCAUUUUCUCUUUUAUACUUCCUAACUUGAACAUUAAAAGUCUCUGGUUCCAUGCUGACCUUAUUUUGUAAGGCUAAUCCCAUAUUUAGACCUCCACAUAUCUUCAUCUAUAAUCGUUGUCUAUAAAAACCCAAUUUCUGUGUGAAUCUUUUUCACAAAUUCAUCAGUUAAUUAUUCACAAAUUCUUCGGUUAAUUAUUUAUACAAUCCUGUUGUAAUUUAAAGGCUUGUUUCAUUCACAUACAGUGAUCAUCACCCUGCCGUGAACACUUGUGAGUGAACAAAUAUACUCUCCUAAACUAAUUUUCUUCUGGGCUGGGCCAAAUUGAAAUUGAGAAUUCCAGUUCAAGAUUUGCACUAAUUUGUCAACUUAUCAAGAUAUUUAGCUUUUGUGAUGCAACCCCUCCUCCAAUUGAGUUGCUGAUUUUUUUUUUUUUAACAGGAGCCAUAUCCUUGUUAAUGUUACGUUAAGGCCAUUUUCCCAAAAUUUUGCCAAUAAAAUGAGAUAUAUUUGAUUGGCAAUCAGCACAAGCAUUUACAGUUUAAAUCAACUUGCAAAAAUUUACUCUAAUCCUAUGAACUCAUUUCCUCAGAGUUUCUUUUUUCUUGAGAGUAUCAGUUUGGACCCCAGCAACUCAAAUACAUGACUUUUCUUAGAGACUCCUCUGACUGUUUCGCCUUCUCUUCCUUGAAUUUACUUGAAAUAAUGGCAGAAGAUGAAUGAGGGAGCUUCUUAUUAGCCUGAGAAAUUGACCCGACAUGGUUCUUGGCAUGUUGGUGUAGCGAUCUCAAUGUGUAGUUCCACCUACAGAAGCCUUGGUCUUUCAAGGCCUCAACACCUCCAAUAGCAGCAGCUACCAACCAAGCUUUACUUGCUGAACUCAUUUCUCUGUAAUAUAAAACAGAACAAUAGUUGGAAACUCUUUGAUGUGGGAUUUUUAGUUGAAAAAGAAGAGAUGUGAUUGAGAAUUCGUGUCGAUGGUGUAAAUGGCAAACUGGGAUUUGCUUAUAAAGAGAGUAGGUAGGGAACUAGGUGCCAGAAAUUGGGAGGAAACCGGAAGCUAGGAACAAGCUGUGGCUGGUGGUUUUGGCUUAGGGGAGCCAGUGGUAUUAUUUUAGUGUGGUUAUGCUAUGAUGGGACUGAAUCUUUAUGUCCCUCAAGGACCACUUGGUGGCAUUAAAUACAUUUCUUUUUCAUGCAUCUAUCUUAUCAUGUUGCUAGAGCGGGGCCUUGUUUUGGUAAGAGGCACACGGUUUGCUUUAUAAAAAUCCGAAGUGAGCCUCAAGUAUAGGAGGCAAAUCCACUUGUUUUUAUUCAGGAGUGGGGCUCGAGUAAAGGACAGACAAUAAUUGUAGAUCCAUUGCAUGUGUCACAAAAUACCAAGUUCUCAACUCUCAAGCUCUCCUUAUCCAGACAUGUCAUCCAGCAAAAUUUUGAUGCAUAAACGACUUGAGCAGAGAUCAAAUGGAUUCUCUUAUGUUACGAAACAUUAUUCACUUAAAAAAAAUUAUUUCUUACGAGCUAAUUCAUUUUUCAGAUAUUCAAGAAAAUACUAAUUUUUUCUGUCAAGUUCAACCAUUUUGCAACAUUCGAAGUUUCUUGAAUGAUCAAAAGUUCUGACAUUGAAGUAAAUAAGCCCUGUUGAUCUUCAUUUAACAGAUAAUAUAUAUAUAUAUAUAUAUAUAUAUAUAUAUAUAACUUCCAUUUGGCUCCAAAAACGGGGUAAGGUUUUAAUCCAAUAAUUAUUUCUUAAUCCAUUUAUGUCAUUAAAAAACCAAUCAAAGUUACAGGCCUAGCUUUUUAUUAAUAGAUUUUCUUAACGAAAUUAGAAUUUAGAUUCUAUCUUGAGAUUGCAAUAGAUUCAAGUAUCCUUAGCAAAUGCUGUGAUGCACUAAACUUGAACCUUGUCAUGAUCCUUUUUCACUUGUGACACGAGGUGCUCCCAAGAGAAGGGGGAAAACAGAAAAAAUAAAUGGUGCAAGGAAAAAUUAAUCCAAAAAUAAUAUAGUUUGAUUCCAUUAAGUCAGCACCAAAAUUUACAAAUAUUUACAUCAACUUGCAACAAUCAGGGGUAAUCCUAUCACAAUAAUUUUCUCAAUUUCAUCUUGCUUAUCAGCUUUAGUAAGGACCCCAACAGCUCAAAUACAUGACUUUUCUUAGANNNNNNNNNNNNNNNNNNNNNNNNNNNNNNNNNNNNNNNNNNNNNNNNNNNNNNNNNNNNNNNNNNNNNNNNNNNNNNNNNNNNNNNNNNNNNNNNNNNNNNNNNNNNNNNNNNNNNNNNNNNNNNNNNNNNNNNNNNNNNNNNNNNNNNNNNNNNNNNNNNNNNNNNNNNNNNNNNNNNNNNNNNNNNNNNNNNNNNNNNNNNNNNNNNNNNNNNNNNNNNNNNNNNNNNNNNNNNNNNNNNNNNNNNNNNNNNNNNNNNNNNNNNNNNNNNNNNNNNNNNNNNNNNNNNNNNNNNNNNNNNNNNNNNNNNNNNNNNNNNNNNNNNNNNNNNNNNNNNNNNNNNNNNNNNNNNNNNNNNNNNNNNNNNNNNNNNNNNNNNNNNNNNNNNNNNNNNNNNNNNNNNNNNNNNNNNNNNNNNNNNNNNNNNNNNNNNNNNNNNNNNNNNNNNNNNNNNNNNNNNNNNNNNNNNNNNNNNNNNNNNNNNNNNNNNNNNNNNNNNNNNNNNNNNNNNNNNNNNNNNNNNNNNNNNNNNNNNNNNNNNNNNNNNNNNNNNNNNNNNNNNNNNNNNNNNNNNNNNNNNNNNNNNNNNNNNNNNNNNNNNNNNNNNNNNNNNNNNNNNNNNNNNNNNNNNNNNNNNNNNNNNNNNNNNNNNNNNNNNNNNNNNNNNNNNNNNNNNNNNNNNNNNNNNNNNNNNNNNNNNNNNNNNNNNNNNNNNNNNNNNNNNNNNNNNNNNNNNNNNNNNNNNNNNNNNNNNNNNNNNNNNNNNNNNNNNNNNNNNNNNNNNNNNNNNNNNNNNNNNNNNNNNNNNNNNNNNNNNNNNNNNNNNNNNNNNNNNNNNNNNNNNNNNNNNNNNNNNNNNNNNNNNNNNNNNNNNNNNNNNNNNNNNNNNNNNNNNNNNNNNNNNNNNNNNNNNNNNNNNNNNNNNNNNNNNNNNNNNNNNNNNNNNNNNNNNNNNNNNNNNNNNNNNNNNNNNNNNNNNNNNNNNNNNNNNNNNNNNNNNNNNNNNNNNNNNNNNNNNNNNNNNNNNNNNNNNNNNNNNNNNNNNNNNNNNNNNNNNNNNNNNNNNNNNNNNNNNNNNNNNNNNNNNNNNNNNNNNNNNNNNNNNNNNNNNNNNNNNNNNNNNNNNNNNNNNNNNNNNNNNNNNNNNNNNNNNNNNNNNNNNNNNNNNNNNNNNNNNNNNNNNNNNNNNNNNNNNNNNNNNNNNNNNNNNNNNNNNNNNNNNNNNNNNNNNNNNNNNNNNNNNNNNNNNNNNNNNNNNNNNNNNNNNNNNNNNNNNNNNNNNNNNNNNNNNNNNNNNNNNNNNNNNNNNNNNNNNNNNNNNNNNNNNNNNNNNNNNNNNNNNNNNNNNNNNNNNNNNNNNNNNNNNNNNNNNNNNNNNNNNNNNNNNNNNNNNNNNNNNNNNNNNNNNNNNNNNNNNNNNNACAGAGAGAGAUUCUAGUGAGCUGUAAAGAGUGAUUUAGCAAUGACAUUCAAUUGUGAAUCAGCAUCGUUCCUAGUUUCUGAAAACUGCAGCUUUGACAGGGAAAAGGACAUAAUUCUGUAAUUUAAAUAUCAAAAGAUUUCAAUCCAAUCUUACUUAUUAAUAAAUUUAUGUGAUAGUAUAAGGUCCUCUUCCAUUUUUCACACAAUGAUCACUCCUGUUGUGAUUAGUGACUGGGAAUUUUACACCAAAAUGGAUUUUCUUUUGGGUCAAAUCCAAUUUGAGAUUUUCGUUUUUCAUGUAGCCUUUUAAUCCAUUUGAGGAUGUGGGGAGAAAGAUAUUUUAGAUUCCAGUUGAAUGUCAUAUCUCAAAUUGAAAUUAAAUGAAAUUGCCUGUUUAUUCCACUAGAAAACUAGAAAAGAGCUUUGUUAAAUUUACUCACUGAGGAGAUGCACUGCGCGCUACCAAAAGAAUUGAUAAAAACAUAUGAUAAUGUUCGAUUUCAGCAAAUGAGCAUCAAAAUUUACAAUUUGCAUAAGCUUGCAAGGAUUUACUCCUAUAAACUAUAAACUAUAAACUAAGUCCCUCGAUUUCAUCUACUAGAUUCAUAGCUUCAGUUUGGACCCCAACAACUCAAGUACAUGACUUUUCUUAAAGACUCCUCCGACUGUUUUGCCUUCUCUUCCUUGACUAUAUUUGAGAUCAUUGCUGAGGAUGAAGAAGAAAGCUUCUUGGCCUGAGAGGCUGAUCUGACAUGGUUCUUGGCAUGCUGGUGCAGGGAUCUCAAGGUUUAGUUCCACCUACAGAACCCUUGGUCUUUCAAGGCCUCAACACCUCCAACAGCUGCAGCAACCAACCACGCUUUGCUUGCUGAACUCAUUUUCUCUGUUACUGUAAUAUAGAACCAACGAGUUGGAAACUCUUUGAAGUGGGAUUUGGAGAGAUUAAGAUAUCAGGAGCUAUGAUUUGAUGAAGUAAAUGGGAGUAAAGGGGUUUGAUUAUAUAGGUGAGUGUACCAAAAUUGUAGGAGAAAAACCAGAGGCUAAAGGCUUCUUCGUGGUGGUUUUGAGGGAGGAAACCAGCAAAGGCCAACGGUAUUUUUGAUGACAUGAUGCAUCAAUGAAAAAAUAAAACUUAACUAUUAAACAAUUAUGACAAAAAUGAAAAUAAAUAUAAAAAAAAAUCAAUAAAAACUUUUUUUUGAUCAACCUAAGUUAAUCCACUAACUCCAUGAUGCUGAGCACUAGAUUGUGAUAGCCCUAUGAAAAUAAAAGUGAAUAAACAAGCAUGAAAAUAAAUCUCAAAAAUUUAAAUGUUGAAGGAUGAAAUUAAAAAAAAAUUAAUUUUAAAAAAAACCUAAAAAAAUCAAAGUUAACAAAUGAUAACUUUUAAAACCCAUAACAGUAGUCAUGAGAUGAGACCGACCGCAUGGAAGGCAAACAAAAAAAACAAUGGAAUAAAAUUCUCAAUAAAAAGAUGUUUAGCAAUGGUACUAAAAAAAAUUAUAUAUAUACAUACACGAAAAAAAAUCCAAGUCAAUUUGGAUUAAUCCACUAACUCUGAGACUAUAGGUAUAGGAUUGAGAUAACCCCACAUAAAGAAAGAUGAAAAAACAAAUUAAAAAAAUUAAAUGUUAAAAGAUGAAAUUAAAAAUAAAUCAAUUUGAUAAAAGAACCUGAAAAAAUCGAAGUCAACCAGUGUUAACCUUCAAAACUGGUGACCCUAGUAAUGAAGAUGAGACUAACCCCACGAAAGACAAGAAGAAAAACAAAUAACGAGGACCAAAUUUAAUAGAAAAAUCAAUUGAAAUCAAAUGCCCAGGAAUACAAUUGAAAAAAAAUCAAUUUGUAAAAGGUUUUAAAAUAUUAAAAGAAUAAGAACUAAGUUUGAUUUGAAAAUCAAAUUAAACCAAACGAUAUUAAUGAAAUUGAAAGAAAAAUCAAUUAAAAGAAGAUAAAAUAAAUAAAAAAACAGAAAAGAGAUAUUAAUUCAAACAUAAAUUAAAAAAAUAUCAAUUAAAAUAAAAAAAGAUAACUAUAGUCUAGUGUCACAAGCGCAUUUAAAAAAAAUACAAAACACAAAUAACUUAGGUUAUAGCCCCAUUUGGAUUUAACAGUAGUGUGAUAAACAUAUAAAUUAUAUUGCAAAUAAACUCUUGCUCCUUGAAAGCUUCAUAGUAAGAUAUUCAUGUUUCAAUUGAAUCUUCAUUCAUGUCUCCAAAACUCUAUGAACAUAUAUUUUCUAAAGUAUAAGAUAUCCUUUUUCAUUAUUCUAUAACCACUUGUCUAUAAAAAAACAUCACAAAUCUUUCUUAAAGUCUUUAUGACUACCUGUCUCCAAAACAUGAUCAUUCUCUUCGAUAAGAAUUAAGAUAUCCUUUUUCAUUAUUCUAUAACCACUUGUCUAUAAAAAAACAUCACAAAUCUUUCUUAAAGUCUUUAUGACUACCUGUCUCCAAAACAUGAUCAUUCUCUUCGAUAAGAAUUAAGAAUCCUUUUUUAGUCCUUGGACUUCUCAUGUAAUGCGUCUUGAACUUGUACACUCAUUCAGAUGCCGUAUUGCGUGCUUUUACACUCUUUUUUUUUUUUUACUAAACUACCUCUAAGCAAGAUAAUUAAACUUUGUUCUUUCUGGCAAAAACUUUUAACAAAAACUAUCUACCCUUGUAAACUCUAUACAAAACAAGCAAGUUUUCUUCUUUUUUUUUAAAUUUUUUCUUUUCUUUUCAUGGCUUUCGAGCAUGUUUGUUUAAAAAACAUGAGAGGAAAAUGAUGGCAUCCAUUUUAACCAAAAACAAAAUUGUUUUUGUUGGCCCAAAUGGCAAAAAACCUUCGCCUCCUUGUUAUUGUUGGGGUCGUGAUCCAAAUUCCGAACAUCAAGCCAAUAAUCACAUGUCUAUGCAAAUCAAGUAUAUAUUUUCUAUACCAAUAGCUUUUUCUAGAUAACGUUUUGCUAACAUCAAUGAUAACACCAAAGUUUUCACCAAAUCAACUGGUUUGAAAUUCUUCACGUCCCAAGAUAUUUUUUAAGGCUAAUCCCAUAUUUAGACCCCCACACAUCUUUCUUCUAUAAUUGUUGUCUAUAAAAACCCAAUUUCUGUGUGAAUUUUUUUCACAAAUUCAUCAAUUAAUUAUUCACAAAUUCUUCGGGUUAAUUAUUUAUACAAUUCUUUUGUAAUUUAAAGGCCUCUUUCAUUUCACAUACAGUGAUCAUCACCCUGCCAUGAACACUUGUGAGUGAAAAAUAUACUAUCCUAAACUAAUUUUCUUCUGGGCCAAAUUGAAAUUGAGAAUUCCAGUUCAAGAUUUGCACUAAUUUGUCAACUUAUCAAGAUAUUUAGCUUUUGUGAUGCAACCCCUCCCCCAAUUGAGUUGCUGAUUUUUUUUUUAUUUUUUAAAACAGGAGCCAUAUCCUUUGUUAAUAUUACGUUAAGGCCAUUUUCCCAAACAAUUGCCAAUAAAAUGAGAUAUAUUUGAUUGGCAAUCAGCACAAGAAUUUACAGUUUAAAUCAACUUGCAAAAAUUUACUCUAAUCCUAUGAACUGAUUUCCUCAGAAUUUCUUUUUUCUUGAGACUAUCAGUUUGGACCCCAACAACUCAAAUACAUGACUUUUCUUAGAGACUCCUCUGACUGUUUCGCCUUCUCUUCCUUGACUUUACUUGAAAUAAUGGCAGAAGAUGAAUAAGGGAGCUUCUUAUUAGCCUGAGAAAUUGACCCGACAUGGUUCUUGGCAUGUUGGUGUAGCGAUCUCAAUGUGUAGUUCCACCUACAAAAGCCUUGGUCUUUCAAGGCCUCAACACCUCCAAUAGCAGCAGCUACCAACCAAGCUUUACUUGCUGAACUCAUUUUCUUUGUAAUAUAAAAUAGAACAAUAGUUGGAAACUCUUUGAUGUGGGAUUUUUAGUUGAAAAAGAUGAGAUGUAAUUGAGAAUUCGUGUCGAUGGUGUAAAUGGCAAACUGGGAUUUGCUUAUAAAGAGAGUAGGGGACUAGGUGCCAGAAAUUGGGAGGAAACCGGAAGCUAGGAACAAGCUGUGGCUGGUGGUUUUGGCUUAGGGGAGCCAGUGGUAUUAUUUUAGUGUGGUUAUGCUAUGAUGGGACUGAAUCUUUAUGUCCAUCAAGGACCACUUGGUGGCAUUAAAUACAUUUCUUUUUCAUGCAUCUUAUCAUGUUGCUAUAGCGGGGCCUUGUUUUGGUAAGAGGCACACGGUUUGCUUUAUAAAAAUCCGAAGUGAGCCUCAAGUAUAGGAGGCAAAUCCACUUGUUUUUCUUCAGGAGUGGGGCUCGAGUAAAGGACAGACAAUAAUUGUAGAUCCAUUGCAUGUGUCACAAAAUACCAAGUUCUCAACUCUCAAGCUCUCCUUAUCCAGACAUGUCAUCCAGCAAAAUUUUGAUGCAUAAACGACUUGAGCAGUGAGCUAAUUCAUUUUUCAGAUAUUAAAGAAAAUACUAAUUUUUUGUGUCAACUUCAACCAUUUUGCAACAUUCCAAGUUUCUUGAGAGUUCAAAAGUUCUGACAUUGAAGAAAAUAAUCCCUAUUGAUCUUUCAUUUAACAGAUAAUAUAUAUAUAUAUAUAUAUAACACUUCCAAUUGGCUCCAAAAACGGGGUAAGGUUUUAAUCCAAUAAUUAUUUCUUAAUCCAUUUAUGUCAUUAAAAAAACAGUCAAAGUUAGACCUGGAUUUCUUUUUAAUAGAUUUUCUUAACGAAAUUAGAAUUUAGAUUCUAUCUUGAGGUUGCAAUUGAUUCAAAUAUCCUUAGCAAAUGCUGUGAUGCACUAAACUUGAACCUUGUCAUGAUCCUUUCCAAAAGAAGUGGGAAAACAGAAAAAAAUAAAUGGUGCAAGGAAAAAUUAAUCAAGAAUUAAUGUAGUUUGAUUCCAUUAAGUCAGCACCAAAAUUUACAAAUAUUUACAUCUACUUGCAACAAUCAGGGUAAUCCUAUCACGAUAAUUUUCUCAAUUUCAUCUUGCUUCUUAGCUUUAGUAAGGACCCCAACAGCUCAAAUACAUGACUUUUCUUAGAGAUUCCUCAGACUGUUUUGCUUUCACUUCCUUGACUUUGUUCGAGAUCAUGGCAGAAGAUGAAGAAGAAAGCUUCUUGGCCUGAGAGGCUGAUCCGACAUGGUUCUUGGCAUGUUGGUGCAGGGAUCUCAAGGUGUAGUUCCACCUGCAGAACCCUUGGUCUUUCAAGGCCUCAACACCUCCAACAGCUGCUGCAACCAACCAAGCUUUGCUUGCUGAACUCAUUUUCUCUGUUACUGUAAUAUAGAACCAACAAGUUGGAAAACUCUUUGAAGUGGGAUUUGGAGAGACUAAGGUAUCAGGAGCUAUGAUUUGAUGAAGUAAAGGGGAGUAAAGGGGUUUGGUUAUAUAGGUGAGCGUACCAAAAUUGUAGGAGAAAAACCAGAGGCUCAAGGCUUUUUCGUGGUGGUUUUGAGCGAGGAAACCAGCGAAGGCCAACGGUAUUUUUUAUAAAACAAGUGGUCUCUAUUUCCCCUUUAAUCAUUGGAAUACAACUUAGAACAUGAAAAAAAUGGAUUUGUAGAGAUGAAAUAAGUUUCUUUUAUUAUUAUACUAGCUAGUUUGUUUCUAUUUUUUAAAAAUAUUUUUUUAAAAGUAAUAUAUAAAGUUAAAAAUAAAAUUUUUAAAAUAAUAAAAUAUUAUUUAAAUCCAUUUAUUCUAAUAUCAAACUUGUCUCUGCUCUGAGUCACACGCAUUAAACAAAUGGGGUUUGUCACUUCUCAAUCAAUGUUUUGUUUUGGGCAAGACUGUUUUUGAAGACAAUUGAAGUAAUAGUGAGGACUGUCUGUAAACAAUUGUGGUGAUCUAGAAAACUACAAUAAACUAUUUCAACAGCGCUUCGUAGAGGAUUGUAUAUUUUUUUAAUAAAAAAAAGAAUAAAUAAGUUUUUCGUCAGGUUUUUUAUAUAAAAAAUUCUCCAUCAUAUAUUAAAAUAUCUAUACAUAUAUUUAAUUAAAUUAAUUAAUAUUUAAUUAUUAAAAUUAAAAUAUUUUAUCAUACAACACAUAUUAUAUACUUAGUUAUUUUUAAUAACUUUGUUUUUUGGACUAAAAUUUUUAUUUAAUCAAAAGAUUAUUCGUGCUAGUAAACAAUAAAAGAGUUGUUAACAAAAGCAAAUAACAAUUAAAUAUGAAACUCAACUAUUAAAUAAUUAAAUAUUGAGCGACAAACUUAAAAUAAAUAUUUUUAAAAAAUCAAUAAUAAAAAAAUUGAGUCAACUUGAGUUAACCCACUAACUCCACGAUCAUGGACACCAGAUUAGGAUAGCUCCAUGAAAAGAAAAGUGAAAAAAAAAAAACACAGAUCAAUCCCAAAAUUUUAAAUAUUGAAGGAUAAAAUUGAAGAAAAAAAUCAAUUUUAAAAAAGAUUUUAAAAAAUCAAAGUUAAGAAAUGUUAACUUUUAAAACUCAUGACCGUGAUCAUGAGACUAAGACCGACUGCAUGAAAGGCAAACAAAAAAAAACAAUGAAAAAAAAUUCUCAAUAAAAAUAUGCUUACUAAGGGAACUAAAAAAAUUAUAUAUAUAUAUAUCCGAGUCAAUUUGGAUUAACACAUUAACUCUGAAACUAUAGGCAUAGGAUUGAGAUAAUUCCACAUAAAGGAAGAUGAAAAAAACCAAUUAAAAAAAUUAAAUGUUAAAUGAUGAAAUUAAAAAUAAAUCAAUUUGAUAAAAGAACAUAAAAAAUUUAAAGUUAACUAGUGUUAACUUUCGAAACUUGUGACCCUAAUAAUAAGGAUGAGACUAACCACGUAGAAGACAAGAAGAAAAAUAAAGAACGGAGACCAAAUUCAAUAGAAAAAUCAAUUGAAAUCAAAUGCCGAAGAAUGCAAUUGAAAAAAAAAUAAUUUGUAAAAGGUUUUAAAAAAUAAAAAAAAUAAGGAUCAAAUUUGAUUUGAAAAACAAAUUAAACCAAACGAUAUAAAUGAAAUCAAAGGAAAAAUUAAUUAAAAAAUAAAAUAAAUAAAAUAAAAAAUAACAGAGAAGAGAUAUUAAUUCAAACAUAAAUUAAAAAAAUAUUUUUAAAAACAUAAAUUAAAAAAAUAUUUUUACCAAAAACAAAAUUGUUUUUGUUGGCCCAAAUGGCAAUAAACCUUCGCCUCCUUGUUAUUGUUGGGGUCGUGAUCCAAAUUCCAAACAUCAAGCCAAUAAUCACAUAUCUAUGCAAAUCAAAUAUAUGUUUUCUAUACCAAUAGCUUUUUCUAGAUAACGUUUUGCUAACAUCAAUGAUAACACCAAAGUUUUCACCAAAUCAUCUGGUUUGAAAUUCUUCACGUCCCAAGAUAUUUUUUAAGGCUAAUCCCAUAUUUAGACCCCCACACAUCUUUCAUCUAUAAUUGUUGUCUAUCAAAACCCAAUUUCUGUGUGAAUUUUUUUCACAAAUUCAUCAGUUAAUUAUUCACAAAUUCUUCGGGUUAAUUAUUAUACAAUUCUUUUGUAAUUUAAAGGCCUGUUUCAUUUCACAUACAGUGAUCAUCACCCUGCCGUGAACACUUGUGAGUGAACAAAUAUACUCUCCUAAACUAAUUUUCUUCUGGGCUGGGCCAAAUUGAAAUUGAGAAUUCCAGUUCAAGAUUUGCACUAAUUUGUCAACUUAUCAAGAUAUUUAGCUUUUGUGAUGCAACCCCUCCUCCAAUUGAGUUGCUGAUUUUUUUUUUUUUUAACAGGAGCCAUAUCCUUGUUAAUGUUACGUUAAGGCCAUUUUCCCAAAAUUUUGCCAAUAAAAUGAGAUAUAUUUGAUUGGCAAUCAGCACAAGCAUUUACAGUUUAAAUCAACUUGCAAAAAUUUACUCUAAUCCUAUGAACUCAUUUCCUCAGAGUUUCUUUUUUCUUGAGAGUAUCAGUUUGGACCCCAGCAACUCAAAUACAUGACUUUUCUUAGAGACUCCUCUGACUGUUUCGCCUUCUCUUCCUUGAAUNNNNNNNNNNNNNNNNNNNNNNNNNNNNNNNNNNNNNNNNNNNNNNNNNNNNNNNNNNNNNNNNNNNNNNNNNNNNNNNNNNNNNNNNNNNNNNNNNNNNUGAGAAAUUGACCCGACAUGGUUCUUGGCAUGUUGGUGUAGCGAUCUCAAUGUGUAGUUCCACCUACAAAAGCCUUGGUCUUUCAAGGCCUCAACACCUCCAAUAGCAGCAGCUACCAACCAAGCUUUACUUGCUGAACUCAUUUUCUUUGUAAUAUAAAAUAGAACAAUAGUUGGAAACUCUUUGAUGUGGGAUUUUUAGUUGAAAAAGAUGAGAUGUAAUUGAGAAUUCGUGUCGAUGGUGUAAAUGGCAAACUGGGAUUUGCUUAUAAAGAGAGUAGGGGACUAGGUGCCAGAAAUUGGGAGGAAACCGGAAGCUAGGAACAAGCUGUGGCUGGUGGUUUUGGCUUAGGGGAGCCAGUGGUAUUAUUUUAGUGUGGUUAUGCUAUGAUGGGACUGAAUCUUUAUGUCCAUCAAGGACCACUUGGUGGCAUUAAAUACAUUUCUUUUUCAUGCAUCUUAUCAUGUUGCUAUAGCGGGGCCUUGUUUUGGUAAGAGGCACACGGUUUGCUUUAUAAAAAUCCGAAGUGAGCCUCAAGUAUAGGAGGCAAAUCCACUUGUUUUUCUUCAGGUGUGGGGCUCGAGUAAAGGACAGACAAUAAUUGUAGAUCCAUUGCAUGUGUCACAAAAUACCAAGUUCUCAGCUCCCAAGCUCUCCUUAUCCAGACAUGUCAUCGAGCAAUUUCUUACGAGCUAAUUCAUUUUUCAGAUAUUCAAGAAAAUACUAAUUUUUUCUGUCAAGUUCAACCAUUUUGCAACAUUCCAAGCUUCUUGAAAGUUCAAAAGUUCUGACAUUGAAGUAAAUAAGCCCUAUUGAUCUUCAUUUAACAGAUAAUAUAUAUAUAUAUAUAUAUAUAUAUAUAUAUAUAUAUAUAUAUAUAUAUAACUUCCAAUUGGCUCCAAAAACGGGGUAAGGUUUUAAUCCAAUAAUUAUUUCUUAACCCAUUUAUGUCAUUAAAAAACCAGUCAAAGUUAGGCCUAGCUUUUUUUUAAUAGAUUUUCUUAACCAAAUAAGAAUUUAGAUCCUAUCUUGAGAUUGCAAUUGAUUCAAAUAUCCUUAGCAAAUGCUGUGAUGCACUAAACUUGAACCUUGUCAUGACCCUUUUUCACUUGUGACACGAGGUGCUCCCAAGAGAAGGGGGAAAACAGAAAAAAUAAAUGGUGCAAGGAAAAAUUAAUCAAAAAAUAAUAUAGUUUGAUUCCAUUAAGUCAGCACCAAAAUUUACAAAUAUUUACAUCAACUUGCAACAAUCAGGGUAAUCCUAUCACGAUAAUUUUCUCAAUUUCGUCUUGCUUCUUAGCUUUAGUAAGGACCCCAACAGCUCAAAUACAUGACUUUUCUUAGAGAUUCCUCAGACUGUUUUGCUCUCACUUCCUUGACUUUAUUGGAGAUCAUGGCAGAAGAUGAAGAAGAAAGCUUCUUGGCCUGAGAGGCUGAUCCGACAUGGUUCUUGGCAUGUUGGUGCAGGGAUCUCAAGGUGUAGUUCCACCUGCAGAACCCUUGGUCUUUCAAGGCCUCAACACCUCCAACAGCUGCUGCAACCAACCAAGCUUUGCUUGCUAAACUCAUUUUCUGUGUUACUGUAAUAUAGAACCAACGAGUUGGAAACUCUUUGAAGUGGGAUUUGGAGAGAUUAAGAUAUCAGGAGCUAUGAUUUGAUGAAGUAAAGGGGAGUAAAGGGGUUUGGUUAUAUAGGUGAGUGUACCAAAAUUGUCGGAGAAAAACCAGAGGCUCAAGGCUUCUUCGUGGUGGUUUUGAGUGAGGAAACCAGCAAAGGCCAACGGUAUUUUUUAUAAAACAAGUGGUCUCUAUUUCCCGUUUAAUCACUGGAAUACAUCUUUUCCAUUAAAAAAAUGGAGAUAAAAUAAGUUUCUUUUUAUUUAUUAUACUAGCUAGUUUGUUUUUGUUUUUAAAAAUAUUUUUUAAAAAAUAAUAUAUAUUUUUAUUAUAUUACAUUAUAAAAACAUAAUACUUACUCAAUAUCAUUAUUUUAAAGAGAAAUAAGAUAGUUGUCUGCUUCACAAUAGUAAUAUUUAGUAAAUGUCACAUUUAAAAACGCAACAAAAUGAAAUUUCAAUUAUUUAAUUUAAUUAGUUAACCAGUUCAUAAAGGUCAGUGAAACCAGUUAAUCGAUUCCAAAAAUAAUAAAAAAAAUCUCAAAAUUGCUAAAAUUAGGGGGUCUUAACAAUAUUUUUUUAUAUCUAAAGAUCAAAUAGUUCGCGUAGCAACGCAACUACUACUAUACAAGAAAUGACAUUCAAAAUCUCCAAUAAAAAAUUUGAGUGCUUAAUAAAAAAUUUAUGGUCCAUUUGAGAGGUAUUCUAGUCUAACGCGAUUAGGCCUUCUCUCUAAGCCUAAACCUAUCCUUUUGUUCCAUAAAAUCAUAUAUUAAGUCAUCCAAGUAAUUUAUUUGAAUCAGAUUUCAUUUAAUUAUGACAAACCUAUACAUGACUGCUCAGAAUCAUUUGUUAUCGUAAGAUUGACUAUAUCAUUGACAUUAAAAAACAAAAGACAACUACUAUGUAAAUAAUAACCUUUUGAGAUUUUAAUUGAAGUUUAUUUUUUAGUUUACAAGUUGAACGAAAUGUAUAUUUUCACUUAAAAUAUAUUUGAAAGAAAAAAUUUAUUAAAUUAUAGUUUUUGCAUGAAACAGUCGACCGGUUCAUACAAUUAAAUUCAACCGGUCGACCAGUUGAGCCAGGCAAUUGAAGUUUCACCUAACCAUUCUUAGAAAUAACAAUAUUUAGUAAAUGUUGUAUUUCUGAAAUACGAUAAAGUAAAAGUAUAUUAUUUCACCGAAUCUUUCUCAAAUGAUAUUACACUGUUAAUAUUUUUAAAAAAUAAACUAUAAUUUUAAAAAAUAACUCUGAUAGUUUUUUUAAAAAUAACCAUUAAAAACAUAUAUAUAUAUAUAUAUAUAUAUAUAUAUAUAUAUAUAUAUAUAUAUUCACUUCAAAAAAAGUAUUUCUUGCGAUCUAAUUCAUCUUUUAGAGAUUCAAGAAUUUUUAUUUUUUUUGGGCCAGUUCAACCAUUUUGCAACAGUCCCAAGUUUCUUGAAAUUUCGUAAGUUUUGACAUCGAAGAAAAUAGUCCCUAUUCAUCUUCAUUUAUGCAAAAAAACAAAAGACAUAAAGAACUUCCUUUUGGCUCCAAAAAGGGGAUAAGUCCAAUAAUUAUUUCUUAAUUCAUUAAUGUCCUUGAAAAACCAGUAUAAGUUCUAAAUCUAAUUUUUUUUUUAAUUGAAAUUUUAUUUUUACCAAAUUGUAAUUUAGAUUCUAGUGAGAUUCUGAUUGAUGCAAAUAUCCUUGACAAAUUAACCUUGUCAUGAUCCUUUUCACUUUGCGACAUGAGGGCCUGCGACAAAAUAAAUGGUGCAAGGAAAAACUAAUCCAAAAAUAAUAUGGUUUGAUUCCAUUAAAUCAGCAACAAAAUUUACAAAUCAAUUUACAUCAACUUGCAACAAUCAGGGUAAUCCUUUCACGAUAAUUUCCUCAAUUUCAUCUUGCUUCUUAGCUUGAGUAAGGACCCCAACAGCUCAAAUACAUGACUUUUCUUAGAGAUUCCUCAGACUGUUUUGCUCUCACUUCCUUGACUUUAUUGGAGAUCAUGGCAGAAGAUGAAGAAGAAAGCUUCUUGGCCUGAGAGGCUGAUCUGACAUGGUUCUUGGCAUGUUGGUGCAGGGAUCUCAGGGUGUAGUUCCACCUGCAGAACCCUUGGUCUUUCAAGGCCUCAACACCUCCAACAGCUGCUGCAACCAACCAAGCUUUGCUUGCUGAACUCAUUUUCUGUGUUACUGUAAUAUAGAACCAACGAGUUGGAAACUCUUUGAAGUGGGAUUUGUAGAGAUUAAGAUAUCAGGAGCUAUGAUUUGAUGAAGUAAAUGGGAGUAAAGGGGUUUGGUUAUAUAGGUGAGUGUACCAAAAUUGUAGGAGAAAAACCAGAGGCUAAAGGCUUCUUCGUGGUGGUUUUGAGCGAGGAAACCAGCAAAGGCCAACGCUAUUUUUGAUGACAUGAUGCAUCUUUUGUCUAAGUAGACGACNNNNNNNNNNNNNNNNNNNNNNNNNNNNNNNNNNNNNNNNNNNNNNNNNNNNNNNNNNNNNNNNNNNNNNNNNNNNNNNNNNNNNNNNNNNNNNNNNNNNNNNNNNNNNNNNNNNNNNNNNNNNNNNNNNNNNNNNNNNNNNNNNNNNNNNNNNNNNNNNNNNNNNNNNNNNNNNNNNNNNNNNNNNNNNNNNNNNNNNNNNNNNNNNNNNNNNNNNNNNNNNNNNNNNNNNNNNNNNNNNNNNNNNNNNNNNNNNNNNNNNNNNNNNNNNNNNNNNNNNNNNNNNNNNNNNNNNNNNNNNNNNNNNNNNNNNNNNNNNNNNNNNNNNNNNNNNNNNNNNNNNNNNNNNNNNNNNNNNNNNNNNNNNNNNNNNNNNNNNNNNNNNNNNNNNNNNNNNNNNNNNNNNNNNNNNNNNNNNNNNNNNNNNNNNNNNNNNNNNNNNNNNNNNNNNNNNNNNNNNNNNNNNNNNNNNNNNNNNNNNNNNNNNNNNNNNNNNNNNNNNNNNNNNNNNNNNNNNNNNNNNNNNNNNNNNNNNNNNNNNNNNNNNNNNNNNNNNNNNNNNNNNNNNNNNNNNNNNNNNNNNNNNNNNNNNNNNNNNNNNNNNNNNNNNNNNNNNNNNNNNNNNNNNNNNNNNNNNNNNNNNNNNNNNNNNNNNNNNNNNNNNNNNNNNNNNNNNNNNNNNNNNNNNNNNNNNNNNNNNNNNNNNNNNNNNNNNNNNNNUUAGCUUUGCUAAUCUAAUCUAUCAUGCAGGGGUUAAUGGCUAUGAUCAUGCAUGAAGUUAAAAGUCAGUUGUUUUCUUCCUUCAAGAAGGUCAUAUGCAGGUAGCUUUCCACUAAUGUUAACUAUUAGCGCUUGAAUAGAAAUUUAGGGAAAAAUUGUAUUGGUCACGACCAUUUGUAUUUCUGAAAAUAAACGCUCAUAUUUUUAAUUUUUUCUUUUCAUUUGGGUUUUUAACAGAGAGAGAUUCUAGUGAGCUUGUAAGAGUGAUUUAAGAAUGAACAUUAAUUUUGAAUCAGCAUCGUUCCUAGUUUCUUGAAACUGCAGCUUUGACAUGGAAAAGGACAUAAUUCUGUAUUUUUAAAUAUCAAAAGAUUUCAAUCCAAUGUUACUUAAUAAUAAAUUUAUGUGAUAGUAUAAGGUCCUCUUCCAUUUUUCACACAAUGAUCACUCCUGUUGUGAUCAGUGACUGAGAAUUUUACACCAAAAUGGAUUUUCUUUUGGGUCAAAUCCAAUUUGAGAUUUUCGUUUUUCAUGUAGCCUUUUAAUCCAUUUGAGGAUGUGGGGAGAAAGAUAUUUUAGAUUCCAGUUGAAUGUCAUAUCUCAAAUUGAAAUUAAAUGAAAUUGCCUGUUUAUUCCACUAGAAAACUAGAAAAGAGCUUUGUUAAAUUUACUCACUGAGGAGAUGCACUGCGCGCUACCAAAAGAAUUGAUAAAAACAUAUGAUAAUGUUCGAUUUCAGCAAAUGAGCAUCAAAAUUUACAAUUUGCAUAAGCUUGCAAGGUUUUACUCCUAUAAACUAAGUCCCUCGAUUUCGUCUACUAGAUUCAUAGCUUCAGUUUGGACCCCAACAACUCAAGUACAUGACUUUUCUUAAAGACUCCUCCGACUGUUUUGCCUUCUCUUCCUUGACUAUAUUUGAGAUCAUGGCUGAGGAUGAAGAAGAAAGCUUCUUGGCCUGAGAGGCUGAUCUGACAUGGUUCUUGGCAUGGUGGUGUAGGGAUCUCAAUGUGUAGUUCCACCUACAGAACCCUUGAUCUUUCAACGCCUCAACACCUCCGAUAGCAGCGGCAACCAACCAAGCUUUACUCGCUGAACUCAUUUUUUAUGGUACUGUAAUAUAGAACCAACAAGUUUGUAGUGGGAUUUGUAGACAGUAAGAUAACACGAGCUAUGCUUUGAUGAAUCCCAUGGAAGGAUGGGGUUUGGUUAUAUAGGUGAGAAUGCCAAUAGUUUAGGAAAAAACCUGAGGCUAAAGGCUUCCUGCUGGUGGUUUUGGGUGCGGAAACCAGCAAAAGCCAAUGGUAAUUUUUUACGGUGAGAUGACUGUAUUGACAUUCAACUACCACAUGCCGACAAUAAGAAAAUGGGGACAAAAUCGGGUUCGUGGGAUGGCUAGAUUUGUUUUACUUUUGCUCUACAACAACCCAAUAGCUUCUCUGCCUGCCUUGAAGAAAUGAGCACACGGUUUUUCUUCGUAAAAUAAAUAAAUCCAAGCCAAAGUAUCAGGAGGAGCAUAGCUGAAGGGUGAGUCAUGCAUUCCACAAUUUGGUGGCACUUUCUCAUUGAAGUGCAUUUGCCACUUGUAAGGAAUGUAAGAAAGUGUGGGACUGAGGAUAAACAAAUGUCAAAUUGCAUGCUUCUCCUUUUCUUCUUUAUAUAAAAUAAAUUUGAUAGCCUCUCUCUCUCUCUCUCUCUCUCUCUCUCUCUUUUGGAAUUCAUCUUUUUCAUACUUUAUUUUACGGUAAACAUGUAUUCACAUAAAGCUUGAAUCAAUCCCUUCUCAGAAACUUACAGUAUUGAGCAAAUUACUUACAUCCAGACAUGAAGAUAUAUAAAAAUCCUACUCGCCAUCAACUUUCACAGGAAGGUUUAUAAAAGAUUUGGGAAAAGAAAAUACGUAAGCACCAAUUAGCACAUUAUUUUAUAUUUGAUGUUGUGGUACAGUCAUAUUUUUAAAUUUUUUUGUGUUAAUUUAAAAAUUAAAAAUUUUAAAAAAUAUUAUUAAAACAAUCUCUAAAAAGAAAAAUUCCAAAUUGGAAUCCUCUAUCUAUAAAAAUUAUCCAAUUAUGAUAAACAAAAUUUAUUAUUUUAAGUCAAAUUGAUCCUCAACUUUAUGAAUCAUGAUUUGUUUACCAACAUAGAUGUGCACAAUUUUCUUUUUAUAUUUGAUAUGAAAUAGUUUUUUCAGGUUAUUUUGUGUAUCAAUCUUACUUGUAUGAUUUUAGAAGCCAUAUCCUAUAAACACAUGAUACAUUAAAAAAAAUUAAACUCAGAAUGCUAACUUUUGAAUAAAAAUAAAUAAAUCAUGCACAAAUUUUAAAACGAGGGUUAAUUAGGUGAGUACAAUUUCAAGCUAACAGUGACGAAGUUGUAGAAACCACUUGCAAAAGAAUUAGCUUCCUUUUAGGUUGAGUUGGACUAAAACCUGCUUGAGAAAGUAUUGGGAUGGAUGAUAACCUUCAAAACAAGUAUUUUGAUGCAAAUGAUAGAUCCUUCAAUGCUUAAAUCAAUUUAAGUAGGAGAGAAAGAGCCUUGAAUAACCAUGUAUAUGUGUGGGUGUUAGAAUAGUAGCAAGGUUAAGGAGGAUAUGAUGGCGAAGAAGAUGAAGAAAUUAUCCCUUACUUCAAGAUUUAAGUCUGUAAAUGUCCUUUGCUCUAAAAAAUUCUGCCCACCAUUCAACGGAAGCCUCUAAAAUCCUAUCGAAGCCCUAUUAUCCAAGCGUAGAAAUGGUUAAUCGUUUACUUGAAGUGAGAAGUGGUCACACUGAUAGUCAGGUUGGAAUUUGGAAGACUACAGAUCUCCAGAAAAAUUGUUGAAAUUCCAGUUUGAAUUCUAAAUUGAAAAUGCACAUGUAUCUAAUCUUGUUGCUUGACGUUAAGCAUCAAACCAUGAUCUAUCAAGGAAAGGCUUAAUCCAUGCUCAAAAUUAAGCAGGAUGUUUGAAUGUCAUUUAGCCCAUGUCACAGAAACCAUGAAAAUUUGGUGGCAACAUCUCACAACGAAAUGAUCAAAGAACAAGGAAGAUUUUUUAGAUUGCAUGGGUCGACAUCAAUUAAAAAGCGAUAGGAAAAGAUAGGAAGAUGGUGACAACAUUUUUGUUCCACAAAAUUUUCGUGUUGCAUAUAGCAAUGAGGGCAGUCAGACUAGCUACAGUUCACAUCAGGCUUGCAUCAAUCACUAAUCAAGCCCCGCAAAUUUUCUCUCACAAACCAUAAUCAUGGCUUUGACUAUGUUCUUCUCAAUGGACCAGCUUCAGCCUGCACAAGGCAUCAGAUUCUCAUGGCAAACUUCUCAACUCAUUUAAUUUGGACCCCAACAACUCAAGUACAUGACUUUCCUCAGAGACUCCUCGGAUUGGCUUGAUUCCCUCAAUUUACUCGAAACCAUAACAAAAGAUGAAGAAGAAAGCUUCCUGGCCUGAGAGAUUGACCUCAUAUUAUUCUUGGCAUGUUUGUGUAAUGAUCUCAUGGUGUAGGUCCAUCUGCAAAAACCCUGGCCCUUCAAUGCCUCUACAGCUCCAAAUGAGCAUCAAAAUUUACAAUUUGCAUAAGCUUGUAAGGUUUUACUCCUAUAAACUAAGUCCCUCGAUUUCGUCUACUAGAUUCAUAGCUUCAGUUUGGACCCCAACAACUCAAGUACAUGACUUUUCUUAAAGACUCCUCCGACUGUUUUGCCUUCUCUUCCUUGACUAUAUGUGAGAUCAUGGCUGAGGAUGAAGAAGAAAGCUUCUUGGCCUGAGAGGCUGAUCUGACAUGGUUCUUGGCAUGGUGGUGUAGGGAUCUCAAUGUGUAGUUCCACCUACAGAACCCUUGAUCUUUCAACGCCUCAACACCUCCGAUAGCAGCGGCAACCAACCAAGCUUUACUCGCUGAACUCAUUUUUUAUGGUACUGUAAUAUAGAACCAACAAGUUUGUAGUGGGAUUUGUAGACAGUAAGAUAACACGAGCUAUGCUUUGAUGAGUCCCAUGGAAGGAUGGGGUUUGGUUAUAUAGGUGAGAAUGCCAAAAGUUUAGGAAAAAACCUGAGGCUAAAGGCUUCCUGCUGGUGGUUUUGGGUGCGGAAACCAGCAAAAGCCAAUGGUAAUUUUUUAUGGUGAGAUGACUGUAUUGACAUCCAACUACCACAUGGCGACAAUAAGAAAGUGGGGACAAAAUCGGGUUCUUGGGAUGGCUAGAUUUUUUUACUUUUGCUCGACAACAAGCCAAAAGCUUCUCUGCCUGCCUUGAAAUGAGCACACGGUUUUGCUUCGUAAAAUAAAUAAAUCCAAGCCAAAGUAUCAGGAGGAGCAUAGCUGAAGGGUGAGUCAUGCAUGCCACAAUUUGGUGGCUCUUUCUCAUUGAAGUGCAUUUGCCACUUGUAAGGAAUGAAUGUAAGAAAGUGGGACAAACUAUACAUGAGGUGAAAAAAAAUUUGGGAUUAAAAUAUUUGUUUUUUUUUAAAUUCAGUUUGAAAUCUUGUGAUUGUUUAUAUGAUGGUCACUGAAAACUUAUAUAGUCGUUAAUUUUAGGACCCGUUGGAUUAAUUGAGGUAUGUGCAAGUUGGUUCGGAAAAAAAAAAAAAAAGUGGGGGACUGAGGAUAAACAAGUGUCAAAUUGCAUGCUUCUCCUUAUCUAUAUAUUAAAUAAAGUUGAUAGCAUCUCUCUGUCGAUUUCUUGGAAUUCAUCUUUUUUCAUAUUUUAUUUUACGGUAAACAUGUAUUCACAUAAAGCUUGAAUCAAUCCCUUCUCAAGAACUUACAAAAUUGAGCAAAUUACUUACAUCCAGACAUGAAGAUUUAUAAAAAUCCUACUCGCCAUCAACUUACACAGGAAGGUUUAUAAAAGAUUUGGGAAAAGAAAAUACGUAAGCAUCAAUUAGCACAUUAUUUUAUAUUUGAUAUUUCAGCUUAGAUUGUUUAAACAAUAUAUUUAGAUUAUGUUGUGGUAGUGGUUUUUAUUAAAUAUUUUUCAAAAUAUAUUAAAAUAAUAUUUAUUUUAUUUUUAAAAAUUCAUUUUUAAAAUCAUAAAAUACAAAAAAAAAAAAAAAACGCCGGUACACGUGUUUUUUUUAAGGGAAGUACCAUCCAAGCAUAUCUAAGGCCCAUCUACACAUCCAAGUGCAUCCCUGGCCUUUCUAGUUUUCUAUUUGGGGAUCCAAUUGAGAAUUAAAUGAAAGUUGGUGGUUUGUAUAUCCAUUGCUCUAAAAAAUUCUGCCCACCAUUCAAAGUAGGCCUCUAAAAUCCUAUCGAAGCCCUAUUAUCCAUGCACAGAAAUGGUUAAUCGCUUUACUUGAAGUGAGAAGUGCUCAAACUGGUAGUCAGGUUGGAAUUUGGAAGCCAGAUCUGCAGAAAAAUUGUUGAAAUUCCAGUUUGAAUUCUAAAUUGAAAAUGCACAUGUAUCCAAUCUUGUUGCUUGACGUUAAGCAUCAAACCAUGAUCUAUCAAGGAAAGGCUUAAUCCAUGCUCAAAAUUAAGCAGGAUGUUUAAAUGUCAUUUAGCCCAUGUCACAGAAACCAUGAAAAUUUGGUGACAUUUAAGCAAUGGUGUAAUUACAAGCUGAUCAUGAGAUGGCAGUCUGCCUAGCUACAGUUCACACCAGGCUUGCAUGAAUCACUCAUCAAGUCCCACAAAUUUUCUCUCACAAACCAUAAUCAUGGCUUUGGCUUUGUUCUUCUCAAUGGACCAGCUUCAGCCUACAUAAGGCAUCAGAUUCUCAUGGCAAACUUCUCAACUCAUUUAAUUUGAACCCCAACAACUCAAGUACAUGACUUUCCUCAGAGACUCCUCGGAUUGGCUUGAUUCCCUCAAUUCACCCGAAACCAUAGCAAAAGAUGAAGACGAAAGCUUCCUGGCCUGAGAGAUUGACCUCAUAUUAUUCUUGGCAUGUUUGUGUAAUGAUCUCAUGGUGUAGGUCCAUCUGCAAAAACCCUGGUCCUUCAAUGCCUCUACAGCUCCAAUGCUAGCUCCCACAAUCCAAGCCUUUCUUGCUGUACUCAUUUUUUUUCUUUAACCCUUAAAGUUUCCCUUUUCUUUUGCAAGUAGAUGACUACAGAUUAAAGAUGAUCUUAAUGAAGCUAAUGGAUUCUAAGGGGCCUUUAUUUAUAGAGGGGAUGGUGAUAGCUGAAAGUCAGUAGUAGAAAGCCAGAAACCAUUAGCUAUAGGCUAAUGUCACUGGUUUUGGCCCCUGGUAAGGCAAAUAGCAUUAUUUUUUCUAAAAUUACUUUCUUGACCAUGCAUAACCACUUGUCAUACUAUUAUAUUAAUAAUAGAAUUACAAUCAACUCGAGGAUUUUCCCUUAAUUGUUAAAAAUUAGGUUUAUUUUCUAGAAAUUAUCAAAUUUAAAUUCUAUAAAUUUUAAAAUUAUUAGAAAUUUAUAUAGUUAUUAAUUUUAGGGCCAGUAAAAUUAAUCAAGGUAUGUGUAAAUUGAUUCGAACAUUCAUGUUAAUAAAAAAAAUAAAAGGACAAUCUUCCUAGAGGUUACCAGUUUGAGUUUCGCAAAUCUCAGGAUCAUUGAAGAUUUAUAUAGUCGUUAAUUUCAUGGCUUAUAAGAUUAGUUGAACUAUAUACAAACUGAUCCGAAUAUCUAUAUUAAAAAAUAAUAAUAAUAGAAGGAUAAGUAUGGGUUUUGGUCACAACUUGACGUGAAAAUGUGACAAGAUAAUGCAGCCACUAGACUAAAGUGAGUAAUAAUGGACACGCAGUUUUCUUGUGAAACUGCCUGGUACUCUGUCAGAUGAGGCCACCGGCAACAAAUGAUGGCACCCACUCUGGUCAUUUGUGGGUUUUGACUUCAGAGGACAAGCCGACAAGUCGUGGAGACAAACAAACUUCAAGGGUAAAAUUGCUAAAUUGUUUCUUUAGAGACUCAACUGUGAAUACAAAUGUGGGUUGGGAAUUCGUGGUAACUUAUAUGAGAUGAUUCAUAAUGUUCUAGACAAUUGUAUUAAACUCACUCUGUCUUAUCAAGUAAAUUCGGUAAUCUAUCCAUCCAGAGCUUGGUAUGAACUAUAUGAGAGUUGAAUCGGUAAAAUCGGGUUUAAUCAUUCGGGUUUAUUCUUAACUUGAUCAAAAUAAAUUUUUGAUGAGAUCUGAUUUGAUUUUUUUUGUUUAAAACAAUAUUGAUUUAAUUUUUUUCUUAAAAAAACUUGAAAAUAAGCCGUUUUAUAAUUUCCGGAUGAUAUCCAUGCAUAGGUUUUCUGUGGUCUGUCUAAGAAAGCGCGGUAAUGAGCUCAUUAAUUGCGCCAUUUUCGCGAUCUGGAGAUUUAUUAAUCGUAAUUUUGCUUGGUUUACAAAAAUUGCUUCUAUUGAAAAAAACCCUCUUGAAAAAGCACCAUGUUUUGGCUAGCUUAAGAAUCAAAUCGCCUGAUUCUUCUAUCAGGCCAAACAUUAAGGUCAUCAAGCACAGGAGUUAAACCUGACGUUUAGAGCCAACAAACACGAGUCUAAGCUACUUAAGCAGGAAUUGUCUUGGAGCCGUUCAAGGGCUCAAAGACCAGAACUCUAAAGGGAUGAUGAAGCAUCAUCAGGCAAGAGCAGCAAGACCAGAAUCCGAAAAUUCCACUCAGUUUAGAUGGGUUUCUGGUGCCAUUAAGCCCAUGAAGAUGGGUGGUGUUAGAGAGAUGCUCAGGGUAAGGGAAGCCGGAAAGGCUGAGAAUGCCAUGCAUCUCUCAUUUGUUGGGGACCUCGUUAAGAUAAUCAGUAUGUUGUGUACUCGUUCUGUAAAUUUCUCAACAUAGAUGAAUUAAUAUGUUGGUGUUUUGUAACAAUACAUAUAGCUUAUAGAAAUUACUAGCAUCAAGUGUAUUAGUCUAUUCGGGUUCAAUCGGUUCUAAGGGAUUUUAGUGGACAUCCUAUCAAGAAUUUAAAUCCUAUAGACACUGCAAGUCCAAUUUGAAAAGCAUGUGUUUUGGACUUGUUGGCCAAUCAUGACUUUAAAAGUAUAAAUCUAUGAUCCAUUUUCUAGACAAGCACUUGACUAAGUAAUAUAUCCAAACUCGAGUGAUUAAGUAUUAAAUGAAUGUAUGUAACUUACGAGAGGAGAGGUGCACCUCAACUUAUCAUAUUUUAAGUUUGUUUUUCAAAAUUUAUCAUUUUAAGUUUUACAAAUAUCAGGACCACUAAAAAUAAAAACUUAUAUGAUCAUUAACUUCAAGACCUAUAAAAUUAGUCGAAGUGUACGUAAAUAAUAUACCAAAAAUUAUUAAAAAAAAUUAAUGGAUCAAAAAUAAAAAAAAAACAUAUCCGACUAGUAUGUGAACUUAUCAAAUUUAUGAACCGGGUAACUCGAACCUAUGAAUCGGGUUAUGAAUUCCAUUGGGAUUAUAAUUUUUUUUCGAAACUAGUUUUUAUUUACUACAUGAUAAAAACAAUAUAAUCACAAAAUAAAACAUCAACCAAAUACUAAGAUGCUGUAAAAAAUUAAGAAACAAAUGAAAAUCAAAAUAUUUAAUAUCGCAACAUGAGUAAUUUACCUUGUUAUGUUUAAUGAAUUUCUCUAUCAAAAUAAACUUGUAAUAGAAAAACAAAUAAAAUUUAUAAUAGAAACCAAAAAAACACAUCAAAUUUAUUGAAUAAAAAAAUGCAAGGCUUCACACAUUAAAAAUCUUGUAAAAAAUCUAUAUUAAAAAAAUCUAUAUAAAAUGAAAAAAAAACAAUUACAGAUGAGUCAUACAUACCUCUUUAAAAACUAAACACACUUAAUAUCAUUAAAAAAUAAUUACAAACUAAUUAAAAUAAUAACUAUCAGGUUGAUGGUAGGUCAGGCUUAGCACCUGGCCCAAUCAAGCAACAGACCGCACGCGAGCCUACAAGGCUAGACCAACCAUGUGGGCCUAUAUUUUUUUAAGUUCAUCAUCUGCCCAUGCAUCAGAAAAAAAUUUGACGUGUCACCUGCAUCAGCAAAUUACACGUAUUAUGUUCAUCCCUAGAAUCUAGUAACUAUGGUAGUCGGAAAAAUUGUGUAAUUUGUUUUUUUAAUCUAAAAACCUAUCUUCAAUCCAUUUUCUACCCAAAAAUACCUAGAAAACACCGUAGAAAACUUGUUACACCAAUACAUGGUCACGAAAAACAUAAAGAACUGCCUUAAAACCCAAAAUCCACAUGAAACAAAAAAUAUUUCGAGCUCAAUCUGAUUUUUAGGUGUUUAUAAGGUAGAAAAAAUACUUAAUAUUAAUUCCCCUCAUCAUAUGGAACCAUUUAACAUAAAAAAACAACUGUUUUGAUGACCGGAUUCCUCACCAACAUACACCUUUUCUCUCCAAGCCAGAAUUUGACGACUUUCUCUCUCUUCUCCAUCUAACAAAAAACUGAAAAAUAAGUUAAAUAAAAUUUGAUAUUAAAAUUAAAUUUUAUAAAAUUUAAAGGACUAGUCACCUAAUAACUAAAAAUGAUAAGGGACUCAAAUAAAUUGUUGACAUAAAUUUUCAAUCAGCCACCUAUAUUACUAUAAAUUUUCAAUCAGCCACUUAUAUUCCUUGAUUGUCUCACUUUAGUCCAUUUCCUUUUGAUUCAACACUCUCUUUACAAAAAAAUAAUAAUAAUAAUAAUAACAUGUAGUUGAAUUUUAAUUUAAUUUCAAAAUAGCUCAAUUAUACAAAAUUUUUAAAAAUUACACUAUUAUAAUUCACAUAUACGAGAGAAACAAUGAUAUUUUUAUAAACAGUGGAUUUAGCUUUAUGUAUAAUGAUAGUAAAUAUCAGUAUGUUGCUUAACAAUGAGCCUUCUAGUAAAUUAUUGAAACACAAGAUUAUUAAUGUGUUCAUACAUGUUGUCUAAUCCUCAGAGGUACAGUGCUUCUUCUGUGUCGAUUUCUUAACCUCUCACACAUGUUCUUAGCAUGUUCCAUAUAUCAAGUGUUUUCUUUAGAUGAAAAGGCUAUUUGUGUGAUCCAUGAUAGUUUGAUGCCUUUCUUUACUAGAGAGAAUAUGUCCUUGAACUUCAAUUUUAUUUAUCUUCAAAUUGUUGAUUUCGAUUGAUGUUUUGAAUGAAUCAUAAGCAAAUCUAUCUCCAAAUCCUGUGGCCUUAAUUCCCAUCAUGAUCAAGGGAAAGCAUAUCUUAUAAUCAAUUUUCAUGGAGUCUCUAUCUUGCUUUUUUAGGUACCACCAUGCAUUAGCAAUUUUAAGAGUUUCAGGCCAUUUUCUGUGCUCAAGGAUCUGAUCAUUACUUGCCAUUUUCUCACUUUAAAGUUCCCAUGACGAUGAACAAGAAAAGAUAGGCAUAUAUGUUAAAUACAGUACAUAUUCAUGAACACUCCACUUACAUUACAGACUCUGUACAUUAACUUCGAUGCAAUACCCCAGCCUGCUCUCACGAUUUGGAUUGCAUAGCAGUUAAUUAGGACCCCAACAACUCAAAUACAUCACAGUCCGCAGCGAUUCCUCUGCCUGUUUACGCUUGUUAUCUUCACUAUUUUUAGCAGGAUUAUUGAUAUCCUUGGAACUGAAAUUACCUGAGAAACUUGUUUUCUGCUUGGAUGAAGCAGAGGUACAAGCAGCAUCAUUAAGGGGCUUGACACUUGAGUCAUUUUUAGAAGCUUUAUCUUUAACACUCUGCAUCCUUUGGAAACCUGGCUGAAAGAAUUCCUUCCCAAUGGAUCUCAAGCUCAUAAUAACUUGUUCUAAGAGAGACUAAACGCUUUCCAUUUUUACUGCUUCUGUGUGUGUAGAAAAUAGUAUUUGUUUCCGGAGUGUUAUAGGAGAGUGGAGUGAAGAGAGAUGUAAAGUCUACACCAUAAGAGUAAGAACAAAGCUGGAGUAAAGAAUCACAAGUAGCUUAUCUAGUUAUUGACUUUAGCGGGGAACUUGCAAUAUAUAGAGGAAACAACGGUAUUUUGUAAUAUUAUUUUUUUUUAGCUCUGUGAUUCCUGCUUUGAAAAAGUAAGUGUAGAAAGCAGCUAGCCAGUGACCAUGAUUAAAAUAUUAAUUCACUGAAAGAUCUUGUGACUCCACUUGGCUAUAAAUCUAUCCCCUUCCAAUUUUGUAGAUUUUAAUCUAUCUCGCAUGUCAUCAUGAUUCUUCUUGAUGUUUAAUGCUACAUGUAAUGAGAUUAAAUUUUGUCUUGUUUAAUCUUGAACUAAUUUAGGUACCAGGAAAUGUGGAGGUCCUGUUGUUUUUUAGUGUUAUUAAAUUUAGUCUUGUUUAAUCUAGUGGAUAUAUUAGAUUUUAAAUUAAAUUAAGUUAUAGUUAAUUUGAUGUGAUUAGGUCAAAACUUAAUUUAACUUUUUAAAAUGAUAUUAUUUUAAUUUAAAAAAAAAUCUGAAAAAAAAGCUAUUAUACAUUGAUUUAAUUAAUACACUUAAUUCAUUGGUUUUAAUAUUUUUUUUAUUAUUUUGUACAAAAAAAAAUGAAGGUGAUAGUCUAGUUUAAACUCUUGAUACAUAUGAUAUUGUUUGUUUUUACAGUUUAUUUAAAAAAGUUAAUUUUUUUAAUAUUUUAAAAUUAUUGUAAUGUGUUGAAAUAAAAAAAAUUUAAAAAAAUAAAAAAAAUUAUUUUAAUAUAUUUAUAAAUAAAUGUUUUUUUAAAAAGUAAUCAAUAUUACAACCACUGACGGUCUGAUAAUACACUGCGUUCAAUGACCAUAUUAUGAAAAUCUAUCACAUCAAUAUGUCAUGUCCGAAACUAUGAUUUUGUCUAUAAAUCAUAGGACAUAGAGUUGCCGGCAAUAAUAAUACCCGCAAAUCUCAUGGCCAUAGGCGAGGCCAGGAUCCUGUGUUACCGUGCAGUGUAAUUUAAUGAAACAGCCACCACAGCCACAUGAAGCUUUACCUUGAGUCUCCACCGUUUCAAUUUACAGUGAAAGAUUCUAAACCCAUCACACAGUUGCAGAAAUUGUCAACUGAUACUUCAAUUUCUCGCAUAUUAUUUAUAUGUUUGUAGCUAUAGCUAGUUUCCAUCCAUGUCUAGAGAGAGACAUGACUUGACAUGAAAUCUCCAUCUUAAGAUUUUCCCUCACUGUUACUCUUCCCUCUUUUUACCACAGAUGUCUCUCAUUUAUGUUCAGACCAUCCAUGACUUUAUUUGACGUAGAUUUUUACUCGGUAAUAUAUUAACUCGGUAAAACAAAAUUACCUUGAAGUUAAUAUGAAAAAUAAGAAUAAAAUGCUAUCAUUUUAAUAAAAACAAUAAACUUUAAUUAAUCUAAUAAUUUAUGGAUUGAUAGAUAAAUCAAUCACAUGCUUUUUUUUUUUAUUUUUAAAUCAACACAUUUAAUUAAGAAUAUUGACAUGAUAGCAUGGUUAAAAUAAUAAUCGGUAAAAUAGCAUAAUUUACACAUGUCAUGAUUGAAAAAUACAACUUUUAUAACUUGUCGCUAUUCAAAAUAAUGAUAUAUUUUAAAAAAUAUUAAAUGAGCCGGAUAAAGGAGAGAUGCAAUAAAAAUAAAGAAAAGAAAAAAAAGAUCUUGAAAAUACACCGAAAAAACUAUGAUCAUAAUACCAUAAAUAUAAUGAGAAAGAUUUUAAUAAUUCAAAUUCAAUAAUACUAAAAAAUAUUCUUCAAUAAUAGCAACUUGAAUGAACCACACUAAUCAUUAAAGUGGGUUAUUUUUGAAUGAUAAAUAUGACUCUUGGGUUGCAAUGGUAAACUUUUUUUAUAUGUUAAAUUGUUUUGGUUAAGAUUUUUUUUUAAUAAUAUUGAUAUUUUGUAAUCAAAGCUCAAGUGGGUAUUGAAUUUUUUUUCCUUUUUCUUUCUUAGUGGCUCCCUCCUAUAGAAUAUUACAAUCCUAAAUAACAUAAGUUAUAAAAAUUACGUUUUUCAAUGAUGAUAUUUAUAAAUGGUACUAUUUUGCUCGUUUGGGGCUACAUUAUUUCAACUUUUUUUUUCCGAAAAAUAUCCUCAAAACAAAAAAUAGGCCUUCUUUUCUGAAUCAAUUACCGAGUAGAGGCUCACAACUAUACAGUGUUUCUGUCUCUUCAACUGCUGUACUGGACAUUUGUUUGUCUCUUCCUUUGUAAUUAGAAAUCUGUACGGUAAGAUUGUUGCUGAAAAUGAAAAGAUAGCGAGCAUGUUACUUCCAUGGUAAUUGGAGCAGAAGGCAUAUAACCACGUGAAUCAAUGGAUAGCCUAGGCACGUUAAAAGUGACUUGGAUAAGAUCGACACGUCAUCAGGAGAAGCCAUGACUGCAAGCUACAAUUUGACUGCUUUCCCCCUUUUUGUUUUGUAAAUUUUAUUUCUUUAUUACUAUUGUUUCUUGUAUUACCCGCGGGUUAUUUUCCAUUUUUUAAAAAAACAUUAUGAAUCAACCACAAUGUUAAUUGAGUGGAGAAAAUAUUUUAAUUUAUUUAAUGCAAAAAACACUUUUAAAAAGUUCAUUACACCAAAAUACUAAACACAUAUUAAAUUACAAUCAUUUAAUUUAAAUUUAAUAUUUUAAAUUUAACGAGCAUAUCAAUCAUAUUAUUUUAAAAUCAUGGGAUCGUCUCGUUCUUUCUUACGAGUUCCUUAAUCAUAACUAGGAUGACUUGAUUCCAAGAAUUGCGAGGACAAGAUUUAAGGAAAAAUAAAUAUUUAAUGACAUGAAAAUACUACUUAAUCGUAACACAAACCACUAAUCAUCUUGACUAAAUCAAUUUCCAAUAUUUUCUUUUUUUUAAUUAAUCGUAAUUCUACCAUCAAAAUUACUUCUUAUCUCAAUUAUAUGGCGAAAUUAUUUUGCCUUUUAUCUAAAUUUCUAAAUACGACUAAAACAAUAUACAUCAAAUCAAAACAACAAGUGAGCUCACUUAAACUGGUAGAUCAGCUGAUAAUAUUCAAAUAUUUUUUUUAAAAAAAAAUAUACUUGAUUUGAAUCCUACCACUUAUAUUUCUUAACUAAAUAUAAAUAUGAGUUUGAUCAUUGUCUUCCAUGUAACUUAAGCAAGGCGCAUUUGCUUCUGUACAAACACCCAUGCAGUUCCUGCCAAGAUGCAUCCACUCAAAGAAAAUGGCAUCAAUGGAAACGAUGCAUGUACCUCUCAGUUUUGGCAUUAUGAGUGAAAAGACUCACGAGAAAAAAGGCUGCUUGUCUAACUCACAGACAGCAAUUCAAUGUUCCAUGACAUCAGCUCAACAAUGUUUAUCUCUCUCUCUCUCUCUAUGUAAGAACAAAAUACUCUCCCCGGCAUAAGGAAGCAUGGUGCCCAAGUACAGAAAAGUAGCCGAACAGAUGAAGCCUCGGAGACAAGAAAGGGCUAGAAGCCCAGAGAUAAUAGAGCGAACCCACUAGAGCUGUUCACGGACAAUACUUCGGCCGAUGUCCGGUCCAAAUUAUAGAAAAUUCUUUAGGACCCAACAACAUAGAAAUUGGAUACGUGGUAGUAGCUACUAGAUAUAUUGCCUGUGUUUCGGCUGAAUAUUAUUUUUAUGUAUAAAAGUAAUAGUAAAAAAAAAAUUCAAGUCUCAAGUAAAGUGACAAUUUAAAUAAUAAAAAAAACAAUAAUAAUAAAUAAACCAAUAAGAAAACAACAACAAAAAUAAAUCAUAUUUGAACUUAUUUGGAUUAUCAAACAACCCAAUACUACCCUAAUUGAAGGAAAGCCAUAAAAAAACAGAGUCAAAGUUCAAAAAACAAAAAAUAUUAGCUUAAUAAAAGGGGGAAAUAACCAAGCAAACCAAAACGAAACUCCUAAACAUAGUCUAAUCUAAAAAACUUGUUUCUUGUUAAAUUAUGAACUCGAGUUCAAUUAAAAAACUUAAAUGUCAUCCAAUUUAACUUUGAAUGUUGAAAUCGUUGAAAAAACUAUUAAUAAAAAAACUUGAAAAAAAAACAACAACAAAAAAAAAGAAUGAGGCUAAAAUUUGGCAAGAAAAAACCCAAUAAAAAUGAAAUUUGAGAAAAAAAUAUUGCAAACCAAAAAAAUUAUAAUUAAAAAAAUUAGGACAAAACUUGAAAGAUUAAAAAAUUAUAAGAAUAAAAUUUAAAAUUAUUUGUAAUAUGAAAAAUAAUUUAUAGAUUAAAAAAUAAUAGAAAAUGAAAUAAAAUAAAUAAAUUAUUAAGGGUUAAUCUAAUAGAAUUAAACUAAAAAAAUAAAAAAUAAAAAUUUUAAAUUAAUCAAUAUCUACUUUUAUUGAAGGAAAAAAAAAACUUUAGCUAAAUUCAGACAAAUCAUUAAAUUGAUUUAUCAAAUCAAAUCAAGUUUAAUGUACUUAUAAAUGAGAUCUUAGUUUUAAGUUUUAUCCCUAUAUAAACCCUUUAAAAUUAUAUAUUUACAUGUUGAUUUAAAUAAAUUAAAUUGAAAAAAAUAUAUAAAAAGAAUAGAAAAUCCAAAUUUCCAUCGACUAUCUUUUCUUAUUUCUACUACCCCAUCAAACCACAACCACGAAUUCUUAACAAAACGUACCAAAAUCCCAAUCACCCAUAACAACUUACGUGUCAAAACCUCACCGGUUCCCUCUAAAAAUCAAAAUAAUCCAAUUUGUUCUUACAAAAAAUAACGGAUAAUCCUCUCUUUCAAUUUCCAACCUCUCACUUUCUCUACUUUCCCCUCGAUCCAAACACACCAAAAAGAAAAAGAAAAUAAAAAUGCAAAUCAAUUUUCUCUCUUCCUUCCCUAUGACUUAAAAAAAGAGAAGAAAUAUCAAAAUUUUCCCGGAAAAUUCACUCUCAUUUUCUCUCCAUCCAACCACAAUGGCUGCCGUUACUCCAGUAUCAUUCUCUGCGAUUUCCCAAUCUUCGAGCGACAGAAGGGCUUUCUGUACAGUAGCGCGUAAUUUAGGUUUUGAAGGCUUCCGGUUUCGAUCCAGUUUUUCGUGUCAUUAUGUCGGCGUUAGAGCUUCGAAUUCGACUUCCCGUAUGGUUAUCCAUUGCAUGUCCACUUCUACUGGUAGAAGAAAAAAUCUUUGUUGAUUUUUUUAGAUAUUCGUCUUUCUUUUUUGUGUCUGGUUGUUGAGAAAGUGAGAGAAAAUAGAAAUAAAAGUCUUAGAAAGUUAGUGUAAUUAAGAGGUUUAGGGUUUUAUUAUUUAAUUUUUUUAUUAUAGAAUGAUUUUUGCGAUUCCUUUUUUUUUGUUGAACUUUGUUGAGGAAUUAGUGUGAUUUAUUUAUUUUAUGAAUAAUUACAGUGAAAAUUUCUAUUUAGAUUUUGAAAAUAACUAAUUUUGCUAUUUGCUUAAUCACAAAAUUAAUGAUGAAGUAAGCUUUAGUAUUUUUUUCUUCAAAAAUUAAUGCUUCAUUUGGAACUAUUAAUAAAGUUUUUUUUUUUUUUUUUUUUAUGGAAAGGAAUAUCAUCGAGACAGUUUGUGCGUCAGUCAUUCAAGACUAAAACUUUUAUUAUAUUUUUUUAAGUAAUAAAGCUGAAGUUUAGCAUCUGAAUUUUGCAAUGCUGGCCGGUAGUACGGUAGAAUUUGAGGUCAUAGAUUUUUUUUUUUCGUAUUCAUUAUUUUGUUUAUCGUUUUAAUCGUGUAAAGUAGUGUGUGGAUUUGUUUGAUGAAUUGGGUUAAUUUUCAGAUGUGCCACCAACGGUAGCUGAUACCAAGUUGAAUUUCUUGAAGGCUUAUAAGAGACCGAUCCCGAGUAUCUAUAACACGGUUCUGCAGGAGUUGAUAGUGCAACAACAUUUAAUGAAGUAUAAGAAGACUUUCCGUUAUGAUCCUGUGUUUGGUCUUGGUUUUGUUACUGUGUAUGAUCAACUCAUGGAAGGGUACCCGAGUGACGAGGAUCGAGAGGCCAUUUUUCAGGCUUACAUUAAGGCAUUGGAGGAGGAUCCGGAGCAAUACAGGUUUGUCUUCUGAGUUUUUCUGUCUUUUUGCAGGAAAUCUUUUUGUUAUUUCAAUUUCGUGAUUUAUAUUUAGUUUUUGUAGAGGAAUUGAUGGAAGUAGCGGUUGUUAAUGCUUUAUGACAGUUUUUCUUUACCAAGUGAAUUGCAUCUGAAUCUGACAUUUGAUAUUGCGUUGCAUGAGGAAUAAGAAAGCAUCAGUUAUCAUUGAAUAUUGGUUUUUGUUCUGUAUACCAAAAAUCAUAACAAAAAAAAAUCUGUUUAUUUAGACUGAGAGACUAUAAUAAUUGCUGGAUGUUUGGAAGAAUAAUGUUUAGGUGGUUGUCAUUGAUGGUUAUGAAGAAAAAAAGAAGAAGAAAAACCCUUCUAUUCUAUGCACAAUUUACAAGUAGUUUUCCCAAGAAAAAUGCGUUAUCAUCAUUUUUACUUUUAUAUAUAGAUCAUUUGAGUUUCUUUGACUAAGUGAAACGAAAAGGAAAUAUUUGCAACCAUAAAGAUUGAUAAAUAGUAGAAACUGAAACAUUCGAAAAGCGUAUGUAGCCAGAUGCUCAGAAAAAUUGGAGAUUCUUAGUUCUGUUAAGAUUUUCAUAUAUUAGUGGUCAACUUUUUCUCCCUUUUUCCUUCAUUACCAUGCAUAACAAAAAAUUGAAAGAAUACAAUUGUUACUCCAUAUUUCUGCAAAAUUUGAACGGCGCAAUUAUUUUCAUUGGCGCUUGAUAGUUUCAUUGAACAGGUUCUAAAAAUGCCCUUUCUAUUUGACUUUAAUCACCAUUUGGGUUGAUUAAUUCUGUAUGUUAUGGCCUGCAGAAUAGAUGCAAAAAAGCUUGAAGAAUGGGCUCGGGCUCAGACUCCUAGUUCAUUAGUUGACUUUUCAUCCAGGGAAGGAGAAAUUGAGGGGACAUUAAAGGACAUUGCAGAAAGAGUUGCGAGUGGGAAUUUCAGCUACAGCCGUUUCUUUGCUGUUGGGUUAUUUCGCCUUCUUGAGCUGUCAAAUGCUAGUGAACCGACAGUAUUAGAAAAGGUAGGUUGUUGAAUUCCUUCUCUAUUGCAAUCUAUGUAAUGUAAAGAGUGCCUUACAAAGUUUUAAAAUCUUUUUUUCUAGUGAUUUUCAUUGUUUUGAAUGUGUUUUAGUUCAUCAAAUCCAGAAAAUUUUCUGUUCCUAAUAACCUGGUCCAUUUUACCCUCAAAUCCAAGACCAAGGAUUUUCCUCUAGAGUAUCUAGUUGUGGCAAGAACUUUGGAGAAGAUGGAUAUAUCUGAGAUUGCUAACUUAAGGUUAUUUUUUCCUUCCACGAGCUCAAGAACUCCAUACGCUUCCUUAGUGCAUAGAUACAACAACCAUGACAUCUCACUUAUGAAAGUGGAAGAAUACCUAUUUCUUCACAGGAGAUCUUCAAUCCUGUUCCAAUUCUCUUGGCAGAUGGACAAUUGUAUCCAAAAUUCAUAUCCUUCCAUCACUUGUCCAUUGGUAGCUUUUUUCUUCUUAUUUUUUUUAAUUGAAGAUUCAGUUCCUUGAACAAGAUAUGAUGUAUGCAGGAUUUCUAAUUCAAAGAGACCUCAAUGAAUUUUAAGUGUUUAAGAUUUCUAAUUUGGCUAACUUCAAGACCUCAAUGAUUACUUUAUGUAUCAAAGAUUUUUGCUCGAUAGUUUGACAUUUCUCUUUAAUUUUCAUGCAAAAGCUUUGUUCAGCACUAAACAUCAAUAAAAGAAGUGUGGAUCGGGACCUUGAUGUAUACCGGGGCCUUCUUUCUAAAUUGGUUCAAGCAAGAGAGUUGCUGAAGGAGUAUGUAGAUAGGUAAAGAUCUAUCUCCCGGAUAGAUUUUGGCGUUCUGCUUUUGUUUUUUUUGUCUGUUCCAUCACGCGUGUGAUGUAUUUUUCUAAAAUGAUUUUGAAUUUCAGGGAAAAGAAGAAACAAGAGGAACGUGCAGAAUCACAGAAGGCUAGUGAGACUGUAACAAAAUGUUUGGGAGAGCCUCAAUUUGUAGGACAGUAGUUCAAUCAGCACAGCAGCUCUCACCUCACAGAUCAAAUUAUAUGAGGCUCCACUAUCGUCACUCCUCUCUCUUUUAAGGUACACUUGAAAGACUUCACUGUUUCAGCAAACCAUAUGACAUCUUAUGGAUUUGCAUUCUUAAGUCUGCUGUUUUGGAUUUGGUGAUCAAGAUACGUUUCCCCUUUGUUUCCCAUGUUUAUAUACUUGUUUCUUCUAUUUCAAACAAUUUUAUUUUUUAUUUUUUGUACCACAAAUGUUUCCUGCUAUUAAAUACUCCGUUGCAAAUAUAUCUGUGUGCAUCACCAUAUUGUCUUUGGAUUGCUGUUCAUCUAUUAAACUUCCCUUUUGCAUUAAAAGGGGGAAAAAUCCACCAUUUCUUGGAGAUUGAUGCCAUCAUCAACUGUUUGAGUAAUGUUACAAGAACAAAUUAUUCAAAAUUUUUAUUUAAACACAUAUAGCUUAUUAUUUUAGAGACUCACCAAAGAUGGUAUGGGAUAUUAAUUUGUUCCACUGGUGAUUAAAACACAAUACAGGAACAAAACGAUAACUAUGCAUUAGUCUGAACUGCAUCUGUUAGCUGCCAGUAGGCACCCUCUUAAAAUGAGAGUUAUCUGGAAAUAAGAUGUACUGAUUGUGAAUCAUUUUCCAAGUUUGAUUUGCUAAAAUGUUUUCAAGGUACUGCAAUGGAAAGUAAACUCUUACUGUUAUUAUUUAUUAAUCGGUGAAAGAUUUUUUGGUUGCAAUUACAAAUUUGCACAUACAAUUGGAACUCAAUUCACGGGUUAAUUUGAAAUCGGAAAAUCAGAUAAACUUUGGUUUGAUUCUUAACAAGCCGGCCGAGAAUUGACCUAAUUAGAUGAGACUGAAUUAAACGUGAUGAGAUACAAGAUGAACAUGGAAUCAUGACCCAAUUUUAACUGUAAUUGCCUAAUUGGGAUGUUGAUUCAAAGUAUCAGCUGCAGCAAAUAGUCUCCGCUCCACUCCAAUGUACAAAAACUUUCUCAUUAAUAACUUUGUCCUUUCUGUCAAUUAUGAUGAUUUAGAGGGUGUUUAGGAUUGAUAGUCCUAGAUUUCAACCUGUAUGGGAGCGGUUUAUCAUGUAUUUUAGAAAAAAAUAAAUUUUUAUAAUUUUAAAUUAUUUUUUAAAUAUAUUUUUAUUGUAUUAAUAUAUUGAUAUGAAAGAUAAAUUUUUUAAAAAUAUUAUUUUAAAAUAUUUUCAAAUAAUAAAAAGCAAUAUGUUCUUUCCUUCCAAACAUUUCUUAUGAGUUGAAACGCAACCUUUAUGGCCACAAUCUUGAUCAAAAUCCAUAAAGGAAAAACAUAAAAAUUUUAAAUUUUAUUCAAACCACACCAUUUAAAAAACAAGAUGGUGGGAUUUGAAUUGGGAUUUGUGGGUAAACCGUAAAAAUUGAAUCGAUGCAUCAGUCCUCUCAUUAAAAUAGUAUUUUAAACAAAAAGGACAUCAAUCAUUACUGGCGGCUAGUAUGAGCAACCAUUUCAGAGACAAAAUAAUGAGAUCAAAUGAAUUAAAGAGUAUCAAAUUUGAAUGCAAUUCCAAUUUGUCUACCAAUUUAAGUUUUAUAUUUUAUUUUAAAGUGAAAACAUUGGAAGUGAUGAUCACUCAAAUCCAUGAGAAUCCUACCAAACCAUGAUAAUACUGCUGGCCAAAAGUCACGAUAGUUAGUUCACACAUGAUCAUAUUUAUUGCAUCAAGCAUGUUGUCCUAUAUAUCUAAAUUUUGUUUUUCUUACUUACAUUCUUUUUUUUUUUCGCUUCCGUCUACCUUACUAUCCAUCAUAAUAUUUUUUUUUAAUCUUAUUGUAUUGUUUUAAAUCUGAUUAUAAGAGAAGAAACAUAUUUUAUUAUUUAAUAAUAUGUAUUUUCUUUAUAUGUUCUUUAACUUAUAAAUAUUUAAAAAAAAAACUAAAAGAGACUAGUGUUUCACGAUAUAGAGUAGACUCAUUGCACUAUAGAUUGAAACAAUACAAUGAUGAUUUUUUCCUUCACAGCAAAAACCAAUGAAUUGGGAUUUGUGGAAAAAAUAGUCUUUUCACGAUAUUCAUUUGUCAUUAUAAAUUGAUCGAAGUUAAAAUGAUCACUUCACAUUUUUAAUGCAUAAUAAAAUGAUUAACUUAUCCUUAAAAACAAAAUUUAUUUAACUUGGAUUUAUGGGCUUUUUUAGAUAUUUAUUUUUUAAAGUAUUGCAAAAUGACUAAAUUAAUAAUCACCUUGACUUAGAGGCAAUUUGAUAUUUUAAUAAAUAUAAAAUAUUAUUUAAAAGACAAAACACAUUGACACGUGCAAUGCAUGCACCAUUAUGUAGGGGAUGUCUAGUGGCAAGACCGUGGCUUCCAAGGCAGUGUUAGAAUAGUCUCAACGGCGCUUCCAUCCCUAGGCAGUGCGUAUGGGCAACGAACCUCCAGUUUGGUGCUAGUGCUCUUUUCAUAGUUUUUUUUUUAUGUUUUUCUUCUUGAUUUCUAUGCCUGACCUUUAAAAUUUUCAAAAUAAUUUAUUUAUUUUCAUAUUUGGUUCAUGUUCUUUUAAUUACUAUUUGUUUUAUUUGAAAUAAUUAAUAAAAUUGAUUUUUUUUUAAUAUCACCCCCUUUUAAUUUUUUUUCAUUUGUCAAAUUUGAUCCUAAUUUUUUUAUUGCAAUUUGAUUUAAUUGAGAUAACUUUUAAAAUUGAUUUUUUUUUAUGAUUUCACCUUCCUUCAGUUUCGUUUUCCUAUUAGAUUUGAUUUUCAUGCUUUUGAUUACUAUUUUUUUAUUUUGUCAAAUUUUUAAAUUGUUUUCUUUUUCAAUUUCAUCCUUCAACAUUAAAUUGGUUGGAAAUCAAGCUUCUUGGUUAAGUCUGCGUCUAAGAUUUCACUGGUUACGAGUUUGGGAGAUUAACCCAGGUUUAGAAGUUUCGCCCAGGUUUGCUUGUUUUAUUUUUCCCUUUUUUUAAGCUCGUGUUUUUUUUAGUUUUAUCAUUCAACAUUUAUUUAAUAGAGAUUGUACUCUAUUAUUUUUUAUAAAUUUUCUUUCUCUAGGAUUUUUAACUAAUUUUAAAAAUAACCCGAGUUAUCUUGAGUCAUUUUAUUUCUUGUUUUUUUGUUAAAUUUAGAUUUUUCACAAGAAAUUUUCAUUUUAAAUUAAAUUAAAUUUAUUAAUUAAAUAUAAGAAUUAAAUGUUCAUUUCAUGAUAUUUUAUUUAAUUUGCUUUCCUAGUUGUUGAUUUGACAGUGAGUACGAUGUCUUUUGGUAUCAUCGUGCAACCUUUCGUGGUGACAUUUGAACCAUUUCAGUGAACUCUUCCUAAUGCUAAGAUAGUGUUCACGAUAAUGAUUCUCCAACUAGAUUUUCUUUGUUCUUCUUCAAAAUAUGAUAUUGAUAAUUUAUUUUUUAUAGUUAAUUAUUAUCUUCUUUUCACUUUAUUUAUUGUCGAUAUUUUUUUUAAUCAUACUAUUAUAUUAACUGAGAUUAUUAACUCAAUCAAGUCAAUGAUCCUAUCUUGAAUUUUUCUUGCUUCUAUAAAAACAUUAAUGAUGCCUAAAUAUAAUUUUUUAUAUUAUAAAAAAUUUUACCCCAUCCAUGAGAUAAUGUGAAUCAACUAUCUAUUAUAUAUACAUAGCAACACCAAAUCAACUUUUUUGCAAGUUUUUUCAAAGGAGUUCACGAGGAAUUCAUUUUUUUCAUUGGGCUUCAUCCCGGGAUUAUAAAUUUGGGAUCAUACCACGAUGAUCAACUUAGAGACAAGGUUAUGGUCACAUCUACGAGAGGCCAAACCCACAUUGAGAGGCUGAAAGAUCUGGUCUCCAUUCAAUGCGUGAAAAAUUAUCCAGGGCAAGUGCAUGUAUCGACAUUUUUGGAAGCAUGUGCCUUUAAUUAUAUGGGUUCCUUUUAUCAAGUCACAAGAAAGUGUGGCAAGUCAUUUAUUUGAUAAUGGCAAGAUUAAUAACUAAGUUUCUGUGGCAGAUUGUAGACACCGUCUUGAAGUUAAAAUACAGGCAAGAAAUCAAACCUCGAUUUAUGCUAUGCACCAGAAAAGAAGAGUGAGUUCCUAGGAGAAAAUGGGAUCAUCAUGGCAGCUAAAGCAAUUGGUAAGAAGGUCAAGGAAUUGGCAGAGAAAUGGUUAUCAAAUUGGAAAGAAUAUCUGAACAAGGCAGGCUAGAAAUCAAACCUCGAUUGCCAUUCUUGAUUAAUCUUAAAAAUUAAAUUUUGAUCAAAAUUCAUAAAGAAAAAACAGAAUAAUUUUAAAUUUUAUGUUAAGAAAAUGAAUUGAUGCAUUAGUCCUCUCAUUAAAAUAAUUUCUUAAACAAAAGGGAAAACAAUUAUUAAGAUCUCAUGUCUAACCAUAUCAAACACCAAAACAAGAGACAAUAUAAUUUGAUCAAAUGAAUUUAAGAGUUUCCAAUUCCAGUACAAAUAUGAUGCAAAAGGAUACUAAGAUUUGUUACAAUUUUUAAAUAAAAAUAAUACCAUAAUUAUAAAUAAGACUCUAGAAAUAUUUAAUUUUAUGCAUUGUAUCCUUGCGAAAAUACUAUUACAUCUCUUUAUAUAUAUAAAAAAAAAAACUAGAAAGCACUAAUAAUAUUGAAUAAAAAAAGAAGUAAAACUAUUCCUUUAAAGUAGAAUAAAACUAGAAAAACAUAAUAAAAAAAUAAUAAAUAAUAAAAUUAACAAAAAAUUUUUUUAUUUUUUUCAAAAAGCAUUUGCAUCUGUCUCCUCGAAUCGAAAAAAACAAAUCCUCAAGUUUAGAUUUUAGUCAGGAACCAUCCCCCACCACAAACAACUUCUUAUGUGUAGACCACCACACCAUAGGUUCCUAACACCUUUGCAUGAGCUUUCCUAUUAUGGAUUUCUGGCACAAUACUUUUUUGUGUAUCGCUUUAUCCUAGAUCGUUAACACACCAUUUUUAUGCGGGCCACCACAUCAAGAAUCUCAUCACCAUGAUUUCCAAUAACAACAACUACUGUUAACAAAAACAACACAUUAGCUCCUAAAUUUAUUUUUCUUGAAGGAGAUCUUCUCAUUCAUUUAUUCAUCAUCACACGACAACCAACCAUUAGAAAUUGUUAGACUUCGAUACCAAAUGAUGUGUAUAAAAACAACAUAAUAAACAACACAAAAUUUUGCCUAAUAUUAAGGUCAUUGUAUAAAAAUUCAAAUUUAAAAUUUUAUUACUAAAUAUUUCUUUUCAAGUGGUCCCUAAAAUACAAGCCAAAUAAAAAUAUUAUACUAGUUCUAGUUUUACCUUAAUGAGGAAAAAAAAAUACUAAUAAAUAACUAUAGAGUUAUUAUAGGAUUCCCUAAAUAGAAAAAAAAAUUUAUUAAGCAUAAUAUUUAAUUCUCUAAACUAAUAGAAAAAAACAAAAAAAAAAUUUCCUAAAAUUUAAACAGUCUCCUCGUGUUGGAAAGAACUCAUCAUCUAGUUCAAUGUAUUCUUUCCUUGAUCUCUUGGAUGUCCAAUUGAAGUUCUCCAACCCUUUUUUUUCUUUACUUUAUGUGUAUAACAAUUUUAAAUAUCAACUCCAGUUUUUUAUAUAAAAAUUGCAUUAUAAAAAAAAUUGGCAAAUUAUUUCUCUUCCAUUGGAUUUUAAAAUAAUGAAAUGUAAACAUCAAACUUACUUCAUCAACAUGUAUUCUAUUCAUAUAACCCUUGAACAAUUAUACAUUUCUGAUAAUCUUAAGCUUGUAGUCAAAAUAAUCAGCAUAAUCCAAAUUAACUUUUUUUUAUUAAGCAUAUUUCAUAUUCUCUCAGUACUCAACAUUUAACUUAUUAAUAAGGUUACUAUUAAUGAUAUCAUUAUUGCUAUUAUUGUCAUUAUUUAUACUAUUAUUAUUAGAAUAAUUAUCAUCAAAAUAAACAUCAUAAAUUGGUGUAAAAUAUCAAUCAACAUCUAUCUCGUCAUAAAUGAGAUCUUCAUCAUGAUAAUGAGGUUGUCUUUUCUACUCUCGUCUUUUAAAUGGAUUUUCAAAGUUGGUCAUGAAUAUGUGAUCAUUGUCCUCAUGAUUUUCCAGGGUUCUCACCUCCACCAAUUGACAAAUCAAUUAUAUAAUAUGUCUCCAAUUGUUUUCUAUUACUAAUUCCUAAACAUCUCUUUUCCAAGUGUAAUCUCCUCAUCCCUCAUCACAUGAUCACGUUAUAUUAUAUGAUCUCUUAGUCAUAGUUAUUCAACAACUAAUCAACAAUAAUUAUUGGAUUUUGAUACCAACUAAUGCAAAUAGAAGCGAAAAAUAAUGAAAUUUGUUACAAGUCAAAACUCUCAAAGAUAAAAAAUACCAUAAUUAUAGAUAAACUCUCAAAAUACUUAAUUUUAUUUAUUCAUAUUGUCUCACUUAUCAAAAUGCUAUUUUAACCUUUUAUAUAGAGAAAACUAAAAACAAACCCUAGUAAUAUUGAAUAUGAAAAAUAAAAUAGAAAAACUAUUCUCUUUUCUUCAAGUAGAAAAAAAAAACUAGAAAAAGGUAAUAAUAAAAAAUAAAAAUAAAAAAACUUCUUAAUAAAAAUAUUUAUUUUCUAAAGCAACUCAUGCAUAAAAUUUCAAUUUGUCUACCUUAUUAAAUUUUUUAUUUUAGUUUUCAAGUAAUUACCACAUUAUGAGGGAUGAUCAUAGCUCGAAUACUUGAUAACCUACCAAACCAUGAAUCGUUGAACUGUUGGCCAGAAAACACGAUAGUUGGUCCACGCAUAGGAAUGAUUAUUUGCAUGAAACAUCUUAGUUUAUUUUAUUCUAAGAUAAUAGAUAUGUGCGUUAUUAUAACCUCUUUAACUUAUAAAUAUAUAUAACAAUAUACCAAAUCAGCUUUGCAACUCAAACUCACCAUGACGAAUUCAAUUAUACAAAUGAAUUUCUCCUCAUCAAUACCUUAUCUCUUUCCCCUCUUCACAACUAUGAGGGCUACUGUUUUGCCUUAACAGUGUUACUAAUGGAGGGAUCAUAUUAAGCAAAUUAGUAUGUUAGAGGGACUCAAUCAACUCUUAAAUUAUCACAGGGACUUGAACAACUAACUGGUUAUAUUACAAGGAUGGCACUGAUUAUUAACCCAAUUUCACUCUUAUAUAUAGUAACUCCCUCAUCGUGUUAUCUUACAAGCGUCAUCUUCACAAAAUAUGGCUCAAUCUCAUUCUGUAAAAGUCAUCGAUCGUGUCCAAGUCUCGCCACCACCAGGCUCAGUACCCACCACCUCUCUCCCUCUCACUUUCUUCGACUUUCCAUGGCAUCUUUGCCCUCCCAUGGAACGCCUUUUCUUCUAUGAACUUCCUUACCCUACUCUUUACUUCAUGCACAAAAUCUUGCCUAGCCUUAAAAACUCUCUUUCCCUUGCUCUUCAACACUUUUUCCCUCUUGCCUCCAAUCUUAUGUGCCCACUAUCACCUCAUAAACCCUAUAUCCUCUUCAAUGAUGGGGACUCAAUCCCAUUCACAAUUGUUGAGUCAACGAUGGAUUUUGACCAAAUAAUCGGAGACCAGGCUGGAGAUGUGACAGGACUGCACGCUUUUGUCCCUAAGUGGCCUCCCACACGCGUGACAUCAGAUGGCAAACGUGUGGUGCCACUUCUUGCCUUGCAAGUAGUUGUGUUUCCAAAUUCAGGUAUUUGCAUUGGUACCAAAUUUUGCCAUGUGGUAGCUGAUGGGAUGGCUUUUAACCAUUUCAUGAAAUCUUGGGCGUCCAUUUUUAGGUCCAGAAAAAACAUGGCUUGCCUUGAAAAGUCAAUGCUGCCGUCUCAUGACAGGUCGGGGAUCAAAGACCCAUUCGAGCUUGAUUCCAUUUUUUCAAAGGAGUGGUGGAGUUGGGCUUCAUCUCGGGAUUAUAAUUUGGCAUCAAACCACGAUGAUCAACUUAGAGACAAGGUUAGGGUCACGUUUACGAUAGGCCAAACCCACAUUGAGAGGCUGAAAGAUCUGGUCUCCAUUCAAUGCUUGAAAAACUAUCAAGGGCAAGUGCAUGUAUCAACGUUUGUGGUAGCAUGUGCCUUUAUAUGGGUUAAUAUGAUCAAGUCACAAGAGAAGGAGGCAAGUGAUUUAUUUGAUAAUGACAAGGUUUACUACUUCGUUUUUGUGGCAGAUUGUAGACACCGUCUUGAAGUUAAACUACCAGCAACAUAUUUUGGAAACUGUCUAGCAAUAUGUUAUGUUCCUGCAAAAAAGAGUGAGUUACUUGGAGAAAAUGGGAUCAUCAUGGCAGCUAGAGCAAUUGGUAAGAAGGUCAAGGAAUUGGAGAGUGGGGUUUUGGUGGGCGCAGAGAAAUGGAUAUCAAACUGGAAAGAAGUGUCUGAACAAGGCAGGCUAGUUACUGUUGCUGGGUCACCUAAGUUGCGUGCUUACGAGACAGAUUUUGGGUGGGGGAGGCCGAAAAAGACUGAGGUUCUCCAUAUAUAUGCUUCAGGUGGUUUCCAUCUUUGUGAAUGUAGAGAUGGGGGAGGUGGGCUUGAGAUUGGCUUGGCACUUCCUCAGGGUCAAAUGGAUGUCUUCUGUGGCAUCUUUGAACAAGGUAAGCGGAAUCUGGUUUGAGUGUGGCUUGUUGUCUACUUAAGAAAUUCGCAAUACACGGUACUUUAUGUUAAGGAAAUAAAGAGCAAAGCCAAGAAACGAAUAAAUUUAUAUUUGUUUACCACUUGUUCUUAAUAUAUAUAUAUAUAUAUAUAUAUAUAUAUAUAUAUAUAUAUAUAUAUAUAUAUAUAUAUAUAUAUAUAUAUUUUUUGUUAAAGUAAAUCAUAAGAUAUUAUUUAACUGUUUAAAUUAUUAAAUUAAAAUAAUUCUUUAACAUAAAAUUAAAGCCUUAAAAUCAAGUGGUCACAAGACCUUGUGUAUUCUAUAUAAUUCAAUACAAAGCUAUGCAUUAUGCAAGGCAGUUUUUCAAAUAUUUAAUUUUCUUUUCAAUGCUCACCAAAUAGGUAAUGAUCUCCUUAAAUCUCUUGCAUUUUAUUUCUUUGGACAUGUGAAGGACCGAAUAGCUUAACGUUGAAUAAUGUUUUCUGGCUUAAUUUUGGUUAAAUUUUUUGCAAGACGAUAUAUACCAUAAACAGAUGAAAAUAAACCAAAACGAUAAGAGGGACUAGACAAAGACCGUACCAUGUAUGAUCUGAAACAUAAAUUUCUUCGUUUGCUCUGUACGUCCAUGGUGCUUGUCUUCAGAAUUCUUAUUUACUUUGGUUGUAUUGGGUAGAAGAGAGUUGCCCAUUUAAUAUUGAGCAAAGGUGGCAAAUAAAUAGUAUCUUGUAUAGACAAAAGAUGCUUUCCUCGGAGAGAAGAGAUGUAUUGUGUCCUUUUUUUUUUUUUUUAAUGUGGUGUCCGAUCCGGGUUAGUGCACCUUAACUAAUUUCACAGGUUUUGAAGUUAACGACCAUCUAAGUUUUCAGUAGUUCUGAGAUUUGUGUGACUCAAAAUGGUAAUCUUCGGAGAACAAACUCAGAACCUGAUCAAUUGAGUUACGCCUUUCAAAAUUAUUAAUGUAUUGUAUCUUUAAAUAUACGCUAGGUGUGGGUUUAGAGAGACAAAAAAAAAAUAGUUCUUAGAGCAAUAAAACCUUGCUUUCUAGGCCAAUUUAUAGAAGCGGAUUUAAUUUUAUAUGAAUAAUGAAGGUCAUGAACUUAUUUAAAUAUUUGGAGUUCAGCUUAAUUUGAAAGAAAUUUUAAAAAAUAAAAAGCUUAUAAUUUCCACAACUCAAUCUUUCUUGAAGUUUUCUUCUUUUCUUUUAUUCAAAGCAGAAAUUACAGAACGUUUUCAGCUGUGUGCACGUACAGCCAGGAAAUUCAAAGCAAUUCAAAUCCAUUCUUGCACGGAGAAAUUUCCUUGAUCAUCUCAUUCAUCAAAACUUUAUAAUUUUUUCCGUGCUCUUUAUAAUUAUUUUUUUGGACGCAUAGAAAAUUCAGAAGAUUGCUAAGCUUGUUAGGAUAAUUUGGACCAAAGAAUGGAAAGAACGAAUUGCUGCUGCGGGCUGUGGAAAGUUUGUGUUUGAUAUUAUAAUUCAGAAAACUUUUUGAAAAUAUUUUUUAUUUAAAAUGUAUUAAAAUAAAUUUUUUAAUGUUUUUACUUGAAGGCAUUAAAAAUAUUAAAAAUAAAAAUCAGAAAAUAAUUAAUAAGCCAUCAAACUACUAUUAGUCAUCAACAGUUGAAUAAAUGAACCUUGUCAUGGGAUGAAAUAAUUAACUAAUGAUAAUGUAUUGAAAUGAAGCUAAAGGACAUCUGUUAAGCAACUAUGAGGGCUCCUGUUUUUCCUUGACGGUUUUAACAAUGGAGGGACUAUAUUAAGCAAAUUAGUAUAGUAUAGGGACUCAAUCAACUAUGAAAUUAGUAGAGCGACUAGAUUGUAAGAGGCUAUGUUAGAAGGAUGUCACUCCAUCGUCAGUAUCUCAUCUCUUUCCUCUUCGCAAACAAUGGCUCAUUCUCAUCCUGUAAAACUCAUUGAUCAUUUCCGAGUCUCUCCACCACUAGGCUCAGCACCCACCACCUCUCUACCUCUCACUUUCUUCGACUUUCCAUGGCUUCUUUGCCGUCCCAUGGAACGCCUUUUCUUCUAUGAAUUCCCUUACCCUACUCUUUACUUGACGAACAACAUCCUUCCUAUUCUUAAAAACUCUCUUUCCCUUACUCUUCAACACUUUUUCCCUCUUGCCUCCAAUCUUAUGUGCCCACCAUCACCCCAUAAACCCUAUAUCCUCUUCAAAGAUGGUGACUCGAUCCCGUUCACUGUUGUUGAGUCAAUGCUGGAUUUUGACCAAGUCAUCGGAGACCAUGCCAGAGUCGAUCUUAGAGAACUGCAAUGUUUUGUCCCCAAGUGGCCUCCCACACGUGUGACAUCAGAUGACACACGUGUAGUGCCACUUCUUGCCUUGCAAGUAGCUGUGUUUCCGAAUUCAGGUAUCUGCAUCGGUGCCAAAUUUUGCCACGUGGUAGCUGAUGGGAUGGCUUUUAGCCAUUUCAUGAAAUCCUGGGCGUCCAUUUUUAGGUCCAGAGAAGACAGCGCUUGCCUUGAAAAGUCAAUACCGCCGUCUCAUGACAGGUCAGGGAUCAAAGACCCAUUCGAGCUUGAGUCAAUUUUUACAAAGGACUGGUGGAAUUGGGCUUCAUCUUGGGAUUACGAUUUGGGAUCAACCCCUGAUGAUCAACUUAGAGACAAGGUUGGCGUCACAUUUACGAUAGGCCAAACCCACAUUGAGAGGCUGAAAGAUCUGGUGUCCAUUCAAUGCAUGGAAAAUUAUCCAGGGCAAGUGCAUGUAUCAACAUUUGUGGUAGCAUGUGCCUUUACAUGGGUUAAUUUGAUCAAGUCACAAGAGAAGGAGGCAAGUGAUUUACUUGAUAAUGACAAGGUUUACUACUUCGUUUUUGUGGCAGAUUGUAGACACCGUCCUGAAGUUAAACUACCAGCAACAUAUUUUGGAAACUGUCUAGCAAUAUGUUAUGUUCCUGCAAAGAAGAUUGAGUUACUUGGAGAAAAUGGGAUCAUCAUGGCAGCUAGAGAAAUUGGUAAGAAGGUCAAGGAAUUGGAGAGUGGGGUUUUUGUGGGGGCUGAGAAAUGGAUAUCAAAGUGGAAAGAAGUGUCUGAACAAGGCAGGCUGGUUACUGUUGCUGGGUCACCUAAGUUGCGUGCUUACGAGACAGAUUUUGGGUGGGGGAGGCCGAAAAAGACUGAGGUUCCCCAUAUUUAUGCUUCAGGCAGUUUCCAUCUUUGUGAAUGUAGAGAUGGGGGAGGAGGAGUUGAGAUUGGCUUGGCGCUUCCUCAGGGUCAAAUGGAUGUCUUCUCUGGCAUCUUUGAACAAGGUAAGCAGAAUCUGAUUUGAGAAUGGCUUGUUGUCUCUCCUUGUGAAAUUCGCAAUGCACGGUGCUUUAUGCUAAGAAACUAAAGAGCGAAAACAAGAAAUGAAUAAAUUUAUUUUUGUUGACCUCGUGUGUGUGUUCGUCUCUUUAUAUGGGUUAUUGGUCACUGGCUUGUUGCAGUUGAGAUUAAUUAGCAUAUCUUUUAAUAUUAUUUUUAAUCAUAAACUUAAAAUGUGGUGUGUGUGUGUGUGUGUGGUGCUAAUAAAAUAUAUUGAUUUUAACCUAUUAAAAAAAAAAUAAAAAAAUUAUCCGAGUUUAAGUUAAAUUACUAAUUUAACUUAAUUUUUAAUAAAUUCAAUAUUAAAAAAUAAAAUAAAAAAAAUUAAUUAAAAAAAAUAACAAAAAAAUAAUUUGAAUAAACCUGAGUUAAUUUGUUAAAUCCUCAAUUUAGAUAAUAAGAUCAUGAUAAUUUAUAAAAUAAUAAAUAAAAAAUUUAUAAAACAUCAUUUUAACAAAUCUAAUGUUGAACAUUGAGUUUGAGAGAGAGAAUUUUUUUUUAUAAAACUAGUAUAUAAACCAGCAAAAAAAAUUGAUAAAAAUUAUAUAGCAUAAUUUUAAAAAAAAUUUAUUGUUGAAUGAUGAAAUUAAAUAAAAAAAAUACAAAAUACUAUUUCAAUUAAUAAUAUAAAUAUAUUUAUGGUGUGGCUACUAUCUUUUAAUAUUUUUAUUAAAUAUAUGAUCAUGUGUGUUGUCAUUGGAAACUUUUAGUUAAUAUUAUUAAACUUAAUCAAGUCCAGUGAAUUAUCAUGGUGACUUGUCAACUUGUUCGAGCUUCUAACCAAACUUUGUGAGAGCUGAUUAAGGGUCAAAAGACAUGGUGAGUGAACUUUAAAAGCGAUUGAGUUAGUAAAAAAUUUAUUUGAAUUUUUUUAAAAAAAUAUUAUUUUAAAAACAAUAUUAAUUUAAUAUUUUUAUUUAAAAAUAUUAAAACAACAAUGAUUUUUAUUAACUUGGUCGAACCAGGCAAAACUGCCGAACCGAACUUGGCUGUGUCAUUACUUGUUUCUAGGCAUGACAAUAUGUUUUCUCUCCUCGGUGGGUUUGAUUGGGCUGCACUUAGGACUAAUUAUUCCAUUUUGUCUAUUUCUUUUCUCUUCCCUUCUUCUCUCCCGGGUAAUGCCUUCAGUAGGCUCAUUUAAGAUGAAAUUCGUAAUUGAAUUCAAGAGUUAAUGGAGAAUCAGGGACCAAAUUAAAAGAGAAGGGCUUGAUUGGGGUGAAAUUCAGGAUUGAAUUGAAGAGUUAGUAGAGAAUUUAGGACCAAAUUGAAAGAAAAUGAAAAACAAAUCUAGCGUGUGUACCACACGCACCAACAUUUGAGGAAGCAUGUCGCAUUGGAUAGGCACGUGCAGCUUCUUUCAAGCACCGAUGAAAGCACUUUUUGAUGUUGUUAGAAUUAUCUGAAAAAAGGUUUCCUUUAAAGGUGGUGUUGAAGACGAUGUACUAUUGGUGUGUCUUUCCAUUACCUAUUUAUUUUUCUUUUCUUUUCUUGCCUUGAUUUAUGUGCUUGAAUUCGAAAAGAAAUGUAUUUGUUUCCUUAAUUUUAAUUUAGGCCUUUUAUUUUCAAUGAUUUGUAAAAUAAAAAAUCCAAAUUAUUUUUCACAAAAUCAAGCGUAAAUUCAACAUCAAGAUGUUCUUCCAACAUUAUGAGACCCAUAAUAAGCUAAUUGAAUCAAACUGUAAAGUUAACAUUAUGAGCUAAGUUGUGGUUUUUUUUUUCUUUUGGUUUUUUAUCAUUUGAAUAUAUUUUUUAAUUUUAUUGGGUUUUUAUUAAAGUUUUUUUUUUAAUUUUUUUUUUCAAUUCUAUCCUUCAACAUUUAGUUGAUUUUUAAUUAGUUUUCAUUUUGUUUCAAUUUAUUUUCUAUAAAAUUAUCAUGGUCUCAAAUAAACAUCCCGACAUUAGAUUUGUGUCUAAGCAUUUAUUUUUAUUAUCAUAUAAUUAAGUAAAAAAAUAAAAAAAAAUAUUAAAUUCAGUGAAAUCCAUGACCCAUGUCGCAACUUUGUUGGGUAAAAUAUGAUCCAUGAGUCGAUCUAAUAUAUCAUUAUCUUGAUAUUUUUUUAAGAAAAAAAUAUUAUAUUGAAUUUUUUUUAAAGCUAAACUAUAUUUUUACUGAUUUAUCAUAUAUUUUUUUGGACUCGCCGAAUUGAAUGAAUCAUGUCAAAAUAAUUUCUAUACAAUUUAACUUAAAGCACGAGUUAGAUAAAAAAAUCAUCUCAAUACAUAUCAAUAUUAACAUGUUAGGUCGAGUCUAAUGAAAUUAUUAGAGAAUUUCCUAUAACUGGAAUAUUUUUAUCCAUUAAAAAAGUUUAGUCCAACGAUCCAGGGGGGCUAGUUUUCUAAGGGCAAGGAAAACAAUUGUUAACAAAGUUAAGGAAUUGAAAGAGUAUGGUUGUUUUUUUUUUUUAGGGGGGGGGGGGGGGGGUGAUGUCAAAUUGGAAGAGAUUGGGAUUAAAAAAAUAAUAAUGAAAAAAUGAACAUAAAAUAAAGAAUAAUUUCAAAUAUAAGGAUAGAUUGAGAGAAAUCAAAUAUGUUAAGACACAUUGAAAGGUUAACAUAAAAUAUAUAAAACAAUUGAGCUAAUUAUCCUGAAUGCAUUUGUUAUAAAGAUUAACAUAAACUAUAUAAACAAAACUAAAUAUUUGUUAAAGCUUGAUUUUACCUUGGUUUUUUUAUUUUAUUUUGUUGAAUAAAGUUUAUGGGUCUCAAAUCUCAAUUAGCUUUAGUUUAUCCUGAUUGGGUUAUCAUCAGAUUAUAUGUAAUUUAAAACUAUUAUGUUAAAGUGGGCUCCCAUAAAUAAAAAUGGCUCCACAGAACCCAUUCAUUAGGCUCAAACUGAAACCAACACGGGCUAACCUGGGUGCUUGAGUGUUGAAAGAUCUGCUGGUAAAUUGGACUUGAUCUAUGUAGUAAUACGAGGCCCAUGUUAUUUUAAUUGUUUCUCUCUUGCCUAAAAUCAUCUGCCUCACUCAGCAAAACUCAUGGAACGCACAAGACCUCUUUUAUCCUUUAAAAAAAGAAAACUUCACCCAUAUUCCAUGCAGAACAGACAUGCCCAGAAGUUCUAUUACAUCACCAUAUCAACAUCCAUUUUGGUGGCCAGAAACACAAAUGGAUCGUCCAUCACCCCCACCAAAAAAAUCAUCUACGUGUGAUUUUGAUAUUCACGAGACAAAUCUCUGCCACAAGCCUAGACCACGUGCCCUAGCUCAUGUUCUUAUAACCCAACAACGGACAGGAUCAAAAACAAGUUUAUCUUCUUAGAUCAUGCCAUAAAUUCUUUAUACAUUAGAGAAUUUAGAGCUGAAAAUUCUGUUGAUGUACACAAUAGUUUCUAUCAACUACGUAGUAUAAAAUAUGUGCAUGAAGUACAUAGAAUAAUAGUGUCUCAUACUUUGCAAACCUCUAUUUUUUAUAUGCAUGCAUGUGAACAGAUAAAAUUUAAAUGAUGCCUUAAGAAGAUGAAACGCAAGUACAAAAACCCACCAAUAUUCAAAGUUUGUUGGAGCUCUUGGCUGUCUCUCCAACAAGAAUUUAACAACAUAUGUAUAUCUACCAUAUACUUAAUCUUGACAUCAUAUAUUUUUACGAAGUCAACUUUGAGAUGUGUAAUAUGAACAUGGACAUAUAGAGCAAGCCAUGCACAAGCAAACCCUAGAUUCUUGACAAGUAAUUACUUCAACCAGUAUAUGUUAUGUAAGCAUAUCUAUUAAAAUUAUAAGCAAAGCAUUAUAAAAGAAACUAUGGUGAUGAACUGUUUCAGGAACUUUCCACGACAAGGUCAUAGAAUGAUAUCACCACCCACUUAAAUGGUAAAUGAACGAACGAUCACAAUAUAUAUAUAUAUAUAUAUAUCUUGCAAUCUUUCGAAAUUAAUUGAGUUAAUGUCAUGCAGACAGCAAACAGGGGGACAAGAGGCUAAAUAAGAAUUUUCUGUUAGGACUAAAUAAUUAAGAUCAUGGUUUGUAUAAUUAAUUUCUUUCAAUAUAUUGUAUUAGCUGCUAAGCACACAUGUAUAACAUUCCUAAUACGAUGUUAUCUCUACUAAUAAUCGCUAAUGACAUGGCUUGGGAACUCACUUGAUUUUACAUUUUCUUUUUAAUUGUAAGAUUCAUCAUGCUUUUAGACCUUGAAUAUAAAUAAUUGAAGAUUACUAUUUUCAACAUAAUUCUCCCUAAAUAUCCAUACUAAUUAAACUAAUUUGUUGCUAAUAAGUUGUAACUCAACUUGUAUAAUUAGUAGUCUUCCUGUUUUAAAAGGGUUUGAAUUCUAAUAUUAUGUUUAUAAUCUAAAAAUAAUAAUAAUAAAGUAAAGAACUAACUAAACUAACUUGUUCUUCAAGAUCAAAUGGAUUGAAGGCCUUUCCAAGGAGUAAAAAUACAAGGAAAGUGGGUAAAGGAAGCAAGGUUUCUGGGAACAAUAAUACUGACCUAGGGCAAACCAAAGCUAGAUGUAAUAUAAUAAUAUUUGACCAUUGCCUCUGAUUGUUAGCUAGAGGGUGGAUGAAAUUAACACCAGAUUUUCAAUGACUUUGAUGAAUUUGCUUCCAGAGAUAAAGCAACCAUGUAAUCUUUAGACUGCCUUGAGACAAUUGUCAAAGUGAGAGACCUACAGGCUCAUAGAGAAGAGAAGGUUGA